rnacentral:lncRNA from 1 species
AAACUCCCAUUUAGUCCUUGUUUCUUGGUUUAGAUCGUACUAGUUUACUAGGCAGAAACUCUUCAUUUUCAUACCAAAACUAUAUGUUUUGAAAGAUCAUAAUAAGAUAUGGAGUUCAUUUACAGAAAAAGGUGAUUUUCUUUUUUCUGAAUUUGGGACAGGAUAAAGGUGAGAUAAUGACAGAUAAAAUUUUUAAAGACUGAAGGCGUCAUGAAUGAUAAAAUUUGGGACAGGAAAAAGUUGGUUUUUAUCAUUAAUUUCAAAGAACUCGCCCCCCCCCCCCCCGUCUUCAAAUUUAUACUUGUCAAAUCUCUCUCUCUCGUCUGUUUCAUAUCCAUUUUUUAAAAUUUUGACUUUUAUAUAUUGUCAUAAGCUAGACUUAUUGGAGUAUUUACUUGUGAGCUUAUGGUCAUUUCAGACUGGUGGACCCAACUACAAUGUACCCUUAGGAAGAAAGGACGGACUCAACUUUGCAACAGAACAGGCAACCUUAGACAACCUUGUUGCACCAUUUGCCAACACCACAGUCGUCCUCAGUCGCCUUGCAACUAAGGGUUUAGACGCCACCGACGCCGUCGCUCUAUCCGGGGCCCACACCAUCGGAAUCAGCCACUGCACUUCCUUCACCGACCGUCUCUUCCCUAACCAAGACCCAACCAUGGACCAAACAUUCGCUAACAACCUUAAAACCAGUUGUCCAACCGCGAACUCCAACAACACUGUCGACAUGGAUAUCCGAACCCCUAAUUUAUUUGACAACAAAUACUACGUUGAUCUCAUGAAUAGGCAAGGGCUUUUUACUUCUGAUCAAGAUUUGUUCACUGAUAGAAGGACUAGGGGAAUUGUCGAGAGCUUUGCUAAGAACCAGUCACUGUUUUUUGACAAGUUUGUGAUUGGUAUGAUUAAGAUGGGACAGUUGAACGUGGUGACCGGUGGAAAUGGUGAAAUCAGGACUAGGUGUGAUAGGAGGAACAAGGAUAAGAAGGUUGAUAUUGCUACCGUUGUUGAAGAUGUGGAGGAAACUUUCUCUGCUUUGUUUUAAGUUUAAUAAUCCUUUGUUUUAUCUCGGGGAUAAAAGAUUUUUAAUGCUUUUUUGUAAUAAUAACGAGUGUCUUAGCUAGCAUAAUAAUAACCUUUUGUUUGUUAAUGUAAUGUAAGAAUAUGUGUUUUGGAUCUUAUUUUUUCUUCUGAAAAAGUUUGCUAGCUCCAUGGCAUCAUAAUUAUGUAAGUAUUUAUUGUUUACCCGUAAAGCGGUAUAGUUGAUUUUAUACGUGUUUUCUAAACAAAUGAAUUUAUUUGAUCCUAAAAUAGUAAAAUCAUCGAAGAAUUAUUUAUGCAAUACUUAAGUCUUAAGAUAUAGACAAAAUAGCAUAAACAAUAGUUCCGGGAACAGAGUUUUCGGGCACAACAACAAUAAAAUAAAAAAGUAAUAAGAUAAGACUGUAUUGAGCUUUGUGUAGAAUGUAGCGUAAAUUUGCCAGAAAAUUCGUGUCCUUUACAAUGACAAGUGAGCUCACUAUUUAUGGCUUCUUCCUCAAAGUGUACCGGAUUUUCAAAGACCAAGAACAAGGCCGAUGACUCUGCUCCUCCAAUAGUGGGCUCCAUCAUCCCUAGAAGUCUUAUUACCACAAAAGACUUCGAAAAGAAAUUUUCUACUGCUAACUCUCGUACAUAGGUCGUCAGUGGGUACCCUUCUUCCAUACGUCCUUCUAGCAUUCCUGUUGUGAAGGAAGACUGUCACUGCCAUGACUUGGAAAUUAUUGCUCCUGAUCUAUCGGAGCGAGUCUCCCUACCGAAGGAGGGUUUUACAUAUUUUUACACGUAUCCCUUUACUUUGGGUGCGUCCUCUUUGAGCGGAGAGCUUGACUCCGUGAUUGUGGAGUUUUGCUUCCGCUACCAAGUGUGUUUGGCACAAGUAAGUCAUUCUGUGUGGAGGACGGUUGCUUGCCUUCGGCGUUUGUGCCAUGAGACUGGAGAAGAGCUAAUCUUAGCUCAUAUGAUGAAUCUCUAUUCUCCCAAAAUCUUCCGCGGGGGAAUGAUAAACCUCUAUAAACGUGUCCACCAUGAUUUGUUGUCUAGCAAACAAUGACCGUGGGUGGAUGGAACGGUUCGUUGCAGCUGCCACCAACGACAUCAUUCCGGCAAUGGCUCCAUCCUUUCCGGCCGCUUGGAAACACAUUCGUAAGCUCUUUGUUUAGUAUUUCCUUUUACUAAAUAUUUUUCUAUAGUCGUAUUGAUCCUCCAUCCUUCGCCUGGUUUAACAACUCGAUGGAUCCCACCGGUGGUUGAAGGUUUGGAAAUGUGGGUACAAAAGAUUAUGGACGUUACGAUGCCCGAGACUCGCUUGUGGAAAGAACUGCCCCCUAAAUACUGGUGGAAGGCCUAGAAUCGUGGUAAUUCAAACUCACCUUGUUUCAAUUUUUCAUGUGAAGAACUUGAUUGAUCCCUUCUAACCUGUCUAUGAAAUUAGGUCUACCCGCGAGCUAUGUUGAUAUUCCCGAGAAGAAUGUCUUGGCUGAUCCUGCCGAUGCCCCCGAGUCAUCUCCGGUAGUGAUGGUGACUGGCCCUCCUUCCGGGCCGCUCAUAGACACCGUGACGAUCGACGAUGAUGAAAAAGCUAGUGAUGAGGGAGCUUCUCUACAUAGAAGAUGACAAUCCUUAUCAUCUCAAUAGGAUGCUCGACCUGUUGAGAUAGUUACACCAACCGAGGACGAUGCCUCGGCACUUUGGGGAGAGUUUGAUUUGGUAUAUUAUGUCAACUCCCAUUUUCGGGCCCCAAUUGUUGUGCCCGGUACUGCUGGGCUGAGAAUCCAACAACCAGCACUACCUUUGAUGCAACUGCUUCUCACUCUUCAACUCCAUUAGCUUCAUCUCCAUCUUCACCAACACUACCAACUGCUACAUAACUUCCAUCUUCAUCCACUCUUCCACCAGCAAUUGCUACAACAUCUCCAUCGGCCGUACCUGACCAUCAAUAAGGUGUUCCUCUUCCACAAAACCCUGUUCAUGGGAAUUUAGGGCAAAAUUAUGCUGCCCCUUCUGAAGAUCCGCAAAGGAGGAGGAAUGUUACUCUUUCGGUCUCUACCGGAUGUAACUUGCUAUCCCGAUGAAUGGAGCUUGCUAAUUAUUUGAAGCCUUUGGCUUCAGAGAAAGACUAGGAAAAGAUUCUGGCACUCUUGGGAGAAUGUCUGUUGAACAACGCCAUGCACAAUGCUGCAGCAGUACAUUCCUUUCUUCCUUUAUUACUCCUUCUAUUUUUGGGUAUGAACAUAUCCUAAAUUUUACCCUUCUUAGUUUGUGGGGCAACUUUCUUGCUUUUGAGGGCCUUGAGAGGUUGAUUCGUGAAAAGGAAGAGAUUACCUCUGCAUGGGAUCAGCUUUUGGCAGAGCAGGAGCAACAUAUCGCUCGCCUUUCGGAACUGGAAGCCAAAGCUUCUGAGGUUGUUGUAUUGGAGGCUCGUUUGUGGCAAGGCGAGCAAGAAGUGGUAACCCUUAGCCAAGAAAUUGGCAUGCUGAGGGUUAGAUUUGACGAAGCCAAGGCCAAAUGGGCUGAAAUUCAUAACACAGUUCUUGUUGCAACCGAACAUGAGACUGCCUCCGCUGAAAUAGUGAUCAACUUAGAGGUAACCUUGAACUCAAAAAUUGAAGAGCUUCCUGCUACGGGGGCGAAACACGCCUAGCUGGAAGAGACGUACAGGAAAACUAUCGAGCAUAAUAGGCUUUUUAGUUCAACUGUACGUGACCUUGAUGUUAGCUUUAAAUCUGCUAUGUCCUCCCGGGAAAACCUUUCUAUCGAGGUAACCCAACUCAAAGAAGAACUUAACUGCGGAGCGAUUUCCCUCGACUUUGAGAAAACUUACGCUAUGUACAUCAUGAGAAGAAAAACCUUGGAAGAGGCCAAAGUUGGUGUCAUUAAUUUUGAUGCCGAAAUUGCUAAGGCCCGUGAGCUUAAGUUAGCUGCUAAAAGUGGACUCCCAGCGAGGUCUGAUGCACCUAGUCCUUCUGGUUCCAUUUUCGAGUUCUGGAGAACUGAAGAAGAAUCGGAGGAUGAUGAUACUAAAGGCCAAACUGGUGAAAAUGUUGAGCCAUCGGUGCGUCUGUCUACUUCUCCCGGGGGCGCGGACACUUCUCUUCCUCCUAGUUUCGGAGAUAAUACAGUUUAGCUUUUCUUUUCUUUUUCCAAUUCUUGUACCUGUGCCGUUUUAACUCUUUUUUUUUUAAAUAAAAGCAUCUUUUGCUCAAGUAUUGUUUGAGUCUUCAUUUUGUUUGAAUAUUCAUGCAAGUCUUUAAUAUUUGCAUUUUCUUCCUUUUGCUUAAGAAUUUUGCGCAAGCUUUUCUGUUUUGCGUCUUAUUAUACGAAGCCUUGGGUGUAUUCUCCCCGAAAGCAUUUUCGGCUUUGAGCAUCAACCCUUUUUUGUGAGGGCUUUGAUAAGUAUUUGCACAAGUUUACUUUUUGCGUCCUUUCGUAUGCGACUUCGGGUGUAUCUUUCAUCGAAUGCAUUUUGAUUUUGGGCAUAAAUCCUUCCGGAACCAACCGUUUAACGUGAGGGUUUUUAUAAGAGAGGGCCCUCUUAUGUUUACGACAUCUCUUGUUCAUUACGACACUAGCAUUUGAAGUAUUUGUUUAACUUUCAAAUGACAAAGUUAAUUCAUCGUUCAAACAAGAAACAAGAUAAAAACAAAAGCAUUUCAUUUUAUUCCUUCUAUUUUCAAAAAGUACAUAUGCAUUUGCUAUAUUGAAAAGAAAUUACCAUUACUUGUGGCUAACUUGUAUAACUUGUUUCUACGGGGCUGUCUGCGGAGUCCCCAGUCCCGAUGAUGCAAUUAUAUUUCCGUUUUUUUGUUUCCCAGUUGACAUGGCAGUCAUUAUUGCCGUAUCCUCAUAUUAUCCCCCCCCACGUAUUCAAAUGCGAAAAGUGCGAAUAGGAACACUGGAAGUCUUGUAUCUUCAAAUAUUCUACUAAUGCACCUCUAGUGGUUUGUGCUCGUGAACGAUCAGGUAACCUUUGCUCAAUAGCAAACUUAACUUCCCGGUGGGAAUUUUCUAUAGAGAAAAAGAUUAUCUAACUAUCCCCGAGUGGAUCCUUGUUUGUGUGCCUUGCUAUUAAAGGUCUUAUUGUUGUUGUCUUCGUAGUAUGCUUUCUGUUGCUGCCUCGUUAAAAACCUUGCCAGAAAAACCUAAUUGGGACAAAAACUGAACGAAGGGAAAAAGAGUGCAACACAUACUUUCUGAUUAGAUAAUGUUCAUCAGCAAUAAUAUCUUUUGAGGUGUGCCACGUUCCAAUUGCUGGGAAAUAUUUCUCCAUUUUGGUUUUUCAACUCGUAUGAACCUUUCCCAGUGAUAGCUGAAACCCGGUUGGGGCCUUCCCACAUUGGACCUAGCUUCCCCGCAUUGAGCUCAUGGGUGUUUUGAGUUACUUUCCUUAGGAUCAAGUCUCCUGCUUUCAAAUAAUAGAGGUUGGCUCUUUGAUUAUAAUACCGCUUCAUUCUCUGCUUUUGAGCUACCAUUCUUACAUACUCCAAGCCCCUGCAUUCAUCGAGCAGUUCCAAGUUGACUAACAUUGCUUCAUUGUUCGAUUCUCCAUCUGCUGGAAAUAUCUCAAGGUGGGUUUCACUACUUCCACCGGGAUUAAAGCUUUUGCAUCGUACACGGGGGAAAAUGGGUUUCUCCUGUGCUUGACUUGGUCCUAGUUCGGUAUGCCCAUAGAACUCUAGGUAAUUCCUCGGGCCAAUUACCCUUAGCCGCUUCCAAGCUUUUCUUGAGGUUUUGAAUAAUCAUUUUGUUUGUCGACUCUGUCUGUCCGUUUGCGCUCGGAUGAUAGGGUGAAGAUGUGAUCCUCUUUAUUUUUAAAUCUUGGAGGAACUUUGUAAUUCUUGCGCCGAUAAAAUGUGGUCCAUUGUCACAUGCUAUCUCUUUUAGAAUUCUGAACCUGCAAUUUAUAGUUUCCCACAAGAAAUCCACCACUUAGCAUUCUCCGAUCUUCUGAUAAGGACCUGCUUCCACCCAUUUAGAAAAAUAGUUAGUCAAAAUUAAUAGAAAUCUUACCUUUCCAGGAGCUGGUGGCAGUGGUCCGACGAUGUCCAUCCCCCAUUUCAUGAACGGCCACGGGGACAGAACCGAAUAUAAGGGUUCCGCCGGUUGAUGCACCAGUGGUGCGUAGUGUUGACACUUAUCAUAUUUUCGUACGAAGUAUUUGGCGUCUUGUUCCAUGCGAGGCCAAUAAUAUCCUGCCCUUACCGACUUCAACACUAAGGAAUUUGCGCCCGAGUGGUUUCCGUAUAUCCCUUUGUGAACCUCUCUCAUGACAUAGUUUGCUUCGGAUGCCCCUAAGCAUCAGGCCAGCGGGCCUUGGAAAGAGUUUCUAUACAAUUGGCCUCUCUUGAAGCUAUAUCGCGCUGCUUUGGUGCGCAUCGCUCGGGGUAGUUUGGGGUCUUCAGGUAGCUUCCAGUGUUUGAGAUAAUCGAUGAUUUCAUUCCUCCAGUCCCAGACCAGAUUAGUCGAAUUUACCUCAUAUUAACCAUCUGUAUCCAGGACUGAGUUCAUCAGUUAUGCUACCGUCCUGGACUCCGACCCUUUAUUUCCGUUAAUGAUCCUAGGUUUGCCAAUGCAUAUGCUUCUGCGUUAUCUUCCCUUGAAAUAUGAGUAAUUGACCAUUCCCGGAAUCACGCCAACAGAGCCUAAACCUUUACCACGUAUUGUUGCAUGCACUUCUCUUUGGUCUCGAAGAUCUCGUAGACCUGAUUUACCACCAGUUGUGAGUCGCAUUUGAUUUAGAUCACCUCAGAGUCAAGUCCCCGGGCCAAUUCGAACACUACAAUCAAAGCUUCAUACUCUGCUUCGUUGUUAGUUAAAUAGACCGUCUUGAUGGCUUGCCUUAGGGUUUCCCCCGAAGGCGUGAUUAAGACUAUACCGAGCCCGAACCGUUUUACGUUGGAAGCUUCGUCCGUAAAUAAGGUCCAAAUCCCUAAUGUCGAUUUUGACACCAUUACUGCCUCCUUGGUUUCCAGAGGCAAUAAUCCCGAACUGAAAUCGGCCACGAAGUCAGCCAAGACUUGCAACUUAAUUGUAGUCCUUGGUUUAUAUUCUAUGUCGAAUUCACUCAUUUAGAUGGCCUAUUUGGCCAAUCUACCCGAGAUCUCGGGUUUAUGGAGGAUGUUUCGCAAAGGAAAAGUAGUCACCACGGCUAUCGGGUGGCAUUGGAAGUAGGGCCUCAGUUUCCGAGCGGCGACUAUGAGAGUUAAGCCCAGUUUCUCCAAAUGUGGGUAACGCGUUUAUGCUCCCGUUAAAAUUUUACUAACAUAAUAAAUGAGAGAUUGCAUACCUUCAUUCUCUCGGACUAAAACCACACUUACCGCAACUGUCGAGACCGCGAGUUAAACCAAUAAUGUUUUACCUUCUUUUGAUUUUGAAAGCAAUGGAGGGCUUGAAAAGUAUUUCUUUAAAUCCUUCAAAGCCUGUUGGCACUCAGGGGUCCAUUCAAAAUUAUUUUUCUUUUUUAGCAGUGCGAAGAAAUGAUGACACUUUUCUGAUGACUAGGAAAUGAACCUGCUUAAAGCUGCCAAUCACUCUGUAAGCCUUUGGACUUCCUUCACGUUUGAUAGUUGAUCUAGAAUGUCUUCUAUGGCCUUGAUCUUAUCGGGGUUUACAUCAAUUCCCCUUUGUGAUAUGAGAAAUCCCAGAAACUUACUAGAGCUGACCCCGAACGCGUAUUUCUCUGGAUUAAACUUCAUAUUAUGCCUCCUUAGUAUGUUGAAAGUUUCUUACAGAUGUUUAAGAUGAUCACCUACAUUUAAAUACUUAACGAGCAUAUCGUCUAUAUAAACUUCCAUAGUUUUUCCUAUUUGAUUUUCAAACGUCUUGUUCACGAGUCGUUGAUAAGUGGAUCCGGAGUUUUUCAACCCGAAGGGCAUCACAUUGUAGCAAUAUAUACCGAAAAUCGUUAUAAAUAAAGUUUUUUCCUGAUACUCCUGGUUCAUCUUAAUUUGAUUGUACCCAGAAUAAGUAUCGAAAAAACUCAUUAACUCGUGCCCAGCCGUGGCAUCAAUCAUUUGAUCGAUGUUUGGCAGUGGGAACGAGUCUUUCUGGAACACCUUGUUAAGAUCUUUAUAAUCUACACACAUGCAAAACUUAUUGUUCUUCUUAGGAACUACUACUACAUUGGCUAGCUAGUCUGGAUAUCUUACCUCUCGGACCGAACCAAUAUUAAGUAAGCGAGUUACCUCUUCUUUGACGAAUUUAUUCCUGGCUUCGGCAAUCGAGCGUUUCUUUUGUCUUACCGGAGGUAUGUUGGGAUCUAAGCUUAACUUGUGUACGGCUACCUCUGUUGGGAUGCCUGUCAUAUCUUCAUGCGACCACACAAAAUAAUCGGUGCUAAAUUUAAGGAAUUUAAUAAAGUCAGACUUGAGUUUUGGGUCCAGUCCUAUCCUCAAGUGGAAUUUCCUUUCUAGGAAUUCUUCGAACAAUGCCACUUUCUCCAGCUCUUCCGCUGUGGAUUUGUUUGCAUCAGUCUCUUCUGGGACUUGGAAAUAUCUCGGCACCUGACAAUAUUCUGACGCCUCUGCCCCCGAGUUAACUUUAUCUAGUUUGGGAGUAGGUGUUGGUCCCUGUAAUUGCUAUGCUAAGUGUUCCUUUCCUUUGCUACUGGAGACCUAAAUUGCAUUCAUCUCCUUUGCCGCCGGUUGAUCACCCCUUGUAUGCUUAAUCCCUUCGGGCAUUGGAAACUUCAGCAAUUGAUGAUACAUUGAUGGUACAACUUUUAUCUCGUGCAACAAUGGCCUUCCCAGAUCCCAUAUCACCAUCUACUACUUUGGAAAAAGUUGUUUUCAUUACUCCUUCAGCGUUCGUGAGUAAUAAAAUUUCUCCCCAGGUUGUCACACUUGCGAGGUUGAAUCCGGCGAUGAGCUUUGUGGCCGGAAUAAUGCUUUCAGUGAGUUUAGCUUGCUCCAAUACUCUCCGUUGUAUAAUAUUAGCUGAACUUUCUGGAUCCAUUAGAACAUAUUUAAUCUUAAAAUCUAGCUCAUUUAAAGAAAUUACAGUGCGUCGUUAUAUGGUAGCAACAAUCUCUUUGCAUCCUCCUCCGUAAAAGUGAUAUCGUCUUCCCGAAGCCUUUUGCUAUGCGUUAUUGAUUCUUUCAUGUUCUUUGCUGCUGAAAAGGUGACCCCGUUAAUCUCGUUCCCUCUGAAUAUCAUGUUGAUUGUUUGACGCAGGGGAUCUUCUCAUGCUUUUGAGGGUUCCGCAUUGUCCCGGUUAUGACCAUAAUUGUUCUUAGCUCGGUCACUCAAGUAUUCUCCGAGGUGAUCAUUCUUCAAUAAUGUUGCCACUUCUUCCCGGAGGUGUCGAUAGUCUCCUGUCUGAUGGCCAUUCGUCCCGUGGUAUUCAUACCACAAGUUGGUAUCCCUCUGGCUGGGAUCAGAUCUCAUCGGUUUCGGGAACCAUUCUUCUUUGAUGUUUCUCAUGGACCACACCAACUCCACUGUACUGGCGUUGAAGUUGUAUUCCGAUAACUUUGGGUAAGAAGGAUACCGUGAUCCUGACACUUCUUUAUCCUGCAGUGAUCGAUUGUUCUGACCACGAGCAGUCCUCCUGUCAACGACGCAUCUAUCCGCUGUCCGGGAACCUCUGUUGCGACCUUCGGUCCGUUCGUAAGGCAAAAACUGGCCCCUCGAAGUCUUUCUGUCCGCGUCAUAAUCAUCCUUUGAUUUUUCUCUAUUCUUUUCUCAUCCUUUGGUCGACGAUGGAAAACCAACUUUAUCAUCUUUGAUCCUUAUUUUUGAUUCAUACCGGUUGUGGAAAUUCGCCCAGGUCGUUGCUUGAAACUCGAGUAGGCUUUCCUUCAAUUUUCGGGAAGUGUCUGAACUCCUCGGAUUCAAUCCCUUGUUGAAUUCUUCAGCCGCCCAUUCAUCUGGGAUAGCCGGGAGCAACAUUCUCUCUUUCUGGAAUCAGGUAACGAACUCUCGUAGAAGCUCGGACUCUCCUUGCGCAAUCAUGAAUAUGUCAGCCUUUCAGGCCUGUAUCUUUCUAGCCCCGACAUGAGCCUUGAUGAAAGAAUCUGCGGGCAUUUCAAAAGAGUCUAUGGAAUGCUCGGGUAACAGCGAAUACCACGUCAAGGCUCCCCUCGUGAGGGUUUCUCCAAAUUUCUUUAGCAACACAGAUUCAAUUUUGUGAGGAGCUAAAUCAUUUUUCUUUACCGUCAUUAUGUAGGUGGUAAUAUGCUCCUGGGGGUCUGCAAUUCCGUCAUACUUUGGCACUUCAGGCAUCUUGAACUGCUUCGAGAUUAACUAUGGUACCACACUUGACUUGUAUUAAAAUUGAGUAUACCUUUUCGAGUUCGGACCUUUCAGCACUGGUGGCACACCCGGGAUCUUAUCCAUGCGGGCGUUUACCUCCCUCAUAAACCGUAAAAGUUCACUCUUGAAAGGAUCAUUCUUGUUGUUGAGGCCAGAUCCGCUCCCCCUGCCUUAUCGGAGCCAAUUUCAUCCCUGGGAGUGUUGUUGUCGCCCCUCUGCGUUGUUUGAUUUACGGGGAUACCGGGAGCAAUCGGAUCUCGCAUGUUUGCAUUAUUUGAAGCUCUCGACAGCACCUAUUUCAACUUCGUCAUGACCUUAUUCUGUCGCGUGAAGUGGCCUAGAAUGAUCGCUUGUUGCUCUUGCAAGACCCUUACAACGUCAACGACAUGUUCCUCAUUAGCAUCAUCGGGAGUGGUCUCCCGAACAUAUCGAGGAUAUUGCUUAUCAUACACCGGUGUAGCGCCAUUUCCCUCAUUAUGGGUGUCACUAAUUGAGUCCUCAAAAUGAGGAUGAUCUACUCGAAUCUCGGGGUUGUGCAUGUCGUUAACAGUGUUAUAUGUCAUUUCUUAUGAUUUUUUCUAAGAUAAAAUAAUCAAAACACGUUCGUAAAAAGGCAAGGGUCAAUUUAAUUACACGGCUGUCUAUGCCCCACGGUGGGCGCCAAACUGUUUACCCGUAAAACGGUACAUUUAAAUUUAUACAUGGUUUCUAGACAGAUAAAUUAAUUUGAUACUGAAAUAGUAAAAUCAUCGAAGAAUUAUGAAAUACUUAGCAUUAGGAUAUAGACGAAACAGCAGAAGCAACACUUCCGGGAACAAGAUUUUCGAGUACAACAACAACGAAAUCAAAAAGUAAGAAGAUAAUACUAUAUUGAGCUUUGUAUAUAAUGUAGCAUACGUUUUUCAGAAAAUUCAUGUCCUUUACAAUGACAACUGAGCUCACUAUUUAUAGCUAUGAAGGAAGUCCUAGGAUCGUGCCCUUCUUUAAUGUCAAUUAUGAGGAAUAUUGGUGAAGAUGUAACGGUGAACAUAAAUGGUAAAUUCCCUGUAACGGGUAAUUGCUCUUAAUGCCGUGGAAUAUUCUCUAUUAAAUGCUACCGGGCGAAGAGCAUUUAUCACAUCUUUAUGAACGUUAUUCUUUUCGGUUACAAACAAAACAGUUGCCUUCGGUCUUUGGUCAUCCCCCGUCUUGGAUUCCACGUGUCUCUUUUUUGGACGGCCACGUGUCAUAACAUAUUUUACCCUAUACAUUUAUAUAUUCACUUUUACUGCAAAAGUAUAGCCACAAUGUGUCAUUAUUAACUAGAUGUGCGCAUGGCCGUGGGACUUUAAUUCUAGUAAUGUGGGGGUAUUAAUAUAUUUGUAAGUUACAACGUUAAUAGGUAAAUUUCACAAAUAGUCAUAUAACUAUGACCUUUUUUCAUCAAAGUCAUAUAACUUUAUUUUCUCACACAAAAGUCAUAUAUCUUUCACCAUCUUACUCAUUUUUUUAAUUUUUUAAUUCAAACUAAUAAAUUAUGAUACAAUUAAAAUAUGUCCGACCCGACCCGACCUAAUAUCCAUAUCCACAAAUUAAGGUAGAUCGUUUGAAUUUUCAACCAGAAAUUCUUUAAGGUAGCCUCAAAAUACGAUACUUCUCAUAAUUAUGCUUACCAACAAACUAUACAAUUUCAUGAAUGCAAAACAAUUAUCAUGCUAUUUUCUUUUCAGUUAUUCGGUUAUUCCUGGACCUCUCUCCUUAUGUAAGUAUCUUAUUUGUGAUAAUGGGUAGGUGCUUCAUAGAUCCAUGACUAUCCUGUCACAAUCUAUUUAAUUCUAAGGAAGUACCUAAUAGUAAAAAUCAUAAAGUAAAACAUUCCUCGAACUAAAAGAACUUUUAUGGAAAAAUAGAACUACUUUUGUAGGAGAACGAGCAACACUAUUGAACAAAAUAUUGCUUACUAAGCAAUACAACAAAUAAAAUAUGCGUCAACCAAAAGACAAAAGCAGACACAAUAUAUUGUGUCAUUUUAAGUGUAUGCCAUUUACAAAAGAUAAUUUUUUUUUUAGACAAACAUCCCUAUUUUGUCUUUUGAGAGUUUACACAUCUUCUUCACCACAACUUGCACAUAAUCUUGUAUAACGUUCUUCUUGACUUCCCUGCCUCUUUUUUAUACUUUCACAACUUCAGUGGCACCUUGCAUAAUUUUAUGACCAUGUACAGCUCUCCUGGCAACAUCUUGUUCAGCAACAUCCUAUAAAACAAUGCAACACCAUGAAAAAUUAAUAAAAGAUGUAUUUUACGUCUAUAGUUGAUUGAUUUCUUAAGAUGAGGUCCACAUCUAUCCUUUCUGCAUUUUGAGGUUGUUGAAUGAAACCUUGAAUAACCCACAUCUCUGGAUAAUAAGUGUCACGACCCAAACUCUGGUUUAGACCGUGAUGGCGCCCAGCACCCUUGCUAGGCAAGCCGACAGUGAACAAUCUAGUAAUUUUCAUUUUUAAUAAGUCAAACAGCUAACUUUCUUUAAAAAUUUAGAGAAUUUAGCAAAUAACGGAAUUUAAAGUGAACAAAAUGAAAACAGCUAAAUGAAAUCAUAAACGUAGAAAUACAACCUAAAAUCAUAAGUCUACUAGCUAGUGUAUGUCAAGACCCGGUGUCACAAGUAUAUGGGCUACUAGUAGAAUAUACAAAAGAAUUCUAAUCUACCGUCUAAAAUGGGAUAGACAAAACAAAUAAACAAAGAAAAAGACUCCGGCUGCUGCAGAACGACUCGAAAGGGUAGCUCACCGAGUAGUCUUAUAGCGGGGAUCAAAUAUGCGCAUCGGGCUGGUAAUCAGAUGUACUUGCCUCAGAUCCUGCACAAUCAAGUGCAGAAGUAUAGCGUGAGUACAUAAACAACAUGUACCCAGUAAGUAUCUAGUCUAACGUCGAAGAAGUAGUGAUGAUGGGUCGACUCUGACACUUACUAUGGGCCAACAAUAAUAUAUCAAAUAUAUACUAAGCAUGGAUUUCAUGAACAAUACUGAAAGCUCAAUAUCAGGAAAUAGUAAAUUCUUCUUUCGCAAGUAUUAAAUCCCAAGCUUAGUUUCAUUAUUUAACAGCUUGCAAUUCAAGGCAUUUUAAGUGUAAAUCAUGAAUAGUUCCAAAGUUUUUCAUGCGCAUAUCAUGCCAAGGUCGUACGGCCCGAUCCAACAUAAUAUUUAAACUGUGCACUGUCGAGGGUCAAACGGCACGAACCAUAGAUACAUCUAUCUACUAUCGAGGCGUUCGGCCCGCUCCAUAAAUAGAAAAUAUUUCAAAUAACACACAAGUUCUCAUUUAUAGUCAAGUGUUCCAUUCGCAAAUUUAAGUAAGUAACUUUAACCUUUUUCAAUUCUUUUAUCAACUCAAAUAUGCCUUAAGCAAUUAAAUCAACAAAUGAGAGUGCAAACAUUUCAAGUAUAGUAUGGUAUAGGUCCUAGACUACCCGGACAAUAGCAUAAUUAGUAGCUACAUACGGACUCUCGUCACCUCGUACAUACGGAGCCCUACACGUAGGAGCACAUUUUAGUUAUAAUUUACCUAUGGGGUUAAUUCCCUCUUAUAAGGUUAGAAAAGAGACUUACCUCGUCUCAAAGCCUACUUCCCAAUUCAAGAAUGCGCUCAAACCUUCAAAUUUGAUGCCAAACGACUCGAAACUAGUCAAACAUUUCAUAAAUCAAUCAAUCUAUGCUCAGAAGUUCAUAUUUUUAUUAUUAGAGUGAUUACCCAACCCAAAUUGCAAGAUCCCUAAAAUUCACCCCGGGGCCCACAUACCCGGAUUCCAGAAUUAUUUGAAGAAAGUUAUUACCCAUAAUCUUAGGAACAUAAAUAUAUGAUUUUCACUAAGUUUCAUAAUCAUUUUCAUGGUAAAAUCUAAUUUUUAUUAAACCCUUGAUUUUUCAUCUAAACCCAUGAUUUCUACCAAUUUUCAUAUUGAAAUCUACCCAUAAUCUAUGUAUUAAACUCACAUUAAGGUAGGAAUUACUUACCCUCAAUAGCUAGGUUGAAGUCUCCCUUUUUGAAGCUCUAAAAUCUCCCAAAUGUGUGAAGAAUGGGAGAAAAAUGCCUAAGUCCCGUAUUAAAUGAAGUUCACUGUCUUCAGCAAUUUUCGCACCUGCGGUCAUAGGGCUGCACCUGUGCCCUCGCUUCUGCGGACAAAAGUCCGCUUCAGUGAAACUCCCCUGGACCGGCUGGCGUCACUUCUGCGGAUGGGUAUCCGCUUCAACGGAGGAUGGGCUGCCCUUCCUUGGCCGCUUCUGCGAGGUUUGGCUCGCACCUGCGGCUGGCCAAGCGCAGGUGCGAUUAUGAUAGACCUGAUGCUUCAGCUAUUGCUCCAAAUUCUCAUCUUGGUCUGAGCCUCGUCCGAUUGACACUUGGGGCCCCCGGUUCCCCGCGCAAACGUACCAACAAGUUUGGAAUCAUAAAACGGACUCUCUCGAAUUCUCGGAACACCCGAAACAACAUCAAAACUAAGAAUCGCACCCCAAAACCAAUUGAAUCAAACUUAAGAACUUCAAGUUCUUCAAUUUACUCCCAAUGCACUGAAACGUACUUAAACUACACGGAAUGACACUAAAUUUUGCGUACAAGUCUUAAAUGACAUUACAGAACUAUUCCCGAUCUUAGAAUUCCGUUUGACGUUGAUAUAGCCAAAACCCGCUCCAAACCAAAUUUAAAGAACUUCAAGAUUCUUCAAGAACCAACUUUCACUAUUAGGCGCCAAAACGCUACAAGGUCAUCCAAAAUCUGAUUCUAACAUACUCCCAAGUCUAAAAUAUCAUACGAACCUAUUGGAACCGUCAAAUACUAAUUCGAGGUCGUUUACUCAAAAUGUUGACCGAAGUCAAACUUGGCCUUUUUAGCCAACCUUUAGGAAUCAAGUGUUCUGAUUUCAACCCGAAUCCUUCCAAAUCACGAACCAACCAUCCCCGCAAGUCAUAUACUAAUGAAAGCACAUACAAAAAGUCUUAUUUGGGGGAACGAGAUUCUAGAAAGUAAAACGACCGGUCGGGUCAUUACAAUAAGUAUUUGACUAGCCCAAAAGGUAAGAUCUACUUACACAAUAGACAUGGGAAAGCCUUUUAUUUUCUCUCUCAGUGCAUGUUAGGUGACCUAGCUUGUAACACCCUGAAAACGUUUGAAGUGUUUUAAGACUAUUAAGAAGAUUGGUGGGUGCCAAUUAUAUUAAUUCGAGUAUGAACAAGACUAAUAAUAUGAAUGAUAUCAAUUGAUCAUGAUAAUAUAUGUAUGAGGUUCAUUUAGAAUGGUUUAUGAUCCAAGCAGAGCCCUAAGGCUAAGUCAAGUUGUAAAUUAUAUAAUGGAGUAAAGUUUCAAGUGAGUUCGCACAAGACAUAACUUCAAACGAGCAUAAAUCUCAUGAUAUGAAGAGUUAUAUGGUUUAUCACAUAUCUAAUUAAAGGUCUAUGUGUCUAGUUUCUAAUACUUCAAACCGUUCAUCAUUUGGAGGGUUUUACAAGGAGUUAUGACAUUUUUACCAAAGGAUAGUAGAACAGCUAUGUGAGUCUUGCGUAGCUUACACACCAUGCGUAGGCAAAUCCAACAGGUGCUAAUAGAAGAGGAAUGGUCGGACAUCCUCUGUAACCUUUGUGCGUAGCCUACGCAUCCAUCAGACUCAUUUUUAAAAUGUAGAAAUAAGGGUUUUGAGAGAGAAAGUGUUAGUUCUUCAACUUGGAAUUGAUUUCUAGAGAGAACGGGAAGCUCUUCCACCAUGGAUACACUUCAAGGUAUGUUAUUUUGGUACAAAGAUGAUUAUAUUACAUCAUUUAGUAAUAACACUAAUACUAUUAUGGAUCAAAUCCAUAGAAAAUGGGUUGAAUCUUCAAGAACAUCAAAAAGAGGAAAAGUGAGAUUCUUCCACCAAGAGGUAAUCCCUUCACUUGAGCUUCAUAUAUAUGUCAUAUUGGAGUAUGGGUAGCAUAUUUAUGAGUUUUAUUUGAAGUUGUAAUGGGAUAUUAAAUGAACCCUAUAAGGGUGGGCCUUGAAAAUGAUAUUUUGGGUAAAAAAGAAGAUGAAAGUGAUGAAUUGAUAUAAAUGAAAUUGCUUUGAGUUUCUAAUGAUUCCAAUAGACUUGAUAACUUAAUUGAUGAACGAAUUGAAUAGGAAAUCACCAUUUGGACAAGAUGCAACACUAGUUCUUGAAAUGGGUGUUCUUGAACCUAGAGUUUUGUUGGAGAAGACAAUGAAUAGUGACUUGAUGAUAUUGGAUAAUUAACAUAGUGUUAUUAAAGACUCUAAAUGAGUAUUAAAUGAUAAGAAUGGAAUUGAAUAGGCUAAUGAGUGAGCCUAUUGGAUAAUUUGGGAUGGUUGUAGGCUUGUUGCUGAAUUGUGAAGCUUAAAAGAAUAUUUAUAAAUUUUUUUGUAUUUGUAUUGAUGUAUUUAUGAUAUCUAAUGGUAGAUACUGAAUUGUGAGCGAUAUUUGAUUAUUUUAAUUAAUUGGAGCAUUGUAGUAGUUUUGGAGCUUGAAGGUUGAGGUAAGUUGAUUAAGACUUACUCUUCUUGAGGAAUUCUCUUUAAAGCAUGUAUUAAGUUGAUCUAUUGUAUUAUUUGUAAAUGUGCAUUCGUACUUGUGGAGACAUGCGAGAAAGAUGUCACAAUGUGUUUCUAAAUUAUUGCUUAUGAAGUGUCAUGCAAUUUUAUAAAAGUCUUAUUUUUAAAACUUGGUUGCAAAAUGACACUUAAGGAAAUUCUUAUAAGUUUUAUUAAAACUUAUUUGUUGAUAAGAGUAUAAAAUGCUUGAGUGCUAAAUAUAUGUUUUCAUGAAAAAAGUUUAUCUUUUGAAAUUACAACAAAGGAAGCACUUGUUGUAUUUUUAGAUUGAUGUUAUUUGGUAAAGGCUUUAACAUGAAAAAGGAUAUUCAUUUGAUUUUGUUCAAAUAGUUUAGAUUGUCUAUGAAAAUCAUGAUUCGAUAAAAAUAGAUCCUUUGAGGUAAUUAUGCUAUGAAUCUAUUUUUGAUAUGUCAAAUAUUUUGGGAGUUACUAGCGGAGACCACCGAGAUUGGUUCGAAUGUUGAGUUCGUUACCAUGAAACUACACGUGCCGGUGUAGGGACACAUUCCAAGGCAAAGCCGAGGUUUGUGGGAUAAAGUCCCCCAUUGAGAGGGAAGAUGAUCAUUACUUAAAGUAAUGAGGUUAAGUCGACUCGUACGGCACUACGGGAAGCCGCCCAGACAAGUAGGGUCAAAUACUUGUUGCUAGGAUGAUCACCUAGUAGUUGUUCAUUAUGUCAGUGUCAGUAUAGUACUCCCGGUGAAAGAAAAAAGAGAACUUUCUUAUGUUUAGGCCUAAGGAGUCGAAAAUAAUUUCGAUGACUUAAUGAGAUUGAAAUGGUUUUAUAUGAUUUCUAUGAAAAUCUUGGGUUGAUAGAGAUGUUCUAAAAUUUUAUAGCAUGGCUUAAAUUUCACUUGUCUUUUAUUUAAAAUGAUAAGAGCAUGAUUUAUAUAAUUGUUUAUCACUUUAUGUCCAAUAUUGGUUGCAUAGUUUUUUAAAAUCUUGUCCCAGGAACUUGAGUUAAAGAGAGUCUAUGUCAAUUAUUGAGUACCGAUGUGGUGUACUCAACCCUUAGAGGCCCAUCUCCAGGGCUCCACUUAUUUUACAUGUUUCAAAAUGAGGUAUGAUAUGUGGCAUGCGGUCAGGGCUAGGAUGACUCUCUUCCUGAGGUAUAUGGUGAGGCACCGCUCCUAUUUUAUGGUAGCUAUCAUGUUGUUUUCUUAAUUUAUACUAGUCGGGUAUUAGCCCUAUUGUUUAAUUCUAUUCUUUGGUAUAAACGCUUCAUAGAUAGUUGUGAAACGUUGUAGUAAUGGCAUUGUACAUGACGAACAUGAAAAGAUACUUAUUUUACUUAGUCUCAUUGUAAUAAUUAUUAGAAGCUUCAUGUAUAUUUGAAUUGGAAAAAUAUUCCAUUGUUUAACUUGAAAAUAUAUAAAAUUUUCAAAGAGCUUCCGCAGUUAAAUUAGUUUUCAUGCAUAUGGUUUGGGUGCAUCAUAUUGGUUGGUUCGCUCGAGUCGGAUAGUAUGCCGGGUGCUGGUCACGUGGAUUUGGGUCGUGACAUAACUAACUUGCGCCUUCGCUAGAAAUGGGAGGAAGAGGAAAAGCGAAGAAAAACACUAGUGGUAGAAAGGAAACUAACAGACAUUACCAUGCGAGAACAAGGAAAACGAACAGCAAAAGCAAAAGACAAAAUGCAAGAGGAAGAUCAGGAUCACGAAAUUGACAGUGACCUAAAUUGGCCAGAUCUGGGUAGUGCUCGAGCUAAAUUGGAAACGCCGGUGAGCUCAGGAACUCAAUUGAUACCUGUGGCGAGCUCUGGAGCUAAAGGACCAAUUAUAGUGCCGAUCACAAUUGGUGAUGCGAGUACGAGCAAGUUACAAAGAAAUAGAACAGUACAUGUAAGCUCGCCAAAGGAACAGAGGCCUGCAGAGAUUGACAAUAGGAAAAACACUCAGGAGAAGAAACCAGAGUAGGCUGGAGAUGGGGGAAGAUGGCGGGCAGGGUUGUUCCAGGAGAACAAACUCGCAGCUAAGGGUAUGAAUCUAACAUACAUUCCCCCCCGGGUGAUGUAGGACGGGGAAAUCAUAGUACAACUACUAAAAGUGGACAUUGCAGAAGAAAACCAGAAGUGGAAUCGAGCGAUGAUCAUGUAUGUGAUGGGUAAUACUCCAACUAUUGGAGCAAUUGAACGCUUCAUAGCUAACCAGUAGAGUAAUGUGAAAAAACCUAAGGUACUCUUCCAGAAUGAUGGAUAUUUCAUAAUUUUGUUGAAUAGUAGUGAAGAGAGGGAUGAAGUACUGCUGAAUCGUACUUAUACUAUCAAUAGUAGGCCAAUCUUAAUUAGUCCAUGGAUGGCAAGAUUUUAAUGAAAAAGAUCUGAAAACCAUUCCUCUAUAGGUCAAGUUCCCUAAGCUGCCGCUCAACUACUGGAGCAAACUAGCCCUAAAAAAAAUUGGGAGUAGUUUAGGCAAGACCCUGUAUGCUGAUGUGUGUACUACAAUGGCUGAUAGAGUUUUCUAUGCUAUGGUCUUGAUUGAAAUGGACAUCAUUAGGCCCCUACCAGAGAAAUCAAACUACAUGAUCCUAAAGGCAAGGUGAUCGAGCAGAUGGUGCAAUUUGACUGGAAAUCUCAGUACUGCCAGACCUGUUGUCAACUAGGUUACUCGUGUAGAGAUUAAAAAAAAGCAGAAGCAAGAGGGUGGACAUCAGAGAGGUCUAGAAUUGAAGCAAAACCAGGAAUGGAGAAUAGUGAGGGAGUUUGACCCUAAUAUGGACAAAAUUGAUGCUCAAGGCAUGUUCCUUAAUCAAUUGGAGUCAGCAGGAGAGGCGCAACCCAAUAGGGGUGGGCAUAAUAUCGACCGAAUCGAAAAAACUGGCUGAACCAAAAAUUUUGUUUUAUUCUAUUUUUAUUUUUCGGUUUAUUCGGUCAGUUUGCGGUUUAUAGUUUUAAAACGUUUGGUGUUCGGUUCGGUGAUCGGUUUUAAUGGUUCGAUUUUCAGUUAAACCGAAAAAUCAAUUUUUUUAAUCAGUUUUUUUACUCUUAGUCCCUUAUCGUGUUGCUCUUUCUUAGCCUUAAAGCCCAAAACUCAUUCUCAACCUAUAGAAGCCCAAUCCAUUGGAUAUUCUAACACAAACACAACUCCAUUUAUAUAUCCGUCCACUUCUGAAUUCUCCUUGCUUAUUUCUUUCUUCCAUCCAAAAAGUACUUAAUAUGUUUGUUUGAAGCACUAAAUUGAAAAAAGAUAGAAAAUAUUAAAGAUAAUUAAUUCAUACUAUUGAAGUUGCUGACUUACUGUUAUAGUAAUUUGAUUGGAUCUCCACUCUAUACAUUAGUUAGAUAUAAGAUUUUAAUUUUUUUUCCUUCUCUUGUUUUCCCUUCUCUUCACUUAUUCACGGCCUCAUCCAUAAUUCAAAAACUUUUAAGAAAAAAGAAACUAAAAAUAAAUCAAAAGGAAGAGAGUAAAGGAAAAGACAAAAAAAAAAGAAGGAAGAACAUUCAUAAAGCAUUGUAUCAGUUGUUGAUUUAUAAUAUUACUUCAUGAAUGAAGUAUAUAUAUCACCGCAAACUUUUAAAUUCUAUAUAUGGACAAACAUAAAUAAAGUUUACUUUAUAUUGGAUCAUCCAUAAUAAAUAAAAUUAAUUAGUAACUCAAAAAAAUAAAUCAUGUCUCAAGCUCUUUAGUUAAGUUGGGCUUCCAUAACUCUUGCAUAAAUACUCUUAUCUUUUUAGUGUAUUUGAUGGUAUUUCUUAUUUCUUUUGUUAUUUACUGUCAACAAGUAAUCUAUUUUCGUUGUUUUGUACUAUUUUUGUCAUGGUUUGAAAUCGAAAAACCAAACCGAACAUGAAUAAACCGAACUGAACUGAAGUUAUUAUGGUUCGAUUUUGGUUAUUAAAAUCACAAACUGAAAACCAAAUAAACCGAACCGAAAUUCUAUAAAACCGAACCGAACCAACUGAUUCCCACCCCUAUAAUCCAACCAGCAGGGAAAUGACUCACAAUGGCAACUUGCUAGAGAAAAGUCUGUAUCAAAGAAGAAUAUAGGACCCAUAAGAGAGAAUGAAGUAGGCAUUGGCAAUGCCUUCAAAGCACUGGUUGACACAACACAGAAGAUAGUGCAACUAUCUGAAUCUCAAGGUACAAAAGGGCAACAGAGUAGAAGUAAUAGAGGAGGAGGCCCACAACAAACAACCAUAUUAUGAUGAUCAUCAUAGCAUAGAAUGUUAGGGGGUUGAAUAAAGUCUAUACACAAAAAGAACUAAAAAAUUACAAGGAGAAUAAAGUGGUGAUUUUUGAUGUUAUAGAGAAUAGAGUAAAGGAAAUCAAUGCAGGUUCAAUAUUGAAGAAGAUACUUAACAGCUGGUAAUGGGCAGGAAAUUAUGAUGAAGUAUCAAGUGGUAGAAUAUGAGUUGUAUGGGAUCAAUCACAUGUGGAGUUCUCUGUGAUCAGAAUAUAUGAACAAUAUAUAAUGGGGCAUGUUACCAUGAUCCAGCACAGAAUCAAUUUCAAUUUAUGUGUUGUCAAUGGAAUGUAUAUUAUACAAGACAGGAAAAGCCUAUGGGAUGAUUUAAAGGUGACUAUGAAUGGAGUCAGUGGCCCUAGCUUAAUAAUGGGUGAUUUUAAUACUAUCAUAUCUAAGUAAGGAUAAGGUACAUGGAAAUCCAGUCCAGGAGAUAGAGGUAAGGGACUUCAAGAACUUCAUACUUGACACAAGACUAGAUGAACUUAAAAUAGUUGGAUGAAAGUUCACCUGGACAAACAACCAUAUCUAUAGUAAAAUUGAGAGAAUACUGGUAAAUGCAGAAUGGAUACAGAACUGGCCUUACAUAGAGUGGGCCUAGCUUCUCUGAUCAUUGUCCUUUGAGUGUGUUUUUUUAUGGUACUAACCAAGAAGGUAGGGGACCUUUUCAAGUUUCUCAAUUGUUUGGAAAGCCUCAAUGAUUUUGAUGCAAAAGUAAAGCAAUGCUGGAAAACUAGUAAUAGGGGACCUGCCAUGCUUAAUGUGUGGAAUAAGCUCAAAGUGCUAAAAGGAGCCCUAAAGUAACUGAAUAAACAAGAGUUCGGUGGUAUUGGGUAUAAGAUUCAAGUGGAAAGGAACAAACUGGAAGGCAUCCAAGCUCAGAUGACUAUGCCAGGACAUGACACUGAGGCAAUACUACAAGAGAAGGCUGCAAAGCUAGAACUAGAAAAAUGGCUGAUGGUUGAGGAGAGUGUCUUGAAGCAAAAGUCAAGAAUUCAAUGGCUUAACUAGGUGAUUAUAACACAGUAUACUUCCAUGCUUGCAUGAAAAAUAGGCAAGCAAAGAAUCAUAUUGGCAAGCUGACUAACAGUGCUGAGCAAAUCCUUCAAAGUGAAACUGAAAUUGAGGAGGAAAUAUUUAGUUUCUACAAAAGACUACUUGGUACUGCUGCUCCACAACUGCCAGUAGUUAUCCCAGAUAUCAUGCAUAAUGGUUAUACUUUAACUAGGAAUCAACAACUAUAGCUUAUCAAACCAGUUACUAAAGAGGAAGUAAAGCAAGCUAUAAUGGAUAUUGAUGAUAAUAAAGCACCAAGAUGUGAUGGUUAUAAUUCAUUCUUUUUUUUAAAAAGACAUGACACAUCUUGGGUGAUGAAGUUACUGCAGCAGUAAUGGAGUUCUUUAAAACUGCUGAUAUGUGCAAAGCCAUCAAUUGCACCACUAUUACCUUGAUACCAAAAGUUAAGAACCUAACUAACAUCAAGGAGUUCAGGCCAAGUUCCUGCUGCAUAAUGCUUUACAAGAUCAUAUCUGAAGUUCUAACAGCAAGGCUACAUGAUGUUAUAGCAGAUUUAAUAGAUAAUUGCCAAAUAGACUUUGUACCAGGUAGACUGAUCACUGAUAAUAUCAUCAUGAGCCAUGAGCUGAUGAAAGGCUAUGAGAGGAAGAACAUCUCCUCAAGUUGUAUGCUCAAAAUAGAUAUACAGAAGGCCUAUAAUUCUGUUGAAUGGGUGUACAUUGAACAAGCGAUGAAGGUGUUGGGAUUCCCUGAAUUGUUUGUGAAAUGGAUAAUGGCCUAUAUCUGCACAAUGUCUUACUCAGCAAUAAUCAAUGGUAAGCUUGUUAUGCCAUUUGAGGCAAGGAAAGGGCUGAGACAGGGUGAUCCCCUAUCCUCAUUCCUAUUUGUAAUGGCCAUGGAGUACCUAAGUAGACUAAUGAAGCCACUGAAGGACAACAAGAAGUUUAAGUUUCAUCCAAAGUGUGCCAAAGUCAACCUAGUUUAACUGGGGUUUGCUGAUGAUCUACUUCUUUUCUGUAGAGGGGACUUAAAAUCAGUGAAGAUACUCGAUUAAUACUUUUAAAUAUUUUCUACAGCCUCAGGCCUAAUUGCACAUCCAAACAAAAGUUGUAUUUACUUUGGUGGAGUGAGCAACAUGACUCAACAACAUAUUAUGGACAUGCUAGGAUACUCUAAAGGUGAACUACCCUUUAGAUACCUUGUAUCUUACUGAGCACUAAGAGGUUAUUAGUUAUUCAAUGUGAACCUGUAAUUGACAGAUUGUUAAGUAGGAUUCAAAGCUGGACAACAAAAUUUCUAUCAUAUGCUGGAAGAGCAAUGUUAGUAAAGAGUGUUAUAUUUGCUAUACAGACAUUCUAGGAUCAGAUAUUCAUUUUGCCAAGGAAAAUCAUUCAGUUUAUAGAAUUAAUUUGCAGGAGAUUCUUAUGGACAUGAGUUGUUGAACCUACUAAAAGGCAUUGAUUGCCUGGGACAAACUGUGUUCCCCAAAGGUAGCAGAGGGCCUUAAUAUCACCAAUGUGGAGUUAUGAAACAAAGAAGCUAUUUGCAAGCUCUUAUGGAAUAUUUGCACAAAGAAGGAGAAACUGUGGGUACAAUGGAUUCAUUCAGACUACAUAAAAGGAAACACUAUCUGGAAUACAGAGCCCAAGAGUGCAUCAUGGAUCAUCCAAAAGAUAUUCAAGGCAAAAAACUACUUCGAGGCUGCUGGAUUUACAGAAGAGGAUGUACAUCAUAUGGAGAGAUUUCUCUAUGAGACUGUUAAGUCUCGAUCAAGGACAUAAGGUCUUGAACAACUUCGUAUUAUGUGUAUUGAUUUGCGUGCGUGGUGGAAUUCAGUUAUCGGAUGAUUCAGAGUCAAAUUGGAAGAAGGAUGCAAGUUUUAGAAGCUUAAGGCUUAGGAUUUUGACCGUAGUUGGAGUUGUGUUAAGACAACUCCGGAAUGGAGUUACAGUGACUCCAUUAGCUCCGUUGGGUAAUUUUGGACUUAGGAGCGUGUCCGACCUGUGAAUUUGAGGUUUGCAGCUGAUUUAGGCUUGAAAUGGUGAAAGUUAAAUUUUUGGCGAUUUUGACCGGUAGUGGACUUUCUGAUAUCGGGGUUAGAUUCUAAUUUCAGAUAUUGGAGUAGGUCUGUAAUAUUGAAUAUGACUUUUGUGCAAAAUUUGGGGUCAAUCAGACAUGGUUUGAUCAGUUUCGGCAUUGGUUGUAGAAAUUUAAUAUUUCAUCGGAGGAUGAUUCGUGAUUUUAGAAUUGUUUGAUGUGGUUUGAGGGCUCGACUAAGUUCGUAUGAUAUUUUAGGAUUGGUUGAUAUAUUUGAUUGAGGUCCCAGGGGCCUCGGGUAUGUUUCGGAUGCUUAACGGAGGAAAUAUUGGACUUAGGAAAUUUCUAAAGUUUGCUGGUUUCUGGUGUUUCGCACCCGCGGUGGGGGAACCGCAGGUGCGGGGCUGCACAUGCGGAUGAUUAAGCGCAAGAGAAUUUGGAGGGAGUGGUCUGGGGCCGCAGGUACGAGGUGAGUUCCGCAUCUACGAUGGAAUUUCCACAGGUGCGGAACCGUAGAUGCGGUUGAAGGCCCGCAAAAGCGGUUUGACGUGAAGAAAAAGGGCUAAGUGCGAGGGUUUGAUUUCAUUAUUCUUUUUUGGACUUGAGAGCUCGGAAUUUGGCAAUUUUUCGAGGGAUUUUCAGAGGAAGCUUUGGGAUUUGGGCCAUUCGAAGUCAGAUAUUCGUGGAAAGGCCUUGUUAGUGAUUGAUUGAGCUUGGUUCGAGGUAAGUAUCUUGCUUGACUUUGUGUGGGGGAACUACCCCUUAGGAAUUGAGUCUUUUAUGCUAAUUGUAGUCCGAGUACGCGAGGUGACGAGUACGUGCUCGGACGUAUUUGUGGAAAAUUUUCCUUUUAGGGUUCUUAGGUCCUUGUAUUCACUGAAUAUGCAGUUAUUCCCGUUAUGAUUACGUUUCUAAAGUACUAGUUUCACUUCUACCUUCUUUUAUUAGAAUUAAUUGCUUCAUGAUCCACUCUUGUUGUUCAUUUGAUUCAUAUGUGCCUAAACUGAAAUUGUUAUCUCUUCUAUUGCCAUGUUGCAUUUUCCCUAACUGCUUAUCUUUAUUUGAAGUUGUAGUUAUCCCGUUUGUAAAUCUUCACCCUUAAUUGAGGUUAUGAUUAUCUUUUCGCCGCCUACCUUUAUUUGAAGUUGACUUGCCCUUAUUUGGAAUUAUUUGACUCUUGCUAGUUUUCUUGUUGUUGAACCGUAUAUUGUGGGAUCAUUGUUACAUAUUAUUUUCGUCCCUGUUGAGCUAUUCUUAUUACACCUAGUAUUCUUUAUUAUGGCUAUUCCUUGCGAACUAGUUUUACCGUUUCUUGAAAUCGAAGGUUCUUGAGUUGAUUUAUUUGUCGUACCCUCGUAUUAGUGUUAUUGUUGUUGUUGUACUUGUUGUUCUUGNNNNNNNNNNNNNNNNNNNNNNNNNAGCUGGUAUGAACUAUGUUAGGACACUUGCACAAGCAUACACGUAGUUAAGUCACUCUUUCGGUAUAAGAGGUUUCCUUGAUAUUGUUGAGUAUAGAUGCACACCCUCGCUUACUUGCCUUCUAUGUGAGAAUGGCUCUAUUUGGCACGCGAGUCGUUAGUGCGGUCAUGAUGUGUAACAAGGGCACAUGAUGCCAAGUGUUAGGGUUCAGGUAUUGAGACCCGUGAUUUGUGAUUUGUCCGAGGUUCGGAACCUCGUGGAGUUUAUUGACUAAAACCCGGUGUGAAAGCUGUCGUAUUGUUGAGUUGUUACUCGUCCUUUCUUUAUAUGUGAUUAUCGAACUUAGGUUGUGUUUCCGUUCAUUCUUCUAUGUCAUUAUUAUGAGUUUCCGUUGAUAGUUGUUAUUUUCCUUCCUUAUUGAAAUUAUCAUAUUAAUUACCAUAUCGCGUAGUCUUUAUGCAGAUUUCAUACUCUGUUAUUUCUAUACUUAUACUUGUUCAGGUUAUUUAGUCCAGUAAGUGUCUUGACUGUUCCUCGUCACUACUCCACUGAGGUUAGUCUUGAUACUUGCUGGGUACCGCCGUGGUAUACGCAUACUAUACUUCUGCAUAUUUUUGUGCAGAUCCAGGUAUUUUGAAGUCAGUUGAUCAUUAGCUAGCUGUGCGGACUGUUGCUAUGGAGAAUCAAGGUAAACCUGCUGCUGCGUUCACAGGCUUCGGAGUCACCUUCCUAUUUUGUAUUCACAUUGUUUUACCUAUUUCCAAACAAUUGUAUAUAGAAAUUUGUAGCAAUCUUUGUAGAGCUUAUGACUUGUACUACCGGUUUUGGGAAUUGUAAAUUUUUUUACAAAGAACUCCAUUUCAAGUUGUUAGAUGUUAUUUAUUAUGGUUGUUAUUCAGUAAAUGUUAGGCUUACCUAGUCCCUAAGACUAGGUGCCAUCACGAUAUCCAACGGAGGGAAAAUUGGAUCGUGACAAGUUGGUAUCAGAGCUCUAGUUUCAUAGGUGCUAUGAGUCAUAAGCGAGUUUAGUAGAGUCUGGCGGAUCGGUACGGACAUGUCUGUACUUAUCUUCGAGAGGCUACGGAACUAAUAGGACUGUUUCACUUCCUUCAUUCCUAGCGUGCGAGUUCAUUGAUCUCGAAGUUUGAACUUUUAUCAUUCCAUUCUCUCACAGAUGGUGAGGACACGAGCUGCAGUCAUUGAUGACAUUACCCCCGGAACAGAUAUCGCUAGGGGCAGAGGCCAACGAGGAGCACGUACCGCAGCUAGGGCACCUACCAGAGCAGCAGUUGAGGAGCCGCCAGUAGUUCCAGUUAGGGGGGAGGGGCAGGUACCGGAGGCGUCUUCUGUUACCCCCAGACUUCAGGAGACCUUAGCAUAGUUCCUGAGCAUGUUUGGUACAUUGGCUCAGGCGGGGUUGAUUCCGGUUGCACCAACUACUUCACAGACCGGGGGAGGAACUCAGACUCCCGCUGCCCCCACUCCAGAGCAGCGAGUUCAUGUUGGUCAAGUUCCAGGUGUCAUGGCGACACAGUCUGUGAUUCCAGUUCAGCCUGAGGUUAGGGCAGCAACAUCCGAGGAAGAGCAGCUUAGACUUGCAAGGUUAAAGAAAUAUUACCCUCCUACUUUCAGUGGUUUGGCUUUAGAGGGUGCACAAGGUUUUUUAGAGGAGUGCCAUCAUAUUCUCCGCACUAUGGGCAUUGUUGAGACGAGUGGGAUUGCUUUUACUACGUUCUAGCUUAGGGGAGCGACUUAUCAGUGGUGGCGGGCAUACGAGUUGGGUAGCCCGGCCAAGUCAGCUUCACUUAUAUGGGUUCAAUUUUCAGAGAUGUUCUUGAAAAAGUUUGUACCUCAGUCCCUUCGAGAUGCAUGGCGUGCAGAGUUUGAGCAUUUGUGCCAGGCACUAUGUCAGUGUCAGAGUAUGCCAUUAGAUUCAGUGAUUUGGCCAGGCAUGCACCUGCUUUGGUCACUACAAUUAGAGAGCGUGUCCGUAGAUUCAUUGAGGGGCUCAGGCAUGAUAUUCGGUUCAACAUGGCUCGGGAGUUAGAGUCGGACGUUUUGUUUCAGCAGGUGGUAGGGAUCGCUCGUCGAGUAGAGGGCAUAUGGGAUCAGGAGAGAGGAGACAGGUGAGGUCAGGAGAGAGAGGACAGGGAGGCGAGGAGGCCUCGUAGACCGGAGAGAUCUACUGGUCCUUAUUUUGGAGGCGGGUUAUGACAUGGUAGAGGUUUUGUGGGUCAGCUAGUUCAGUUUGCACUUCAGGCUUCGCACAGUAUUUCAGGUGCUCAUGGGUUUCAGAGUACCCGUACCACACAGUUCCCAUAGCCACGUCAGUAGAAAGGUUGCUUCGAGUGUGGAGAUACCAUCCACAGGGUGAUUGAUUGUCCUAGACUCCGUACAGGUGUGUCACAAUAUAGUAUUCAGGCGAGUAGAGGGCACCCAAAAGUAGAAGGCUCAACCCGUUGAUGUGUUUCAUAUAGUAGGCUUGAGGCCUUUGCACCAGAUGAUGCCAUACAGGUAUGCUUUUGAUUUGUUACAGAGGGACACCAUUCGUAUUUUGUUUCAGUUCUGCUUAUCGGGGCGAGUUCCCCUAUUUGUUGUCCCACCUAUGGGUGAGUUCAUGAUUUAGCAUUAUGUUUAUGUGUUUGCCCCUGUUGGGAGAUUCUAUGAGUGAUAGUCGUGUCUAUCGUUGUUUUAAUUCAUUGUUGAAAGUUACGAGACUAGAAGUGAAUUCAUGUUGUCUAGUAUGGCAGGUUUGAUGUGAUUCCUGAGUAAUUUGGUUACGAUUUGUGAUUGGAUACUCUACCCGGGGUAACAGUUUAGUAAGUGUUGUGAUUUUAUUGGCAGAAUUGAGUUAAAGGAAGAUUUCCAUUGGUAUGAUGUGUAUUCGACUUGUGAUUCCACGUUGAGGGUGAGACCCUCACGAUUCCAUAUGAUUUGAUAUGUUUGAGCCGGGCUGCGUGCUGCGGUAGAAGUUAUAUCAAGAUGAGAUACUUGUGAUUUGUUCAUAUACCUUGAUUCUUCCUUUUUAAAUUGAUUCGUAGUAUGGUACUGAUAUAGAGUUUUGCCUGUCGGGCUUGUUUAAUAUUUCUCUUAUGUGUUUCUAUUUACAUAUUCAGUCAUUUUUGUUCUGUGCUUCUUGAGUUUUAGCUUGCGGGGUAUAUGUCCGGUGGCGUUAGUUGUGACGUGUUGAUUCGGGUGUAUAGUUAAGAGGUCUUCACAUUUCUUGUAUCGUUGUCAGUGUUGUGAAGGUUUGAAAUAGGGUUCUAACGGAUAUGAGGCUAAUUGCCGGUGCUGGUUUUGAUUACGGGCAGCUAUUGUGAGCAGAAAUGUUAUCAUGGGCCUAAAUGUGGUGUGUCACAUUGUGUGGUUGUACCUUGCGGUUGUAGGCAUGAGUUGCUGAAGCUAGGUGAGACUGAUACCGGGUAUGGAUUUAGAAUCAAGUCUUUUGGAGAUGAAUUGAAGGUGAGAAUUCUGACUGUAAGCCUUAUCGGUGCUGGUAGAAAGGAUAAAUUAUAGUUCAGAUGGUGUCAUAAGGCUUAUAUGGAUUGGGGUGACGUGGGGUCACUCGCGGGUGUAUGUUGGAUAUGUGCUUUCAGUGAUUUGAAGACUUCGAGGCGAUUCUUGGAACGUUCGAGGACAAACAUUUGUUUAAGAGGGGAAGGAUGUAAUGACUCGGCCGGACGUUUUGAGAAUUUAAGUACUGAUCGGUGGCAUAAGGUCCUGAGCAGCUUCGUAUUAUGUGUAUUGAUUUGCGUGCAUGGUUGAAUUCAGUUAUCGGAUGAUUCAGAGUCAAAUCGGAAGAAGGAUGCAAGCUUUGGAAGCUUAAGUCUUAGGAUUUUGACCGUAGUUGGAACUGUGUGAAGACAACUCUGGAAUGGAGUUCCGGCUGCUAGGUUAGCUUUUUUGGGUGAUUUUGGACUUAGGAGCGUGUCCGGAUUGUAAAUUUAAGGUCUGCAGCUAAUUUAGGCUUGAAAUGGCGAAAGUCAAAUUUUUGGAGACUUUGACCGGUAGUGGACUUUCUAAUAUCAGGGUCGGAUUCUGAUUCCGGAAGUUGGAGUAGGUCUGUAAUCUUGAAUAUGGCUUGUGUGCAAAAUUUAGGGUCAAUCAGACAUGGUUUGAUAGGUUUCAACAUCGGUUGUAGAAAUUUGAAGUUUCAAGAUCUUUUAGUUUGAAUCGGAAGAUGAUUCGUGAUUUUAGCGUUGUUUGAUGUAGUUUAAGGGCUCGACUAAGUUCGUAUGGUGUUUUAGGAUUGGUUGGUAUGUUUGGUUGAGGUCUCGGGGGCCUCGGGUGUAUUUCGGAUGCUUAACGGAGGAAAUAUUAGACUUAGAAAAUUUCUGAAGUUUGCUGGUUUCUGGUGUUUCGCACCUGCGGUGGGGGAAACGCAGGUGCGGGGCCGCACAUGUGGAUGAUUGAGCACAGAAACAGAUUUGGAGGGAGUGUUCAGGGGCCGCAGGUGCGAGGUGAUAUCCGCAUCUGCGAUGCCCGCAAUUGCGCUGGAGAGAUCAUAGGAGCGAUGGAGGACCGCAGAAGCGGACAUAGGUCCGCAGGUGCGACCUUUUGAUCGCAGAAGCAGUCGAUGAGUUUUAAGUGAAAACCGCACAUGCGAUGGAAUUUCCGCAUGUGCGGAACCGCGGAUGCGGUUGAAGGCCCGCAGAAGCAGUUUGACCGAAAGAAAAAGGUCUAAGUGCGAGGGUUUGAUUUCAUUCUUCUUUUUUGGACUUGAGAGCUCGGAAUUUGGCGAUUUUUCAAGGGAUUUUCAGAGGAAGCUUUGGGGUUUGGGCCAUUCGGAGUCAGAUAUUCGUGGAAAGGCAUUGUUAGCGAUUGAUUGAGCUUGGUUCGAGGUAAGUAUCUUGUCUAACUUCGUGUGGGGGAACUACCCCUUAGGAAUUGAGUCUUUUAUGCUAAUUGUAGUCCGGGUACGCGAGGUGACGAGUACGUGCUCAGACGUAUUUGUGGAAAAUUUUCCUUUUAGAGUUCUUAGGUCCUUGUAUUCAUUAAAUAUGCAGUUGUUCCCGUUAUGAUUACGUUUCUAAAGUACUAGUUUCACUUCUACCUGCUUUUAUUAGAAUUAAUUGCUUCAUGAUCCACUCUUGUAGUUCAUUUGAUUCAUAUGUGCCUUAACUGAAAUUGUUAUAUCUUCUAUUGCCAUGUUGCAUUUCCCCUAACUGCUUAUCUUUAUUUGAAGUUGUAGUUACCCCUUUUGUAAAUGUUCACCCUUAAUUGAGGUUAUGCUUAUCUUUCUGCCGCCUACCUUUAUUUGAAUUUGUUGCAUCUCUUUCGUAAUUGUCCAAACUUAUAAAAACACUAGAUCUGCCACUUGGAUAUUAAUAUUGACUUGGAUUAACCAUUUUCUCUAGAAAUCUAAUUAUAUAAAAACCUAGAUCUAAAUUUUGGGUUAUACAACUUACUAUCAUAAUUUAAAAUUUAUUGAUAGUAAUUUUUUUAAAAACACCUAAUGUAACCUAAAAGCCUUUUAAAUCCUACUAUUCCUAUUCGAAGUCCCUUUCUUUAGAGUAUUGUUCAAUGUGCAACAGUAAAAAAAAUUAAAGGUACUGUUCUUCUUCUUCUUCUUCCUUUAAACAUACUAUGAUGACUCAUUUUGAUUGGGGCUAGCAUUGAAUAGGAAAGUACCAUUAUACCAUGUGCAACUAAUGGUAUUUACUUUUUUCAAAAAAUAUCUUCAAAGCAUUAUUUGGUAUACAUUGGAAUGAUUUUUUUGAUUUUUUUUUUCUUCUUUAAGAAUGAGUUUCAAGUACCAUUUNNNNNNNNNNNNNNNNNNNNNNNNNNNNNNNNNNNNNNNNNNNNNNNNNNNNNNNNNNNNNNNNNNNNNNNNNNNNNNNNNNNNNNNNNNNNNNNNNNNNNNNNNNNNNNNNNNNNNNNNNNNNNNNNNNNNNNNNNNNNNNNNNNNNNNNNNNNNNNNNNNNNNNNNNNNNNNNNNNNNNNNNNNNNNNNNNNNNNNNNNNNNNNNNNNNNNNNNNNNNNNNNNNNNNNNNNNNNNNNNNNNNNNNNNNNNNNNNNNNNNNNNNNNNNNNNNNNNNNNNNNNNNNNNNNNNNNNNNNNNNNNNNNNNNNNNNNNNNNNNNNNNNNNNNNNNNNNNNNNNNNNNNNNNNNNNNNNNNNNNNNNNNNNNNNNNNNNNUAUCAUUUCUCAAAAGAAAAAAGAUGAGCCCCAAACUGAUAGUUGGCCUAGCAUCCAAACAAGUUGUUUUGGCUCCUAGAAAUUUAUCGUUUUCAGAUAAAUUUAUCUUCGCUUAUAGGCAAUUACCAGUGGUUUUAUAUAUUAGUCGUUUUGAUAGAUUAACAUUUUAGAAAAUGAAAAGGUAAAUAUUUAUUACCUAUUUUUUAAAAAUUUAUCCUUACUAUUUUAAUUACUGAAGUGUUAUUUAAAUAAAAUAUUUAAACAAAGAUAAAUAGUGGUUUAAAUAUGUACUCUCUCAUGAUUAAGGCUAUGAAGUAAUUUUCUUAAAAAGUCUUGCGAAAUUUUAAAAGGCAGACUAUACUGUUCUUUCCGUCUUUUGUUUCUUUUUAUAUGCAUAUUCUGCUUCUUUUUUUUCCCUUUCUUCUUUUGGUGAUUAAAGCAGUUUAUUCUUUGACAAUUUCACUGAUAGAGGCCGCCCACGUGCAAGGUAGCAUUUAAGACUUACCAGUACGUAGGAACGUAGGUUCAGUUAAAUAAUGACUCCAACUUUGGUUCUUUUCUUUUUGUUGGUAAACAGUUGCUCCACCUUUGCUCUUUGAUAUAAGUUGCCACAUGGUCUGCAUUACAAUUUACAAACAUGAGUCAUAGCUUGAAAAUUGAAAUUUAGUGAAGAAUUCUAUUGAAAUUCAUCAUAUUAAAACGAACAAUACCUCACAAGUAUAAAAGAUUAGAAAGUUGAAUAUUACGUGUGAGCUAAUAAAUAGGAAAACUAAAAGGUAGAGUUAGAGUAGAAAGUAGAAAGGUGACAUUUAACUAAUUGAGAUGGAAGAAGUACAGUAAGAAAACUUAUUCACAUUUAUUAGAUGUCUCAAACUAAUAAGUCCAUGAUAUAUUUUUUUAUACAAAUAUUAUAACCCAAGCUAAUUAAUAUGUAUUGCUAUGACAAUUUUGUCACUUAAUUAUGAAGGAUUAACAUGUUCGUCCAUGCACCAGAUCAAAUAUCGCAGUAUAACUUAUUAGGAUACAAUAAACCAUUUACACUCUUCUCGAAAUACAAGUUGGCCUAUUUACUGGCGGCUAACAUAUUUUACUUUUCUGAUUGAACGUAACAAUAAUUAAGAAGAUAAUUUGCAAAUCUCACUCUGCAAUCUGCAUGAUAUUCGCACAUAAUUUUAAAUAAUUGGGAUGGCCUUUCUUGGAACAAGGAUGUCUCUCUUGGAGUAAUAAUUACAUGCAAUGCAAUAUGAAAUAUUUAAAUCGAAAGGUCCACAGCAACGUGACGACCAUGUGGCUCUUUCAUAAAAAUUAACCGUGAUGCCUCAUAAAGUCUAAAGCAUAUACCAAAAAAAUCCUAAAGUGUACAGGUUUAUCUGGCCCUAAAGUUGACCCUUUUACUUGCUGUCUUUGUAUGAAGCUAAUUAACCUAGAAAUUAAAGAGGCAAAAAUUAACCUAGUGUAUAAGCAAGUCUGCGACCACGUGGCUCUUUCUCCGUUGUUAGCGGAAAUGAUAAGUUAAUACAACCCCUUUAAUUUGUGAAACAAGCAAACACUAGAAGUUAAACCUCACUGGGCUAAAAGUUACAUUAUUUUCUUUUUAUGUUAUUUAAUAGGAAUAUUAUUUAAUUAGGCGUAAAUUUUAAAAUGUUAAUACAAUUAUUCAUUAUAUGAGUAAUAGUAGUUGAAAGAAAACUACUUAAAUUGAAUGAUAGUAGAAUGCAAGUUUGAGUAGUUAAUUUUUCUAAAGGUCAUACAUGAGUAGUUAGUAACUUUCUAGGGGUCAAGGUUUUCUCUCUCUAGAAUGAAAUUUCCUCUUAGCGACGGCCGAAGAUGACGAGGAAAUCCAAAACUAGGGGAGGAAGGCAAUGAAGUCAAGAGUGCAUACAACCUCCAUCUACAGAAUAAAAAAUGAGAGUGCCUAACUCGGCGGAUACAAAAAACACUCUUAAUAUCAACGCCUUACAAGGAAUUGUACAGCUAGAUUUGCAUCAAUGCUCGGCAUCGAAUACCGAAAAAAUGCUGUCAUAUAAUAUGUGUUGGGUUCUAACCCCUUAGCAGCUGUGAUGAAUGGCUACUUUCAUAGAAUCUAGGAAAAAUUGGGGAUUGAUAACGUUGUGCAAGUAAACAGAGGAUUUUUUCUUGUGAGAUUCACCCAAAUUGAAAAUAGGGUAAAGGUUGUGGAAGACGGAGUCCAGAUGUUCGACAAAAAGCCAGUGGCAGUUAAGCCUUGGUCGCCUGAAAUUGAUACGAGGAAUAAACAUUAACUAAUAUUACAGGGCUAGCGGGCGAUCCUCUAAAGGCUGGCAGAGCCACCACAUAGAAGGAGAUGAUGACAUUUGCUAGGAUGCUUGUGGAAGUAGCAUUGGACCAGCCUUACCCAAUAUGUAUCAUGUUUGAAAAUGAGUAUGGCAAAAUCAUUGAGAAACAGGUGCACUAUGAAUGAAAACCUGCACUAUGCCAUGAUUGCAAUAACUAUGGACAUGAACUGAAGGAAUAUAGUAAACAAAUGCAAGCAGAAAAGCAGAAACCAGACCAACAAGGAAAGGAAGUAGAACAGAACAAGACAUGGAAUGACACUAGAGGGAAUGUGCAUGUAGAGGGACUGAACAACAAAGUGGUAGAGACUAACCAGAAUGCAUGUUUUGUGCAAAAUUGAGGCAGGGUAAGGGUUAAUAGCCCUAAAAGAACCAUGGGAGGUCCUAAUAAGGAUCAAACACUAAGCAUAGGAAACUCGUUCGAGGCACUAGGGAGCCCAGCAGGAUGGGGAUAGCGGAGCAAGGGCAUAUUACAACAGGAAAUAUGGUACAGGGAGGGAAAGAUGACCCAAAACAGGGAAGGGUGGGGGAUUUCCACCCCUUCCAAUGGAUAGUAUCGGUUUUUGGAACACCAGGGGACUAAAUAGGCUAAAUAAACAGAAGGAAUUGAAUCUGUUUAUGCAUCAGUGCAAAGUUGGCUUAUAUCGUCUCCUAGAAACUAAGAUGAAGAGAAAUAAUACUCAAAAUGCUUCCCUUAAUCUAUGUAGAGCCUGGUCUUUUACAACCAAUUUGGCUUUACACCCAGGGGAAAGAAUAUAGGUGGUUAGGACGCCCUCAAUAAUUUAUUUUCAGAUUGAAUUCAGCUCUAAACAAGUGAUUCAUUGUGUGGUAACACACAUGGGCAUUGGCCUAGUUUUCAAUGCAACUUUUGAAUAUGGAUUCAAUGAUCCAUCAUUAAGAAGAACCUUGUGGCAGGAUAUAAGAAAAAUAAAUAGCACUGUGACGGGGCCAUGGGCAAUUAUGGGUGAUUUUAAUUGUAUGUUGCAUAAGGAGGAUAGAAUUGAAAGACAUGUAGUCAUGCUAGAAAUUAAAGAAUUCAGAGCAUGUGUGGCUGAUUGUAGACUGCAGGAGUUAAUAUCAUCAGGAUAUUAUUUCACAUGGAAUAACAAACAAGAAGGAAGGGGGAUAGAGUAUAUAGUAGGAUUGAUAGAGUGUAAGUGAACACUGAAUGGAUAACUCUACUACCUGUAUCUGAAGUUUAUUAUAUGAAUGAAGGGCUCUAUGAUCACUGACCAGCAAUUAAAAGUAGGAGAAUGGUCAGCAUAUAAGCAGGAAGCAAUUCAAGUAUUAUAACACGUGGACAAUGACACUUGACUUCUAAGAAAAAGUGAAAGGGAGUUGGGAUGGAGAGAUAGAUGGGGACAAAUUAUUUCAAGUGGUGGGGAAGAUGAACAGAUUAAAGGCAGUGUUACUCAGCUUGAACAAAGAAAGGUUCCCAGAUAUAGAAAAGAAGGCAGAUAGAGCAAUGUAGGACUUAAAGAAAUGUCAGUCAAAAGUGCAAGACGUCCCCAUGAAUAAAACACUAAUUGAGGAAGAAAUGCACUUAGCUAAGGAAUGCAAAAUCUAGGGAGAAGCUAGAGAUCAAUUCUUGCGCCAAAAAAGUAGAGUUCAAUGGCUAACUCAAGGAGAUCAAAACACAAAAUUUUUUCACAGUGCAAUAAAGGAAAUAAGAAAUAAGAAUAGAAUCUUCUCUGUUAUUGAUGCACAACGGUCCACUAAAAAAGAACCAGGGGAAGUAGCAGAAGCAUUUAUAGGCUUCUGCAAGAAUUUGCUGGGGAUAAAAAGUAGAAAGGAGGCAACAUGUAUGCAGUGAACUAGUUAGGCAAGGGCUCACAAUCACAUAGGAACAAAGGGAAUGGCUAGAAAAUAGAUUCUCUGAAAUGGAGGUAAAGCAAGCAGUAUAAGCAAUAUCAGGGGAUAAGGCUCUAGGGCCUGAUGGCUAUGGUAGCCGGUUCUUUAAGGAUUGUUGAGAAAUUGUGGGUAAUGAUAUAAUUACAAGAGUAUUAGAGUUCUUUUAGGCUGGAAAAAUGCCAAGAAGUCUCAAUGUCACAACAAUUCAUUAAUUCCAAUGAGCAUCCAUGCAGAACAUGUGGGAGACUAUCGACGUAUAGGCUGCUGUAAUACCAUCUACAAGGUGAUAUCUAAGAUGUUGAGUGAGAAUGAAGUCAGUUUUACCAGACAUCAUUUUAGAAAAUCAAAGUGCAUUUGUUGUUAGGAGAACCACUAUCCAGAAUGUCCUCAUCUGCCAAGACUUAGUGAGAUUAUACAACAUGAAAGCAACCACAAAAAGAUCCCUAAUAAAAAUUGACUUGAGAAAAGCCUACGAUACUGUAGAAUAGGACUUUGUGCAGGAGAUGCUACAUGCUUUAAACUUCCCCAGUAAAUUCAUCAAAUAGAUAAUGUUAUGCAUCACUACGCCCAGAUAUUCAAUAGCAAUCAAUGUGGGGUUAUAUGAAAACAUAGAGGAUUGCGGCAAAGGGAUCCCAUGUCCCUAUUCAUUUUUGUGAUUUGCAUGGAAUACUUCACCAGAAUCAUGUACAGGGUGGCCACACUUCAGGGUAUCACAUUUCACUGUAAAUGUAAAGGUCUGCAACUAAAUUAUUUGUGUUUUGCAGAUGAUAUGCUCUUGUUUUGUAAAGAAGAACUACACUAUGUUGCAUUUAUGUUAAGAGGCCUAGCCAGCAUCUCCAAUGCAUUGGGGCUGACCACAAAUGCAACCAAGUCCAACAUAUAUAGUGCUAACAUGGAAAUGGAAAGUGUUAAGGACAUAUUUAAAAUGACAGGCUACAAGAAAUGAUCAUUACCCUUCAGGUACCUAGGAGUGCCAAUCUCAGCAAAGAAAAUCUCUUUUGUAGACUGUGAAAUGUUAGUGAAGAGGAUGUGUACGAGAAUCCAAAGUUGGGGCACACGAAACAUGUCGUAUGCUGGGAGAGUUCUACUAGUGAAUUUAGUUAUAAUGCAUAUUCACUCAUACUGGUCAUCCAUAUUUUUCUUGCCUAAGAAGAUAUUAAAAAAUAUCAUAGCCAUCUGCAGGUUUCUAUGGGAUGGGAAAGUCAACACCAACAAAUUAUCACCGGUGGCUUGGGAAUUAGUGUGCAGACCUAAACAAGAAGGUGGGCUAGAGAUCAUAGAUUGUGAGUUGUGGAACCAAGAAGCUAUAGCAAAAUAUAUGUGGAAUGUAGCCAAGAAGGCUGACAACCUAUGGGUAAAUGGGUGGACCACAUAUACCUAAAAGGAACUUCCUGGCUAAUUAUAUUAAUUCGAAGUGUUUAAAGGUUUUAAAGAAGAUCGACAUGUGCUAAUUAUAUAUAUUCGCGUGUGAGCAAGGGCUAAUGAUAUAAAUAAUAUCACUUGAACAUAAUAAUAUAUUUAUGAGGUAUAUUAGAAAUGGUUUAUGGUCUAAGAAGAGCCCUAAGGCUAAGUCAAGUUGGAAAUUAUAUGAUGGGCUAAAGUUUCUAGUGGGUUCGCACAAGACUUAACUUCAAACAAGCAUAAAUCUCAUGAUAUGAAGUUUUAUACGGUGUAUGACCUAUUAAAUGAAAGGUCUAUGUGUCUAGUUUCUAAUGCUUUAAACCUUUCAUCAUUUGGAUAUUUAUAAAAUGAGUUAUGGGCUUUGUACCAGAAGGUGGUAGUGCAGCUAUGCAGUUUCAGAAUUUGGCCAAGGGAAUAGCCUCCUGCGCAGUGUUUUAAAAGGCAUGGGUGUAGGGCAAAGCGCUUUACAUAUGCCUCAACGAGGCCUACGCUCCGAGGCANNNNNNNNNNNNNNNNNNNNNNNNNAUAUGUGCUACUUACAACUUACAAGCACAAGUAACUUAUUAAUCAAAAUAAUUUAUUAUACGCUACUUACAACUUACAAGCACAAGUAACUUGAGUCGAAAAUAGGAUGACUAACCUGCAAUUUGAAAUUUGAACUUGCUGAUAUGAAGGAGAAUGAAGUUCUCUUUGUAUUUGUAAAGAAAUUGAAUAUUCGUUAUUUUGGGAGAUAUUAGCAGACUAAGGAACAACAUAAAGAAUUGGGAAAAAUCAUAAAUUAGGGUUUUAAUCAAUAAAAAGAUCUUAACUUUUAAAUUUGAUACAUUUCAGUUCCUUUUUAAAACUUUUGAGUAAUUACAAGCUGACUUUUGAGAAUUUGGGUAUUAUACGAAGGACUUAUUCAACAAAUUUUAUUUUAAUUUGAAAAGGUCUCUGGGGCUUACGUCUCACUACAAAAACGUGCCUCAAACGCCCAGGCGUACACCUCGAACGCCCGGGCGUACGCCUCUUGAAACUUUCACCCCACACCUGCGUAGGUUUUAUGUGUAGGCUAAGCUGCUUUAGGGGCCAUUUUAAAGGGGCAGAAACAAGGGGUUUAGAGAGAGAAAAAGUUAAUUCUUCAACUUGGAAUUGAUUUCUAGAGAGGAGGAGCUCUUCCACCAUGGAUACACUUCAAGGUAAGUUAUUUUGAUACAAGGAUGAUUUUAUUACAUCAUUUAGUGAUUACUAACACUAUUAUGGAUCAAAUCCAUAGAAAAUGGGUUGAAUCUUUAAGAACAUCAAAAAGAAAAAAAUGAGAUUCUUCUACCAAGAGGUAAUCCCUUCACUUGAGCUUCAUAUUUAUGUCAUAUUAGAGUAUGGGUAGCAUGUUUAUGAAUUUUAUUUAUAGUUGUAAUGGAAUAUUGUAUGAACCCUAAGAACGUCUUGAAAAUAAUAUUUUGGACAAAGAAGAAGAUGAAUAGUGAUGAAUUGAUAUAAAUGGAAUUGUUUUGAGUUUCUAAUGAUUCCAAUAGACUUGAUAACUUAAUUGAUGAACGAAUUGAAUAGGGAUCACUAUUUGGACAAGAUGCAACACUAGUUCUUGAAAUGUGUGUUCUUGAACCUAUAGGGGUUUGUUGAAGAAGACAAUGAAUAGUGACUUGAUGAUGUUGGAUAAUUAAUGUAGUAUUAUUAAUGACUCCAAAUGAGUGUUAAAUUAAAGGAAUGGAAUUAAAUAGGCUAAUAGGUGAGCCUAUUGGAUAAUUUGGGAUGGUUGAAGGCUUGUUGACGAAUUAUGAAGCCUAAAUAAAUAUUUAUGAAUUGUUUUAUAUUUGUUUUGAUGUAGUUGAGAUAUCUUAUGGUAGAUACUGAAUUGUGGGCGAUAUUGGAGCAUAAUAGUAUUUUUGGAGCUUGAAGGUUGAGAUAAGUUGAUUAAAACUUACUCUUCUUGAGGGAUUCUCUUUAAAAGCAUAUCUUAAGUUGAUACAUUGUAUUAUUUGUAAAUGUGCAUCCGUACUUGUGGGAAGAAGCGGGAAAGAUGUCACCAUGUGUUUCUAAAUUGUUGCUUAUGAAGUGUCAUGUCAUUUUAUAAAAAUCUUGUUCGCAAAAUGACACUUAAGGAAAUUUUUAUAAGUUAUAUUAAAACUUAUUUGUUGAUGAGAGUAUAAAAUGCUCGAGUGCUAAAGAUAUGUUUUGAUGAAAAAGUUUGUCUUUUGAAAUUUCAACAAAGGAAGCACUAGUUGUAUCUUUAGAUUGGUGUUAAUUGCUAAAGGCUUUAACAUGAAAAAGGUUAUUCAUUUGAUUUUGUUCUAAUAAUUUGAAUUGGCUAUAAAAAUUAUGAUUUGAUAAAAAUAUAUCCUUUAAGAAAAUUGUGCUAUGUAUCUAUUUUUGAUAUGUCAAAUAUUUUGGAAGUUACUGGUGGAUCACCGAGAUUGGUUCGAAUAUUGAAUUCGUUACUAUGAAACUACACGUAGCGGUGUAGGGAUACAUUCCAAGGCUAAGUCGAGGUUUGUGGGAUAAAGUCCCCCAUUGAGAGGGAAAAUGAUCAUUACUUACAGUAAUGAGGUUAAGUCAAGUCGUACGGCACUAUGGGAAGCCGUCCAGACAAGUAGAGUCAAAUAAUUGUUGCUAGGAUGAUCACUUAGUAGUUGUUCAUUAUGUAUGUCGGUAUACUACUCCUAGUGAAAGGUAAAAGAGAACUUUCUUAUGUUUAGGCCUAAGGAGGCGAAAGUGGUUUCAAUGACAUAUAUUUAAUGGCUUACAUGGUUUACAUUUUACUUGUUUUUUAUUUAAAACGAUAAAGAGCAUGAUUUAUGUAACCGUUUAUCACUUUAUUUCCAAUAUUGGUUGCACAAGUUUUGUAAAAUCUUGUCCAGGAACUUGAGUUAGAGAGAGUCUAUGACACAUAUUGAGUAUCGCUAUGGUGUUCUCAGCCCUUAGGAGCCCCCUUCUAGAGCCCCACUUACUUUACAUGUUUCAGAAUGAGGAAUGAUAUGUGGCAUACAGACAGAGCUAGGAUGACUCUCUUUCUGAAGUAUAUGGCGAUGCACCGCUCCUAUUUCCUGGAAACUAUCAUAUGUUUUUCUUAAUUUAUGUUAUUCGGGCAUUAGCCUAUGUGUUUAGUUCUAUUCCUUGGUAUAGAGGCCCUAUAGUAAUUGUGAAAAGUUGUAAUAAUGGGAUUGUAUGUGGCAUACGUGAAAAUAUAUUUAUUUUACUUAGUCUCAUUGUUAUAAUUAUGAGAGGCUUCAUGUAUGAUUUUGAAUUGGAAAGUUUUUCCAUUGUUUAACUUGAAAAAUAUAUAAAAUUUUCAAAGAGCUUCCGCAAAUAAAUUUGUUUUUAUGCCUAUGAUUUGGGUGCAUCAUAUGAGUUGGUUCGCUUAGGUCGGAUAGUGUGUCGGGUUUCGGUCACAUGGAUUUGGAUCGUGAAAAAUUUGGUAUCAGAGCACUAGGUUCUAAGUAGAGUCCUAGGAAGUCUAUGGAGCCGUAUCAAGUAGAGUCCCUCUUAUCGGUCUGUUGCCGGCCACACUUAUAUCGGGGAGGCACCAAAGACAUUUAGGGAGUUUCACUUUCUUUUUACUCUAGUUUGUGUGUUGUGCCUGAAAUGAGAGAUAUGAUUCUCUGUCAUAUUGAAUACCCGGCAUGGUAGAUACUGAAGUGGUGAGCACAAAGCUCAAGGUUCAAGAUAUCACAUGUGCUGCUUGAGAAAUAGUUGGGAAUUAUCAGUCUAUCCAUGAAAUAAAUGAUGGGUUAAGGUCAAGAACAUCUUUAAAAGAAAUUGAUAUAGUCAAGAUGAAUAACUAUGGUGAACAGGAAUCAUAAGUCGAAUUCUGAUAACUCAUGGAAAAGUAAAUAAGGUGAUGAUGUCAGUUGGUACUGCUAGAAUAGUGACAGAACUCACGAAGGAUUCCACUGAAGGUUGAAAAAAAGGUUAAGUCCUAUAUAGGAAUGUUUCUAAAUUGUAGAUCAAGGUAUUGGGAUAGCUAUCUGCUAUGACAAUUACUAUUUACUAGUACAACAAAGGAAUAAAUAAAUAAAAAAGAAACACAAUGGUUACAAGAUAAAUGGAAAGGUAAUACCUCAAAUUACCGUGAUGUGCUGUCGAGGAAUGACAAGAAUCGAAUUGGUAAGAGAAUGUACAUCAAUCAAGUUCAUACCGAUCACCUUGUAAUUCAUAGGGAUGAGGAUCUAUUUGGGAUAACACCAAGAAUUUCCAAAAGUAUAUUUUAGAAAAGGGGAUGUAAGGAAACCUUCAUGAUUUUUAGAAAGGUGAACAAGGAAAAAUGCAAGAGAUGACCCUUAGUCUCACAAGAGAUUGGGAGACUGUUGACUUGGUAAGGUCUUCUCAUAGUAGUGGCUCAUGCGAUGAUAUAACUUAUAAGAAAUAAAGUACCAUGUGGGGGCACAAGUUGAGGGUAUUUGAAGCAUGUCAUAUGCAAAAACAAAAGGGGGUAGGUGAACUUUGAAUACCUCCCAUAUGUCAAAUGUGAUACAAAUGAAUGUCAAUCUUCAAUGAUACACACUGAGGUAUGUGAAUUUAAAUGGGUAAGUGAAAAAGUGUUAAUGCAUGAUAUGCACAAAAGGUGUAAUCUUAGAAGAUUUCAAAAAGCAAAUAGGUUGCCAAAGAAGGUAAAGUAAUGUGGAAUGACAACCUUGAGUUUGUCUAAUCGGGACAAGCCUUAUUUUAUCCUUUUGAACUUCUGGGAAUUGAAAAUUUCUAAAGGUAACUUCCAAAGCACCUAUACAUUGUCAAGUGGAGCUAUUAACUUGUUAUUUUGAUGGAAUCUUAAGAUUUAAGAAGAAUAAAUAUUUGAAAUGAUGUAUCAGGCCAAAUUGGAGCUUCAGGCAGAUUAUGAAUAUUGCAUAUGUAGUUUAAGGCUCAAGAGCUUGCAAACGAUGACGGUACACGUGUGAAAUUGAUGAGUUACGAGUGAUCCAAGGCUACGUAGUGAUGCCUUACGAAUCCUAGUUGUUAUUUACUGUCGCGCCCCAUUUUCUCGUGAAAGCGGGCUUCAACAUGUGACAUAUCUUUUAAAAGGAGGUAUUAAAAAAGAAGAGUCGCCACCUAAUAAUUUUUAAGGUGCGUUAGGGAACCUAGUUGCAAAUAACUCUGUUUGACUAGUCAACGAUACCAAAUAUCGGGUAAGGGCUUAAAUUACCUCAAAGAGAAGGUGUUAGGUACUCUUCGAGGUCCACAACUGUGGGUCCCGACCGAACUUUAGAGCAUGUGGAUUAUACAAUUAGGCUAGGCGAUUAAAUAAAUAGAAGGGAAGUUCAGAGGUUGUAGAGACAUAUGAGAAUCGGUACAAGUCUUAAUGACUAUAAGGAUACAACUAUAUUGGUCUAUAUUAAACGACCAAAUAUAGAUAACAAGUACAUAAAUAAAAUGAGGGGGGGGGGGGGUCCUAAGUUUUUAGCCUAAAGGAUCACCCCGUGCAACAUAAAUAAUACUUUGCAACUCCCUUAAAGUAGAGGUUGCUCGUAUUAUUUAGCGAGCACAGACUAUUAUCUCCUGCUACCCGAUUACUAUGUUGAAGUUGUUUACUUAAAAGCGUUCUAAUUCAAUUCCAAGUCGUACCCUAUGCGUGCACUACCUGUCCCUUGCCUAUGGUCCAGGAGGCUUUGGACCUACUAUAAGGUGGUUCUAGACUUUACUUAGGUUGCUCAAAAUGAUAAAACUAGGCGAUAUGCAAAAUAGAUAGGACUGCAUAUAAUUACAAUAAAAGACUUAAGUAACCUCCACACAUAAGUAGGAAAGCACGAAUAAAUUUCUAGUUAGGCAGUAGAUGACAUUACGACGUGUUGGAAUCGUUAAGUCCUAUAAGCAUGAUUUCUAUGUGAUUAUGGAUUCCAGUAUUAUAUAGGAAGUGCUGUAAUUUUUGGACUAACGUAGAGGCAAAUUAGAGCGUUGCAAGUCCUAUAGACAUGAUAUCUAAUCGUUUGCAUAAUAAGGUUGUGAAAAUAAUCCAAUAAUUCUGAAUUACUAAAGCUGAUUUUAUAGAUAUGCGUCUUAGGCAGGCAAUAAUACACUAUAGGCAUGAUCUCUAAAAGUCGCAUAAUUAGGCAGUGAAGUUAUUUGAAAACACAAAAUUAGUAGUAUCAAUAAACAUCCUAUGGACAUGAUUUCUAACAAUUGACAAUUGGACUUGAUUUUUAUACACUUUAUCCCUAUAGUCAUGAUAUUAAAAUGAAACAAUGCAAAAGCAGCAUGAAAUAAUUGAUUAAUUAGUUAAGACCCUAUAGUCAUGGUAUCUAGAUAAGUAAAGGUAUUGCAUUGUUGUAUCCUAUAUGCAUGUUAUCUAAUAGUGCAUAGAAGUAAACAUGCGAACAAUUGAAACACUUAGGUUCUUACAAACAUGUUUCUGAUAGUGUGCGGUCAUUAGACAUGUUGAGUAGGUGAAGUGUUUGAGUUCCUAUAGGCAUGAUAUCUAAGUGGAAGAAGUCUAGUUUGGAUCUUAUAGGCAUUCUCUCUAGCCAUUCAAGUCAUAACAUUGUGUGCAUAUAAUUCCAGAGAAUGAGGCAUGAUGAGUAAACAAGCUAUUAAGAUCCUAUAGGCAUGAUAUCAACCCAUUCAUGCAAAAGAUAAAGUAUCCCAUUUCCCCUUUUUCACUAAUCCCCAAUUGUUCGUUAUUACAAGUUAUUACAGGUCCAAGAAUGAAAUAAUACAAACUUAAAGAUGACAAAACACAAACUGAAAUGAAUACAAGCCCACUAAAGCAAUUACAUGUCCAAUGUAAAAGUAACCUAGGAAUAUCACAGGCCUUCAAUAGUCUUACUCUUCGGGCAAACAGCAGGCCCAAACCACAGGAUCACAAGAUAACUAGAGUGCACUUGAAUCCAGUGCCUAGGUCCAACAACACCCAUGGCCCAUCUCAAGGCCCAAUGAAUAACUUACUUACCCACAUGGAUACUAAAUUUAGCUAUGCAGGUGACACAAUACUCACAGAACAACUUAAUCCCUUAGUUCUUAGAGCUGAAUCCAUUAACAGCUCUAGCCAAGACAUAUAAACAGGAUCAUGCUAAAUGAAAAGGCACACAAGACACAUAUGAGGCAAGCUUAUUCUUUGUAAUUCCAGAAAGAGAGUUUGAUAGUGACAAGGUUGACCGUCAUAGGACAGUAAACCAUUCCAGUAAAGCAUGAUCCAGAAACAACCUAAGGACCUUUAGAUGAUAGUCUAGCAGAAUUAUGAACAAGAAGCAGGUAGAGUGCAGUCUUGAUAUGAAGGUUUUAACAUGAAAACCUAAUGAGAAUGUGGUUGCAAACAGCAUAACAACAUGCUAGCUGGCACAAUUUGGAAAACAUACUUGGUUGAUCAUGAAACUUAACCCGAUGGACAUUAACUAUAGCACAACGAUUCUAAAGAACUCAUAGUAGGCAAAAGAACAUGUCACCUAUAGGCUAACAGGACAGACAUACAUUGGGAUUCAUGUUAGUCGACCACACAUGAGAGAGAACUACACAUUGGUAUUUAUCCUAGAAGCAAUGCUAAAGGGUGCAGGAUUGCCCAAUCAGGGAACACAAUUAUCAGAGUUACAAAUCGCAGACAAACAUGCUUGGCUAGAGAUUAAGACAAUGCUAUAACAUGGGAGAGUUAAGGAUCAGUUUGCAUGAAAUAAUAGGUUAUACCUAAAGGAUCUAGUAGGAAGGGAUUCAUUAAAGCAGACUUUGAACAGGCAAUUUCUACAAAAGGUCCCAGAAAUCCAAGGCAUGCAUAUGAACUAACAACGGACAAAGGACACGACAUUGAGGCUAAUAUGAGCAUGACCAAUCAGACAAAACCUAAGAAGGCUAGAAAUCAUUUGAGUCAAAUACAUAGAGUGAAAGUAUACUAUACAUGUUGAAGCUUAUCAAGUCUAAUAAUAGAGAACAUGGAACUGCGGAACGUCAUUGAGACAAUAGAACUACAUAAAACAUACAACAAUACAACACUGGGAGUUCACAAAUAACAAAAAAGCUUAGGUCAUGCUUGUCUACAAAAGUUCAAACAAUAUUGGCACGCAUAAUACACAUACAUGAAUAAGUAGAGGAGUAAUAAUUAAGGCUGUAAAGUGUAGAGAAAAGUAACCAGUUGCUAAGAUAAACGAGCAAAAGAGUGAGUAACUUAGAAUCUCAGCGAUGACAGCAAAGAAAGAUAACAGUGAGAAUGCUAGAUCCUAGUGCAUCAGAGUUCACAGGAGCUUCAGUGAGCCCGGAGCAGUGCUCGCACUAUGGAGGUUAAUAGUGAAGAUUCCGUUGGUAUCGGCUUUCAGCCGACCACAAUCAAGAGAGCAGAAAUAAUAUAAAGGGUGAAAAGUGAGAGAAUAACAGUAGUUCUUAAGCGAUUACAGUAUGUCCAAAGAGGAAAUUGGGGAUGGGGUUUAUAUAGUAAUAAAAAUCAACACAUAAAUAAGGAAAUAUAGUCAACCGAACAUAAACAAGGAAAGAAGAACAUGCAAAAAUCAAUUUAGAAUCGGAUUAGGAGAAGAAACCAGGUAAACCAUGGUUUGACUAGGAUCAGAAAUUGGCCGGAGAUCUUGGUGAAUCAGAACCCCAUAGCCUUUCUAUGAACAUAUACGGACAAAUUAUCCUCCAAAUCUUGGAGAGUAAAGCCGAUCUCCUUUGAUUCAGAGACUGGUACUUGCCAAAAAUGGGCAAGUACUAAGUAACACCAUAUUUAUACAAGUAAUAGCGGUAUAAUCCGGAAAAAGUAAGUAAAUCAUGGUAAAAAUCCAUGGAUGAUUUGGAUUCGGAGAAGAUUGGAAUGACCUAAAAUCCGCAUAUCGUGAUGGGGCCUAUCUUAAUACUAGGCAAGCCGACAACCUCAAUAACCCAUAAUUUCUUUUAAAUAGUGAAAACAUAAUAAUUAAUUUUAAGGGAAAAGUCCCACAAAUACUGAAUAUAAAUAUACUCCCAAAACCCGGAGUCACUGAGUACAUGAGCAUCUAUACAACACAAGUGUGGAAAAUACGGUCUAUAAUAGUCUGAGACCAAAUACAGUAAACUAAGAGAUAGGGAAGGAGAGACAAGGUCUACGUAACACCGCAGCUACCUCGGAAUCUCCGAAAAAUUAACUGUGCAAAAGAACUAACACCCGCUGUGUUCGGGAUCACCUAGAUCUGCACACGAAGUGCAUGGUGUAGUAUGAGUACAACCAACUCAGCAAGUAAUAAUAAUAAAUAAAGAAUUGAAAGUAGUGAUGAGAUUCACAUCUAUUCCAAAUACAGUAAUUUCCAACAUGAAAAGGUAGGCAUGCUUUCAAGUUCAACAUUUAAAACUCUGCAGUAAUUUCAUAUCAACUUUGAUUGAGACAAAAAUAAUGUCUUUCAGAGUUUUUCCAAAACAAUGAUAUAUGACAGCUGAAAUGCAGCAAUAAUGAAAUCAAUGCAUCCUCUCAAAAUAACAGUCACCCAGUCCUCCCAUUCACUCCAACCUCACAAUCACUCUUUCCUUACAUUCACUCAUUCCUCACAGUCACUCAUUCCUCUCAAUCACUCCGCACUCGCACUCAAUAGGUACCUGCGCUUACUGGGGGUGUAUACAGACUCCAGAGGGGCUCCUUCAGCCCAAGCGCUAUAUCAAGACAAUCAUGGCAUAUAAUAAUGAACAUGAUGCGGCAUGCAGACCGAUCCCAUAAAUAUCCUCAUAAUUAGGCCCUCAACCUCACUCAAUCAUCAUCCUCUCUAGUCUCUCGGGCUCUCAGAAAUCAUGAUAAGCAGCCCAAACAACAAUGAUAUGAUGCAUCAAUAAUGAACAAUAGAGACUGAGAUAAAAUGUGAAAAUAAAAUUGUGACUGAGUGCAAAAAAACAAUUUAGCAAAUAAUUCCAUAAGUACACAACCUCUCUGUGUCCCAAUGGUGUAAACACAUCUCUCUGUGUCCCAAUGGUGUAAACACAUGGUUUAAACAUGAUUUAUAGUUCGAUUUCUCUAAAACAUGAAAAAUGUACGGAUAUCAACAGAUUAUUCAACUACACAGUUCCAUGGAAUUGACCAAGUAACAAUUCCUACGGUGCACGUCCACACGCCCGUCACCUAGCAUGUUCGUCACCUCAAAACCAAAUCACAUAACAUAUAAUCCGGGGUUUCAUACUCUCAGGACCAAAUUUACAACUGUUACUUACCUCAAACCGUGUAAUUCUUUAUUCUGCAAUGCCUUUGCCUCGCGAAUCGGCCUCCAAAUGCCUCAAAUCUAGCCACAAAUAAUUUGAUUCAGUCAAUAAAAAUUAUAGGAAUUAAUUCCAUAUGAAAAUAUAAAUUUUCCAUCAAAAUCCGAAAUUUCACCCAAAACUGCCCGUGGGGCCCACGUCUCGGAACCCGUCAAAAAAUACAAAAUUGGAAAGCCCAUUCAACCACGAGUCUAACCAUACCAAUUUUACCUAAUUCCGACAUCAACUCAACCCUCAAAUUUUCAAAUUAAACCAAGAGGGUUUUCUAAACUUUCCAACUUAAUUUACCCAUAAAAUGUUAAAAAACAACUAUGGAUUCGGGUGAUUUGACCAAUAAUGAGUUAAGAAUAUUUACCACGUUAGUUUCCUUGAAAACCUCCAUAAAAAUCGCCUCUUCUCGAGCUCCAAUUUGUCAAAAAUGGAAAAUGGGAUGCAGUUCCAUUUUCAGAACUUAAACAUUCUGCCAAGGCAUUCCUUCUUCGCGAACGCGACAGGUCCCUCGCAUUCGCGAAGCACAAAAUUGUGUUGUCCAAACAUUUCCCUUUGCGAAUGCGAGACACAGCUCGCGUACGCGAUUCUUUACCGGGUGAACCUUCGCGAAAGCGAAGGCAAAAUCCUCACCAGCUAUUUUCCCUUUCGCGAAUGCGAUACCCCAUCGCGAACGCGAUGAACAACCUUGCCUGCCCCUAGCUCCUCUUCGUGAAUGCGAGGCCCCUUUCGCGAAUGCGAAAAGAAAAUUUUUGCCUGCCUUUAGUUCCUCUUCGCGAAUGUGAGAGCCCUCUCGCGAUCGCGAAGAAGGAAACCAGACACAGGCAUCAGAAAAUUCCAGCCAAGUUCCAAGUUCAAAAGUCAUUCCGUUAACCAUCCAAAACUCACCCGAGGCCCCCGGGACCUCAACCAAACAUAUCAUCAAGUCCCAAAAUAUCAUACGAACUUGGUAGAACCCUCAAAUCACCUCAAACAAUGCUAAAACCAUGAAUCAUAUCCCAAUUCAAGCCUAAUGAAACUAAGAACUUUCCACUUCUACAAUCAACGCCGAAACCUAUCAAAUUAAGUCCGAUUGACCUCAAAUUUUGCACAUAAGUCGUAAAUGAUAUAACAGACCUGUUCCAAUUUCCAGAAUUGGAUUUCGAUCCCGAUAUCAAAAAGUCAACUCCCUCGUCAAACUUCCCAAAAAUUCAACUUUCUCCAUAUCAAGCCUAAUUCCACUACGGACCUCCAAAUCACAAUCCAAACACGCUUCCAAGUCCAAAAUCACCCAACAGAGCUAACGAAACCAUCACAAUUCAAAUCUGGGGGGUCGUUUACACAUAAGUCAACAUCCGGUCAACUUUUCCAACUUAAGUUUCCAUUAUGAGACUAAGUAUCUCAAUUCACUCCGAAAUCUUUUCGGACCCGAACCAACUAACCCGGUAAGUCAUAAGACAACUGUAAAGCAUAAAUUGAGCAGUAAAUGGGGGAACGAGGUUAUAAUACUCAAAACAACUGGCCGGAUGAUUACAAAGAUUUUGGGUGGCGGCUAGGGUUUCUUAGAGAAGAAAAGAGUAGAGAAUUUAGGGGAGACUGGAGUGUGAGAAUGAGAUUAGGGCUUAGGGUGAGGGGAUAUAAGGAAAGGGUAGGGAUUAUUAUGGGCUGUUGAUCAUCUGAGAUCAACGGUCGUGAUUAAAGGAAAGUGGGGUGGGUCGAGUAAAUGGGUCCCGACCGGGUUGGAACAAAAGGGGUCGUUUGGUUUGGGCCAGCGCAGAUUGGGGUUGGGAUCAUUUGUUUGGAUCUUAAUUGGUCGGGAAAUAAGGCAUAAUUUAGGCCAAAUUUUGAAGUAGGGGGAUUAAGAGGAAAUAAUUUUAAUAAAAUAUAAAAGAUGCUAUUUAUGCAACUUAAUACUUUAAAAUAAUAGUUGAAAAUUAUUAAAAAUGUAAACAAUUAUUUUGUCCUUAAAUAAAAUGACAAAUGCAAUUUAUUGUAAAAUAUGGGCUAUUAUUGCAAAAUUACGUAUUUGGCAUGAAACGUGCAAAUGUAAUUAUAUAAAAUGAAGUAAAUUAUUAUAACACAGAUAUGUGAAUGCAAAUAAUAGAGUUGGAUGGUUAAAUCAUCACAAAAUAAUUUUAAGGGGGUAAUUAAUACAUAUUCAAUUAAUUUAUCUGCAAGAAAAUCAGUUUUAAAGCUUUAAAAAUUACGAACAAUUAUAAAACUACUUGUAUAACUAUUGUAAAUNNNNNNNNNNNNNNNNNNNNNNNNNCAAAAUUGGGUAUCAACAGCUGCCCCUCUUUACUUGGGAAUGAUGAAAGAGUUGUCGGGUAAAGAAAAUGAUGACCAAUUUUGUCUGAAAUGAGAGGGGGAUGAUGUGUUUUUAAAAAAUAGGGGACCGAACCCUGGUUCUUGAGUUGCCUAUAUAUCUCUGGUAUUACGGGAAUCAAGCUGUGUGUAGUUUUGGAUCCAACGACGAACGAAACCGAUGGAGUUAUUAUAAGAGUGGUCGUACAUUUCAAAAGGAUAUUUUGGGUAAGAUAGUGUCGUAAGUAACGAAUAAUUUUGGAUGGAGUCAUGGAUGUGAAAUGAAUAUCACAGAUGUACGAGGCAGAUAUUUGGACGGUUAUAGAAUAAAAAGUAAUUAAUUACUGGUCGUCGGUUACGUUUGAGAUAGUCAAAGGAUACGAACGUUGUGAAUGGAAACCGGAGCGAGAAUUGCUCCUGUUUGUAGAACGGUUACCUCCCGAGUGACCUGCAAAACUUAAAACAUGAUGCACACGAAUAUAUGAGGUUAUUGCGUAAUUUAAACAUGAUGAAAAUUCCCUUUUGGACCAUGAGGGUUGUCUUCGGACGUUUGUGGAUGAUGUCCUUGGACCGUGACGUCCUGGGCCAUAAAGCGUAUGAUAAGGGAUUCACAAGCCAUGAAAUGGUGUCCUCGGUCCAUGAGGAUGGUGCCUCUGAACUAUGACGUCUUUGAAUAAUGAUGUGUAGUUUCUAGAGAUCCUCCGGUCUUGGCAUGAUGUCUUCGGGCUAUGAGGAUGAUGCCCUUAGACUAUGACGCCUUCGGACAAUGUGGCGAUGUUUCAUCCCGUGAAAUGCAAAGAUGCUGUAAUAUGGAUCGCUUGUCAAAGAAAACAGGUGAUGCUCAGUCGUAUGCGAGAAUGAGAUGAGGCAAGGUUUUGUCUUGUAUGAGAUGAGGGUAGUAUGGAGACAAUGCUUAGUCUCACGUAGCGAAAAGGCAGUGCUUAGCCUUAUACAAUAUGGAGGCAAUGCUUAGCCUCUUUCAAUGUAUGGAGACAAUGCUUCGUCUAAUGCAGAGAAAAUGCAUUGCUUACCACUUAUGCGAUAUGGAGGCAAUACUUAGCCUAAUGCAAGGUAUGGAGACAAUGCUUAGUCUCAUGCAGAGAAAAGGCAGUGCUUAGCCUUAUGAAAUAUAGAGGCAGUGCUUAAUCUCAUGAUAGAAAACCAAUGAAUAAUUGCUAGAGAGUAAAUCAUUUCUUAGCUUGAUGUGUUAGCGUUUGGCGAUUCUUGUUGGUGUGAAGAUAGUGAUCUUGCUAUGUGUAUGUAUUUGCAGAUGUUCCUGUUAUGUUCAUUAUGCCUGUGGCCAAAGAAAAAUCGUGAGUUUUGGUCAGGGGGAAUGUUGGUUCGUGCUCUCGAUUCCUUGCUUCACCAUUACUCUUGUCUUGAGGUCUUGCUUGAGUCACCUUGGGUAACGUCUGGCUGCCAUAGAAACAAAAUUUCGAAAAACAUGCAUGCAUUUGACAAAUUAUUUGUAAAAAUGUAGUUGUUUGAAAUAUGUGAUAAUGCACAAGAUCAAAUAAUUUUGAUGAACUGAUGAUUGCGACGUAUUUUUGAGACAUUUCAACCUCCUUGAUUCGGAAUUUUGAGGAUCCUCCUCAAAAUUCUGCCCUAAUUUAAAUGCGUACUUCUGGCGCUACAUUCUUGGCGGUUCCAAACACGAUGAGAUCAGGAAAACUCGAGAUCUUGCCCCAGUUUCUGACCAUAGGGGGAAUGAAGAUUUUAUUAUUAUGUGACCAAAGCCACAGGGCUGCCUACGUAUCCCCUCUUAAACGAGAAUUAGGCCGAGUGUAGUUCAGUUACGUCAAAUAGAAAGUGCAAACAUAAUCUUAAACAUAGUAUCUCUUGACUGCGUCCGAAUUGAUGGGUUUUAGACAUAUCUCCCCAUCCAUCUCUGCAAGUAUAAGUGCUCCUCCUGUUAAUACCCAGUGAACCAUGUAAGGGCCUUGCCAGUCAGGUGAGAAUUUCCCCUUUGCUUCAUCCUGGUGUGGGAAGAUUCGCUAUGGUACCAAUUGCCCCAGCAUGAAUUGCCUCGACCUGACCUAUUUGUUGAAAGCUCUUUCCAUUCUAUUCUGGUAGAGUUGACCGUGACAUACUGCGUUCAUUCUUUUUCCAUCGAUGAGAGCUAAUUUUUCAUACCGGUUCCAUAUCCAUUCUACGUCGCUGAGCUCGGCUUCUUGUAUGAUUCUUAAAGAAGGGAUUUCCACUUCGGCGGGGAUAACAGAUUCAGUACCGUAGAUCGGGUUACCAAAGUUGAGGUACGAUCUGUGGUGCGAUACCCGAGCAAAGCAAACAGUAGCUUCUCGUGCUAUUAUUUGUAAUUAUCUACCAUUUUCCUUAAUAUCUUCUUAAUGUUCUUGUUGACGGCCUCUACGGCUCCGUUCAUUUGCGGUAUGUAUGAUGUAGAGUUCCGAUGCUUGAUCUUGAAUGUUUCACACAUGGCUUUCAACAAGUCUCUAUUAAGAUUGGCAGCAUUGUCAGUAAUGAUUGACUUAGGUGCUCCAAAUCGACAAACGAUGCGGUCUCGAACAAAAUCUGCUAUAAACUUCUUAGUUAUAGUCUUAUAGGAUGCGGCUUCAACCCUUUUUGUGAAGUAGUAUAUAGUCACCAGAAUGAACCUAUGUCCGUUUGAAGUAGCGGGUGUUCGAUUGGUCGAAUGACAUCUAUACCCUAAGUGAAGAAGGGCCAGAAUGAACUUGUUGCAUUAAGUUCGUUGGGUGGUACCCGUAUCAUGUUAGCAUGUAUCUGGCAUUGGUAAAGCUUUUGAACAUAUUUGAUGUAGUAUGUUUCCAUAGUCAUCCAGAAAUACCCUGCUCUUAAUAUCUUCUUGGCCAGAACGAAACCAUUUGUGUGGGGUCUGCAAGUUCCGACAUGUAUUUCUUCGAGCAAUCUAGACGAAUCCUUGGCAUUGACACAUCACAACAAACCUAAAUCAGGGGUCCUUCUGUACAGAUUCCUCCACUUUGAAAGAAAUGGUUGGCCAAUCUUCUAAUCGUGUGCCUCUGAGUAUGGGUAGUGUGCUCUGGAUAUUCUCCUUUUUCCAAGUAAUUCUUGAUGUCGUGGAACCACCUAUUUCCGUCAAUCUCUUCUUCAACAUGAGCUCAAUAAGCUAGCUGCUUAUGAAUUCCUAUUGGGAUAGGAUCAAUGAAAUUCUUAUCUAGGUGUUUUAUCAUGGAAGACAAAGUAGCUAAUGCAUCUACAAACUCAUUCUUAAUCCUUGGAACAUGUUUGAACUCUAUCUUUGUGAGCCUCUUGAUCAGCUCUUGUACACAGUGCAAAUAUGGUAAUAUUUUGGUGUUCUUUGUAGCCCAUUCUUCAAGAAUCUGGUGCACCAACAGAUCUGAAUCUCCGAUUACCAGCAACUCCUGAAUGUUUAUGUCAAUGGCCAACCUGAGUCCCAGGAUGCAAGCCUCAUAUUCCGCCAUAUUGUUGGUGCACAGAAACCUAAGUUUUGCGGAUACCGGAUAAUGUUGACCGGUUUCUGAUACUAAGACAACUUUGAUACCCACUCCUUUGAAGUUUGUUGCUCUGUCCAAGAACAUCCUCCAACCAUCGUACGCCUUGGUGAUAUCUUCUCCUACAAACGACAUCUCCUCAUCGGGAAAAUACAUUUUCAAUGGUUCAUAUUCUCCGUCUACGGGAUUUUCUUCCAAGUGAUCCGCCAAGGCUUGCCCUUUGACUGCCUUUUGAAUUACAUAGACGAUGUGGAACUCACUUAGCAAUAUUUUCCACUUUGCUAACUUAACCCUAGGUAUGGGUUUAUGAAAGAUGUAUUUUAGCAGAUCCAUCCUUGACAUGAGAUAUGUAGUGUACGCAGAGAAAUAAUGUCUCAGCUCCUGGCUAUCCAUGUCAGAGCACAACAAGUUCGUUCUAACAAAGAGUACUGGGCUUCGUAAGGCAUGAAUGUCUUGCUCAGAUAAUAUAUCGCAUGCUCCUUCCUUCCAGUUUCAUCAUGUCGUCCUAGAACGCAACCAAAAGCCCCAUCCAACACAGAUAGAUAAAGCAGCAGAGGUCUUCCUGGUUCUGGUGGGACCAGCACAAGCGGUUUAGAUAAAUACUCCUUGAUUUUGUCGAAGGCUUUCUGGCAUUCCUCAGUCAACAUCUUUCCUCAACAUUCUGAAGAUUGGCUCACAUAUCACCGUUGAUUCUGCUAUAAAUCGGCUGACGUAAUUGAAGCACCCUAGAAAACUUAUCAUAUCUUUCUUAUUCUUUGGAGGCGGCAAGUCCUGGAUAGCUUUGAUUUUUGACGGGUCUAACUCAAUACCUCGGCGACUAACGAUGAAACCUAACAACUUUCCAGUAGGGACUCCAAAGGCACAUUUUGCAAGAUUCAACUUCAAAUUGUAUUUCUGAAGCCGGUCAAAAAUUUCUUCAAAUCUGCUAUGUGAUCCGAACUCCUUUUAGAUUUGAUGAUAACAUCAUCCACGUACACCUCUAUUUCCUUGUGUAUUAUGUCAUGGAAAAAUAGUCGUCAUGACCCUCAUGUAGGUGGCCCCAGCAUUCUUCAAACGAAAUGGCAUCAUUUUGUAAUUAUAUAUUCCCCAUGGUGUGAUAAAGACGGUCUUUACGGCUUCCUCUUCAUCCAUCCAGAUCUGAUGGUAUCCUGCGAAGCAAUCCAUGAAGGAUUGGAGUUCAUUCUUGGCGCAGUUGUCAAUCAGUAUAUGUAUGUUGGGCAGUGGGAAAUCAUCCUUAGGACUUGCUCUAUUCAGAUCUCGGUAAUCAACACAUACUCUAACUUUUCCAUCUUUCUUCGGAACUGGCAUAAUGUUGGCCAACCAGGUCGGGUAUUCGACUACUCGAAGAACCUUGGCUUUGAUUUGCUUGGUGACUUCCUCUUUUAUCUUCAAUCUCAUAUCUGGCUUGAACUUUCUGAGCUUCUGCUUUACCGGUAGACACAUGGGAUUGGUGGGUAGCUUGUGAGCUACUAUGGAUGUGCCUAAACCAGUCAUAUCAUCGUAGGACCAUGCAAAGAUGUCCUCAUACUCCUUUAGGAAUCUGAUAUACUCGUCUUUCUCUGACGGUGAUUUAUGAAUGCUUAUUGUCAUGGGCUGCUUUCCAUCAUCGACCCAUGACCCCUUGGACGCACCUCGUGGCGUCCUGGCAAGCCUCCCAAUGCCUAGCACCACAGUCGGCCCCGUGGUUUUGGCAGCGCCAAGUGACAAGCGCGCAUGCGCCUCUGUCGCCCCACCAAUAAUCAGUGCCAGUGCCCAGCGGCUGGCAAAUGCCAACAGUGUCGCGCGCACCGACAAUACCGCAUGCACAAACCAUCAUGUUGCCAAUAGCACCGCACGCACAGACAGUGCCCCGCACACAGAUCCAAUGCCAAGCACCAGUGCCCAGCCGCAGGCAAAUCCAAAUAGUGCCGCGCGCGCCGACAGCAAUACGCGCGCAGACCCUGAUGCUCAAGACAAAGUUGGUGCCAUCGGACUUGCUUCUACCUUGUAGAAGACUAAGUCCUUUUCAUUGUAAUUAUAGAGUAGUUGUACUUCAUUCAUUUUCAGUGUGCUUCUACAUCUUUCAUAGGUCAACUCAUGUAACUUUGGUUUAUUUGUUUUAAGCAUUAUUAAGGGGGACCAAAGCAUUCAAACAUUCAAGCAAUCAAACAAUUUUCUAUACUGGUGUCUCUCCCCCCGACACCGCAUAGCAUUUUGUAAUAGCUUUCAUCAUCAUCAAUAAAAUCAUCAGCUUUCAUCAUUAUUGCUCAUUUUCGCUGCUCAAUUGCUCACGACAUUGGUUUUUCCAUACGAAACUGACAAUCUAGUCUAGCGUAUAGAAGGGGCCUCAGUUGGCGCAUAGCAACCGCACUGACAUCAGUUGCUUAGCCUUACGUCGCCCUUCCAAGGAACUUAAGGAAGGCGCCGCAUAACAGUUGAUAUCAGAGCCUAUGCUCGACAUCGGAUGAGGGAACUCAUUGCCAUCAUCACCCUUUCUGACCAUGGUGAAUUACGGGGAUCGCAUCACGACCCUGCAAAGGUUGGACGACCAGGACCGCAGAAUGCGGUAGGCUGAAGUUGACAUAGCAAACAUCAGUUGCGACUCUGAGGAAGACCGGCAUACGACAGCAGUUGAGGCAGCCACAAUUCAUGGUAAAUUCGACGACCUCCAACAGGAGCGUGCCGAGGAUUUAGCCCAUCGUGACCUAGAGGCAGACAGACUGACUGCCAUGCAGCAAACCAUAGACAACUUUACAGGCCAACUCAAUGUUGUCAAUGCUUCCCUUCAAAGCCUACUCAAAGGAGGCGAAAACCAAAUCAGGGUUGCCAUGAACAUUGGCCCAAUGCCACAAAAGCUGAAAAUCCUGGAGCCAAAGCCAUACAACGGAGCUCGGGAUGCUAAAGAAGUGGAAAACUUCAUCUUCGACAUCGAACAAUACUUCGAUGCCAUAGGACAGUUGGAAGAAUCCAAAAAGGUAGCAACUACUACCAUGUAUCUUAAAGGAGAUGCAAAACUCUGGUGGCGAGUCAAAUACGAAGCCAUCAGGGCCGGUGAAGAUACUCUCAACACAUGGGCAGAACUGAAGGCAGCCAUACGCCUGCAAUUCUUCCCCGAAAAUAUGGAAUACAAUGCACAGAGAAAGUUGCAUGAACUCCUCCACACCAGGUCAGUGCAGGACUACGUGCGUGAAUUCUCCGUACUCAUGCUAAACAUACGGGAUAUGGGGGAUAAAGGCAAAUUGUUCGCAUUCAUAGAAGGUUUGAAACCUCAUGCUCGUAUGGAGCUGCAAAGACAAAGGAUAGAUACCCUACCCAAGGUCAUUCAAGAUGCAGAUUGCCUUAGGGAUUAUCAUAUGAAAACUCAGAAGGAUAGGCCCCGGCCGCCUGUCCGAUGGGGAUACAACGGGAGCCAACCUAGAAACGGUGGCCCUAACAGAAAUGGAGGAGAUCAAGGUGCAUCCAAAUCCAAGACUCCUUCCUAAAGCAGCAAUAGUGUUGCAUCAGUCAACAACAAUCAGGGGAGAAAUCCCCUUUCAGAAUACCGUCAUUGCGGCGGGGAACAUUGGAACAAUCAAUGUCCCAAUACACAGAUCAAUGCUCAACAGACUGUUGAAGAUGAGUCAGAUCCUGACGACUCAAACAACGCAGAGCAAGUAGGUGCCUUCAACAUAUUUGUUGGCUCCAUUCAUAAUACCUUUGUGGGAACCAGUGCUGGUAACCCCAAGAAGAAUGCCUGACCAAUCAUCAAGAAAGGGAAAGAAAAGGCAGAUGAGAAGCCUCUCACCACACAAAAGAGGACCUUAAUGUUCGUCGACAUAAAAGUAAACGGCAAACCUAUUCGGACAUUGAUAGACACGGGUGCUACCCACAACUACCUGGCCUCAACUUAGGUGCAGCACCUCGGUCUAGCGGUGAAAAAGAGUAGGGGUCGUGUCAAGGCUAUCAACUCUCCAUAUCAGUCAGUGAGUGGAAUAGCCAAAGAAGUGCCAAUGAAGCUUGGACCAUACAAGGGAAUAUUCGACCUACGCAUAGCUAUCAUCGAUGACUUCGAAGUGAUAGUGGGAUUGGAAUUCCUCAUGAAAACAAACUCCAUCCUGGUGCCAUAUGCCAACAUGCUCCUACUGAUGGGAGACAACAGGGCCAAAUCCCGCGCCAUACCAUGCAUACCUAUAAAGAUGGCCGCUGAAAGCAUCUCGGCCAUGCAGUCAAAGAAGGGAAUCAACAAACCUGAACCAACGGUUCCGGCUGCCCUCAACAUCAUCAAUCAAACAUCAGAUCAUCGGUGCCCAAUAACUCAUGGCACCCCUCAGUAUGUGAAGACUUGUCAAGCAUGCCUAAAGGACAAGUCGGAUCACUCAGCACAAGCGGGACUCUUGGAGCCGCUACCUGUCCCACAAAGAACUUGCGAAAGUCUUUCCCUGAAUUUCAUCACAGGAUUACCCAAGGUCGGAAAUAUUGCAACUAUCAUGGUGGUAGUAGACCGAUUUUCCAAGUAUUCUACCUUCAUAGCAGCCCCACAAAACAUAUCGGCAGAAGAUACAGCUCGACUCUUCUUCUCUCAUAUAGUCAAAUAUUGGGGCAUGCCUAAAGACAUCAUUAGUGACUGCGACCAACGCUUCACUAGCAAAUUUUGGACCCAUAUCUUCAGUUGCCUCGGAUCCAAAUUGAGUCAUAACUCAAACUUCCAUCAACAAACAGAUGGCCAGCCAGACCGGUUCAAUGACAUGCUGGAGGAAUAUCUCUGCCAAUUUGCAACCGGGUCACAAACACAUUGGGUGAAGCUUCUGGAUGCUUCUCAGCUGUGUUUCAAUUCACAAAAGUGCGCCGAUACAAACAAAAGCGCUUUUGAAAUUGUUACCGGACAGCAACUGCUACUCCCACAGACGGUGAAUGCACCAAACAUACCAAUAUCAUCUCGAGCUGCCAGUUUCUCACAAGAAUGGGAGCAAACUUCUACGAUAGUGUGGAUUUAUCUUGUCCAAGCCCAAGAUAGGGCAAUGAGAUAUGCCGAACAAAACCUUCGCUUUGCCCAACAUCAAGCAGGGGAGAAAGUGUUGGUAAGAACCCCGAGGUGGAAUUUGUUUGCAAAGAGGACCCAAGAUCCUCACAUAUUGCAAAGAUACAUCGGACCUUUUUCCAUUGAAAGGCGCAUCAAGAAAUUCACAUACCAGUUGAACACACCAGCCUGGUGGAAAAUCCAUCUAGUCUUCCAUGUCAACCGCCUCAAGUCAUUUCAGAAAUACAUGGAAGAUCAUUCAGAAAGCCAUCUCACAACACCAAGGGGAACAGACCUCCCAGCCAACAAGAGCCUGACCAAUCAUCAUCAUCCGACAGGUAAGGCUCCGAGGACGUCGCCAACUCAGGUGGGGGAGAAUGUCAUGGGCUGCUUUCCAUCAUCAACCAUGACCCCUUGGACGCGCCCCGUGGCAUCCUGGCAAGCCUCUUAAUGCCUAGCACCCAGUCGGCCCCGUGGUCUCAGUAGCGGCACGUGACACGCCGCAUGCGCCUCUGUCGCCCCAUCGAUAAUCAGUUCCAGCGCCCAUUGGCUGGUGAAUGCCAACAGUAUCGCACGUACCGACAAUGUCGCACGCACAAACCAUCAUGUUGCCAACAAUUCCACACGCACAGACAGUACCCCGCGGGCAGAUCCAAUGCCAAGCGCCAGAGCCCAGCCGCAGGCAAAUCCAAAUAGUGUCGUGCGCGCCGACAGUAAUGCGCGCGCAGACCUUGAUGCACAAGACAAAGUUGCUGCCAUCGGACUUGCUUCUACCUUGUAGAAGACUAAGUCCUUUUCAUUGUAAUUAUAGAGUAGUUUUACUUCAUUCAUAUUCAGUGUGCUUCUACAGCUUUCAUAGGUCAACUCAUGUAACUUUGGUUUGUUUUUUUAAGCAUUAUUAAGGGGGACCAAAGCAUUCAAACAUUCAAGCAAUCAAACAAUUCUCUAUACUGGUGUCUCUCCCCCCAACACCGCAUAGCAUUUUGUAAUAGCUUUCAUCAUCAUCAAUACAAUCAUCAGCUUUCAUCAUCAUUGCUCAUUUUCGCUGUUCAAUUGCUCACGACAUUGGUUUUCCCGUACGACACUGACAAUCUAGUCUAGCGUACGGAGGGGAACUCAGUUGGCACAUAACAACCGCACUGACAUCGGUUGCUUAGCCUAAUGUCGCCCUUCCAAGGAACUUCAGGAAGGCUCCACGUAACAUUAUACGCGUUUCCUUGACCAUUUCGGAAUCCCCUAAUUUAACGACCUCAAUUUUCUCCAAAUUAGACUUCGGUUUGUUUUCAAAAUUCUCUACUUCUCUGACGAUUUCCUCAGGUAUUAUAUCAUCUUCCAGAUCCUCUGAAUCACUAUCCUUAUGUUUAUUGUCUCAAUAUAUGUCACAGUCGUGGUUCUUUAGGAUAUGUAAUAAUUAUGCUGAAAAGAAUGUAGAAAGAUAAUAAUAAAUAUGAAAAGUAGUAAUGCAUUAAUAAAACUUUAAAAAUGUUAACAAGUACGACUCGAUGGCUCGAGUAAUUAUUUCAAAAUAAAAUAUUGAAAAAUGUCUUAAAUGCUCAAAACUAUUUGAAAAUAAUUCAUGCUAAUUUGCCAGGCUACCCAGGAACUCGGUGAGCUCGGGAUGGUGCAACGGUCCAAUUCUUGAGAAUAGCUCCUUUUUCCAUGGUUUGAAUGGUAAGUUCUUCCUCCUCCUCCUCCUCAACAAUUGCACUGUAGUCUAUGUCUUCUUCAUCUAGAAACAACUUCCUCAUGCCAUCCAAAACCUCAUCUUCCUCAGAUCCUCACAUCAUGUCAGCCUGAUGGAAUGUCUGGUGCAGAGGUUGUAUGGGUUGUUCCAGUGGAUAAUAAGGAGCACGCCAUGGAGGUGACCAAUCCUGAUAUUCUUGCCAUGUGUAUUAAUAUUCGAGUCCAAAGGUCGUGCCAUGGUACUGUGGUUGUACAGGUUUGGUGAUCCCCUGAAGCUUUUGCCGAGACCCUUUCCUAGUUCAUACUCCAUCCACAUCAAUAUUAUUUCUAUCUUGUUUCUCCACCAUCGGUCCUUUUCAAUUGCGUUAACCCGUUCAAUGCGAUGAUGUGUUUCUCCACCCAGCUUCCUUCUAUUUUUGACGACUGAAAUGGUCUGGUUGGUGUAUAUGGGGUUGUUCACAUCUCUAUAGAUGAUCACCUCCGGAUGAUUCCACUCAAACUUCAUAGCCUGGUGUAGAGUUGAAGCCACUGCCCCGACUGCAUGUAUCCAUGACCGUCCCAACAAUAGAUUGUAAGUAGCAGAUAUAUCUAGCACUUGGACCCAUCUGUAGAUUGAGGUUGAUUUCUCCAAUGCUGGCUCUCUCAGAUCCAUCAAACGCCUUCACAUUCGUGCUUCCCAUUCGUAUCUCGUGCAGGACUUUACCCAGUCUCUUUAGAGUGGUCAAUGGACAUAUGUUAAGACUCGAACCUCCAUCUAUCAAGACCCUGGUGAUGAACUUAUCUUUGAAUUGCACCGUGAUGUGCAAUGCCCUGUUAUAACUCAGUCCUUCUGGUAGUAAUUUAUUUUUGUGGAAAGUGAUUUUGUGGCUCUCCAAUACCUGUCCAACUAUGUUAUCCAUCUCUCCACUAGAGAUUCCGGCGGGUACAUAAGCUUUACUUAACACCUUCAUCAGAGCAUCAUUUUGCGUGUCUGAGUUUUGCAGUAGUGAUAAGAUGGAUAUUUGAGCAGGAGUUUUGUUCAUGUGGUCAAUAACAGAGUACUCCCUUGCUUGUAUCUUCAUCCAAAGAUCGUCAGUGCCAGUCUCGACAACAGGCGCCUUAGGUGUAGCUUCCUUACUCGUUCCUCCCAGAUUUUCAGUUGUGUAAACUCUGCCAGUUCUAGUCAUACCUUGCGCGAUAACUAUUUCUUGCACUUUUGCUUUUCUCUUUCUUCUUGCUUCUGCAACAUAAUCCCAUGGGAUGGCAUCAGACUUGUAAGAUGGUGUGGGAGCUACCAUCACAGUGAAGGGUGUAGUUACAUCAACUUCAAAUGGCGCCUAAGUUUGUACCACAACUGGCGUGAGGAUGACCGAAGUUGUUUUAGGGGUGUCUCAUUCUCGAAUGAGUCCGAAGGACCCUUCCUGAUCCUAUUCCUCAUCAAUUUCUAUCACAUUCACUCCCUCACCUCUGUGAUCUGGAAGAGGGUUGUUGCGAACAUUUGGUCUAGAUUCCUUUGCUUAUAUAACCUCAGUGUCGAUCAAUGUAUGAAUCUUGUCUUUCAACGUGCGACAUUCCUCAAUGGUAUGACCUUUCAUGCCUGAAUGAUAAGCACAUAUUUUGUUGGGGUUGAUCCAUUGGGAAGGAUUAUCCACAACAAAGACAGGAAUAAGGGUAACAUAACCAGCAGCCUUCAGUCUCUCAUACAGUUGGUCUAUGGGUCAGCAAUUGGGGUGUAUUGUCUAGGAGGUCCGCGGUCAAAAUUUGGGCGUGGCUUCGGGUAGUUUUGGCCUUCGGGUAGAGGUGAAUGGUAAUAUGCAGGUUGAGCAUUGUAGGUAUGGUAGGUGGCAGGGUAUUGGUAUUUCAGGGGUGAGGGUUGAUAUGUGGAUGGAGGUGUUUUGUAUGUGAGGGGAGACUUAGGGCCCUCGACUACCAUCACGGUACACACUUCUUUCUUCUUUAAAAUAUCCCCUGAUUGCAAAGCUUUAUUCAUGGCCUGCAGUACCUCGAAAUUGGUUACCAUCCCAUUCUUAAUUCCUUCUUCUAUUCUUUCUGCUAGCUUGAUGAUGUCGUAGAACUUGUGAUUUUCAAUAACCAUCAACAUUUUGUAAUACUGGGGGUCUUGAGCUCUGAAGAAUUUUUUUUUUAUUUGUUCUUCUUCAAGUGCUAGCCUUACCUUUGCAGCCUCUGAUCUCCGACGAGUAGCAUACUCGCGGAAGGUUUCUGUCGGCUUCUUCUUGAGGUUUUGAAUGUAGAAAAUGUUUGGCGUAUUUUUCGUGUUGAACCUGAAUCUAUCCUUGAAAUCUGAUGCCAUACUUACCCAACUAACCCACUUAUUUGUGUUUUGAGUGAUAUACCAAGACAAAGAGUCUCCCGUAAGGCUUCGCAUGAACAAUUUCAUGCAAAUUUGUUCAUUCUUGCCCAACCUACAAGCUUGUCACAGUAUGUUCUCUGAUGCACCUUCGGAUCACCGGUACCAUCGAAUAUUUUGAACUUGGGAGGUUUGUAACCCUCCGACAGUUCCAUAUCCGGUUGAAUACAUAGGUCCUCAUAGUUUAGACCUUCAACGCCUUUACUGCCUUCAAUACUCUGGACUCUUCCUGUGAUCUUCUUGAGCUCCUUUGCCAUGUUUAUAAUGAGCAGGUCCUUUUCAGUCGAUUCGGGUAUGUAUAGGGUUUGUUGCGGGGUAUGGGAUAAGGUUUCCACAUAUAUCGGGUUGCUUUGAUGAGUUCCCGAAACUUGGGUAUAUAGAUGGUCAUUGGUCGAGUUCUGGGGAUCAGGAGUGGGUUACAGUGCAUUUUGAGGGGUGUGAUAAGUAAUUGUUUGCGGUUAUUGAGUUAGAUGAUGGUGGUGUUGUUGUGGGGUCGGCACUGGUGGCGGGUUAAGGUUCUAGGGAGGUUCGGGAUAAUGGUAUGGUGCGGAAGGAUUUGGUGGUAGAUUUUGGUUUUUUGUGUUUUGUGGUGGUGUUUGGUUCUGUGUAUUCGGGUUUUGGUGGUUGAUGUCGGGAAUAUUGAGAGUAAGGGAAAUGUUUGCAAAAUUUCGGACCUGCUCAAGCUCGCCCUGUAGUUCUAGGAUUUUCUGCUCCAAACGUAAGACCAACUCAUUUUGCCCCGGAGUACUUCUGCCAUCUGAAGUUUCCACAUUUUCUGCCACAAUAGCAUUGUCUUUCCUGAUACUUAAAUCAUCCAUCUUCCAUUUUCCCUUUCUUUUGCUUUCGGGUCGCUUGGUGGAGGAGGAGGUGGAGAAUCUCUGGAUCUAGUAUGGCAUGCUAAUGAUGCCAGUAUGUAUGAACCAACCUUUGGGAAUGGGAAUAAUCAAAAACUAAAAGAAAAAGCAAAACGUAACCAAGUUAGUAAGGUGAAAAUAAAAGAAUGUUUGCAGUAUUUAAACAUGUUUCACAAAGUCAUGCAAUAAUUCGCGUCCUAAUUUUAGGGACAUCAUUGUGUCUGAGGUAGGCCUAAGCGACACAUAGACUUGGAGAAAAUUGAUGCCAACUUUGCUUUAUUUCAUUAAUGCGAAAAUAGGCCAAAUCAAACUUUCACUAAAUCGACAAUAAUAAUAAAGUCACUAAUGGCAUCAAGCCUUAUUAAAUCAAAAUCUAAGCUAGAAAGUUUUAAAGAACAUUAUCUCCUAAUCUACUGGGUCCCUAAAGGAUCUUCUCUAUGCUUAGCUCUCUUGUCUCCAUCAAUUAGGUUUCCCAGAUCGCGCAUAUCCAACAGUAAGUAAGCUUUUGCCAGAUUUCCUCCUUCAUCGUCGUUCAUGCCUUGACAGUCCGAGAGUCUCAUUCUAUCUUCCCUUCUAGCUCCAUUAGUUUGUGUUCCAAGUAUUCCAAUCUUUUUGUUGACUUAGUGACAAUCUCCUUCCAUUCCCUUAUCGCCUUCAUGUUCACUUUGUGCUUCUCCAGAUGUUUAGCUUCGGACUCGAACACCCUUUUGUGUAGCCUCUUAUACUUAACUUGUGCCUCAUCCACUUCAUCUAUGAUCCUAUCCUUCAGAUUGACUCCUGGCUUGAUGUCCCUUGCUACGUCGUCUUCCAGCCAUGAUAGAUAGUAGUACAUAUGACCAGCGGGAUACCUGUCCGACUCGAUAGUUUCUCCUUCCACAAUGAUCUUUCGGUUCCACAUAUGUUGCGCCUCUAACUUGAAUGGAAUGACGUCUCCCUUGAAAUCUGCUUUGUAUUGGACUAUAUUGGAAACUCGAGGUAUGACUUGUUUCCUUUUAGCUUGUCUCACUACCCUUAUAGGAGCGUAAGGAUAGAUUCCUUGCAACCCAAUCAGUGCCAAAUGAGUAGUCCCCCUUGACCUGAUGAUGAACUCACUACUAGGAAACCAUUCAAACAUCUAAUGUACCUGCUCGUCUGUCAGAUUGCUGAAGAAACACACCCAACUUACAGCAUUUCUAGGCUAUGCAAACCUGUCCAGAAUAAACGUCAUUUUCUUUGGGUUAUGGUUAGCUACAUAGUCAUUCAGUGGCUUUCGCAGAAGCUCUUGACGGUACUCUCCUCUCUGAAAGUGUUCUAGCAGCCAGACUUGUACCAAUAGAUUAUAACCCUCAAAUUGUCCAAAUCCCUACUUGCACUGAUUUAUAGCGUGGUACAUCUCAGCUAAGAUCAUAGGGAUGUUGGUAUAAGUUUGUCCCUCGAUGCCAUCCAUCAAGGUCCUGGCGACCAUGGCUAAGCGAGUAUGAAUCAUUCCUCCUUUCAUUGGAAAUAUCAACAACCCCAAGAAACAGACGACGAACAUAUAAACCCGCGGUGCACCCAACCCAAGGAAGUAAUGGCGAGUUCAUCAUGGUGAUGAUGAUACGACUUACUAUGCCCAUAACGCUCGUAAAGAAAUUCAAAAAGGAUGUAUGAUUUCUUUAGACAUAGAAGUUCAUCAUUCUUCUUAAAACCCAACAUUUUCAGAAAACCGUGGGGAGUGCGAUUCUUUGGUACUAGUAAUCCCGGACUAUCCCAUAAUAACUUGGCAAAGCCUCCUAUUUAUUCUAAAAGAGGAGUCAUUUCUAUAUUGCCAAAUCGGGAAACAUCUCUUUUCUCAUCCCAAAACAUAGUAGCGGCCUCAAUCAGUUCCCUUUUUGGUCGAAUGUUUAGCAAUGAUGGCAGGUCAUCAAGUACUCUCCUCACAUAUUUUUUGUCGCAAAGUGCAAGGUCUUUCCACCAGUCAAGUAGCAAAUGUGGGAUGUUUUAGACCAUACCGAACCUCGGGAUUUCAUGCUUUAUUUUCUGCAAACAAACAAAGGUUAGCCCUUUCCCCCUCCAGAUUUGACUACUUAUGAAACAAUGAUCAACACGUUGGCACAUUUUCUCCAAAAAUGCAAAUAAUAUGAUAGUGUCCAUUGGGAUUGUGAAAAUCCCGUCGGACUUUGGACAAGAUUCAUCUUAGCGGGUCGUUACAUUAAUAACGCUUCAACCCAUACUAGGUUUAGCAUGUUGCAUGUACAUUUCAAAUCGGAGUGGAGUUUCUAGAAUGGUCUAUACUGGUACUCCCAAGUGGACAACUUGAGAGGGAAAAGCGUGGGACCAUCGAUUGUACCGCUGAUCGACUAGUCUACCGCAAAUAAGCCCUUCCUAUUUCAAAAGGGUGGUCUCUGGAAAGCGCGGACACUCAUCAAGCGCUGCUAUAUUGAUAAUUGGCACGAGUGGAGUAUGAUGUGGAGCAUGCUUUAUGCAGAAAUAAUAACACAUUACCAAGUAUUUGCAUAAUAAAAGUAUGUAAAAGCAGUAAAUAAAAUAGCAAAAGUCAACAUGAAAAGAAGAGAAAAGAAAGACAAAACAGAGAAGUCGGAUUAGCUCAUGAAAAUGUGCGAGAACGUAAUGAAGAAGGUGGGGAAAUAGGGAUGGGAGAGUCAUAAUAUAGCAGUCUUAGUCAAGAAGAAAAGAGAUGGAGAAGGUCAUACAUGUCAUAGCAAACAAAGGAGAAUAAUGGAAGGGAUAUACAUGUCAUAGCAAUUUUAAACAAAUAAAGGUGAAUAAAGAAAGGGAUGUGCAUGUAAUAGCAAUUUAAAAAAAAAAUAAAGAAAAAUAAAAGAAAGCAAUCCACAUAAGUCAAGUUCAUUAUGGUAAAAGCCUGAGUAUUUCCCUAGCAGAGUCGCCAUGCUGUCGCGCCCUAUUUUCUCGCGAAAGCGGGCUUUGACAUGUGACAACUCUUUUAAAAGGAGGUAUUAAAAGAGAAAAGUCGCCACCUAACGAUUUUUAAGGUACGUUAGGGCACCUAGUUGCAAAUAACUCUGUUUAACUAGUCAACGCCACCAAAGAUCGGGUAAGGGCUUAAAUUACCUCAAAGAUAAGGUUUUAGAAACUCUUCGAGGUUCACAACUGUAGGUCCCGACCGAAAUUUAGACCAUGUGGAUUAUACAAUUAGGCUAGACGAUCAAAUAAAUAUAAGGGAUGUUUAGAGGUUGUAGAGACAUAUGAGAAUCGGUACAAGUCUUAAUGACUACAAGGAUACAACUACAUUGGUCUAUAUUAAAUGACAAAAUAUAGAUAACAAGUACAAAAAUUAGGGGGGGGGGGGCUAAGUUUUUAGCCUAAAGGAUCACCCCGUACAACAUAAAUAAUACUUUACAACUCCCUUAAAGUAGAGGUUGCUCGUAUUAUUAAGCGGGCACAGACUAUCAUCUCCUGCUACCCGAUUACUAUGUUGAAGGUGUUUACUUAAAAGCAUUCUAAUUCAAUUCUAAGUCGUACCCUGUGCGUGCACUACUCGUCCCAUGCCUAUGGUCCAGGAAGCCUUGGACCUACUAUAAGGUAGUUUUAGACUUUACUUAGGUUGCUAAAAAUGAUAAAAUUAGGCGACAUGCAAAACAGAUAGGACUGCAUAUAAUUGCAAUAAAAGGCUCAAGUAACCUCCACACAUAAGCAGGAAAGCACGCAAACAGAUUUCUGGUUAUGCAGUAGACGACAUUAAGACGUGUUGGAAUCCUUAAGUCAUAUAGGCAUGAUUUCUAUGUGAUUCUGGAUUCCAAUAUUAUAUAGGCAGUGCUGUAAUUUAUGAAGUAACGUAUAGGCAAAUUAGAGCGUUGCAAGUCCUAUAUACAUAAUAUCUAAUCAUUUGUGUAAUAAGGUUUUGAAAACAAUCCCAUAAUUCUGAAUUAGUAAAGCUGAUUUUAUAGAUAUGCCUCUUAGGCAGGCGAUAGUACACUAUAGGUAUGAUCUCUAAUAGUAGCAUAAUUAGGCAGUGAAGUCAUUUGAAAACACAAGAUUAGUAGUGUCAAUAAACAUCCUAUGGGUAGGAUUUCUAACAAUUGACAAUUGGACUUGAUUUUUAAACAAUUUAUCCCUAUAGGCAUGCUAUCUAAAUGAAGCAGUACAAAAGCAGCAUGAAGCAAUUGAUUAAUUAUUUAAUACUUUAUAGUCAUGGUAUCUAGAUAAGUAAAGGUAUUGCAUUGUUAUAUCCUAUAAGCAUGUUAUCUAAUAGUGCAUAGAACGCGAACAAGUGAAACACUUAGGUUCUUACAAACAUGUUUCUGAUAGUGUGCGGGCAUUAGACAGGUUGAGUAAGUGAAGUGUUUGAGUUCCUAUAGGCAUGAUAUCUAAGUGCAAGAAGUCUAGUUUGGAUCCUAUUGGCAAGUUCUCUAGCCAUUCAAGUCAUAACAUUGUGUGCAUAUAAUUCCAGAGAAUAAGGCGUGAUGAAUAAACAAGCUAUUAAGAUCCUAUAGACAUGAUCUCUAACCAUUCAUGCAAAAGAUAAAGUAUCCCAGUUCCCCCUUUUCACUAAUUCCUAGUUGUCAGUUAUUACAAGUAAUUACAGGCCCAAAAAUGAAAUAAUACAGUCUUAAAGAUGACAAAACAUAGGCUGAAAUGAAUACAAGCCGACCAAAGCAAUUACAAGCCCAAUAUAAAAGUAACCCGGGAAUAUCCCAGACCUUCCAUAGUCUUACUCUCCGGACAAACAGCAGGCCCAAACCACAGGCUCACACGAUAACUAGAGUGCACAUGAAUCCAGUGCCCAGGUCCAACAACACCCAUGGCCCAUCUCCAGACCCAAUGAAUAACUUACUUACCCACAUGGAUACUAAAUUUAGCUAUGCAGGUGACUCAAUACUCAUAGAACAACUUAAUCCCUUGGUUCUUAGAGCUGUAGCCAUUAACAGCUCUAGACAAGACAUAUAAAUAGGAUCAUGCUAGAUGGAAAGGCACACAAGGCACAUAUGAGGAAAUCUUAUGCUUUGAAAUUCCAGAAACAGAGUUUGAUAGUGACAAGAUUGACCAUCAUAGGACAGUAAACCAUUUCAGUAAAGCAUGAUCCAGAAACAACCUAAGGACCUUUAGAUGAUAUUCUAACAGAAUUAUGAACAAGAAGCAGGUAGAGUAGAGUCUUGAUAUGAAGGUUUUAACAUGAAAACCUAAUGAGAAUGUGGUUGAAAAUAGCAUAACAACAUGCUAGCGGGCACAAUUUGGCAAACAUACUUGGUUGAUCAUCGAACUUAACCUGAUGAACAUUAAUUAUAACACAAAGAUUCUAAAGAACUCAUAGUAGGCAAAAGAACAUAUCAAUUAUAGGCUAGCAGGACAUGCAUGAAUUAGGAUUCAUGUCAGUCGACCACACAUGAGGGAUAACUAAUCAUUGGUAUUUAUCCUAGAAGCAAUGCUAAAGGGUGCAGGAUUGCCCAGUCAGGCAAUACAAUUGCCAGAGUUACAAAUCACAGACAAAAAUGCUUGGUUAGAGAUUAAGACAAUGCUAUAACAUGGGAGAGCGAAGGAUCAGUUUGCAUGAAAUAAUAGGUUAUACAUAAAGGAUAUAGUAGGAAGAGAUUCAUUAAGGUAGACUUUGAGCAAGAAGUUUCUACAAAAGGUCCCAGAAAUCCAAGGCAUGAAUAUGAACUCAUAAUAGAUAAAGGACACGACAUUGAUGCUAACAUGAGCAUGACCAAUUAGACAACACCUAAGAAGGCCAGAAACCAUUUGAGUCAAAUACAUAGAGUGAAAGCAUACUACACAUGUUGAAGCCUAUCAAGUCUGAUAUUAAAGAACAUGGAACCGCAGAACGUCAAUAGAACUACAUAAAGCAUACAAUAAUACAACACUGGGAGUUCACAAAUAACAAAGAAACUUAGGUCAUGCUUGUCUAUAAAAGUUCAAACAGUGUUGGCACGCAGAAUACAAAUACAUGAAUAAGUAGAGGAGUAAUAAUUAAGGUUGUAAAGUGUAGAGAAUGCUAACCAGUUGCAAAGAUAAACGAACAAAAGAGCGAGUAACUUAGAAUCUCAGCGAUGACAACAAAGAAAGAUAACAGUGAGAAUCCAGAUCCAAGUGCGUCAGAGUUCACAUGAGCUUCAGUGAGCCCCGAGCAGUGCUUGUACUAGGGACGUUAAUAGAGAAGAUUUGGGUGGCCUUUUCUAUCAGCCGGCCAUAGUUAAGAGAGCAUAAAUACUAUACAAGGUGAAAAGUAAGAGAAUAACAGUAGUUCUUAAGCGAUUAGAGUCUGUCCAAAGGGGAAAUUGGGGAGGGGUUUAUAGAGUAAUAAAAAUCAACACAUAAAUAAGGAAAUACAAUCAAUCGAACAUAAACAAGAAAAGAAGAAUAUGCAAAAAUCAAUUUAGAAGCAGAUUAGGAGAAGAAACCAGGUAAACCAUAGUUUGACUAGGAUCAUAAAUUGGCCGGAGAUCUUGGUGAAUCAAAACCUCAUAGCCUUGCUAUGAAUGUAUACAGAUGAAAUAUCGUCCAAAUCUUGGAGAGUAAAGCCGAUCUCCUUUGACUCAGAGACUGGUACUUUCCAAAAAUGGGCAAGUACCAUGUAACACCAUAUUUACACAAGUAAUAGCAGUAUAAUCCCUAAAAGGUAAGUAAAUCAUGGUAAGAAUUCAUGGAUGAUUUGGAUUCGGAGAAGAUUUUGGGUGGCGGCUAGGGUUUCUCAGAGAAGAGGAGAGUAGAGGAUUUAGGGGUGACUGGAGUGUGAGAAUGGGAUUAGGUUUUAGGGUGAGGGGAUAUAAGGAAAGGGUAGGGAUUAUUAUGGGCCGUUGAUCAUCUGAGAUCAACAAUCGUGAUUAAAGGGAGGUGGGGCGGGUCGAGUAAAUGGGUCUCGACCGGGUUGGAACAAAAGGGGUCAUUUGGUUUAGGCCAGGGAAGAUUGGGGUUGGGCUCAUUUGUUUGGACCUUAAUUGGUCCGGAAAUAAGGCAUAAUUUGGGCCAGAUUUUGAAGUAUGGGGAUUAAGGGGAAAUAAUUUUAAUAAAAUAGCUAAAUAAAAUAUAAAAAAUACUAUUUAUUAAACUUAAUACUUUAAAACAAUAGUUGAAGAUUAUGAUAAAUGUAAAAAAAUAUUUUGUCCUUAAAUAAAAUGACAAAUGCAAUUUAUUGUAAAAUAUAGGCUAUUUUUGUAAAAUUACGUAUUUGGCAUAAAAAGUACAAAUUUAAUUAUAUAAAAUAAAGUAAAAUAUUAUAAAAUAGAUAUGUUAAUGCAAAUAAUAGAGUUGGAUGAUUAAAUCAUCACAAAAUAAUUUUAAGGGAUUAAUUAAUACAUAUUCAAAUAAUUUAACUGCAAGAAAAUCAGCUUUAAAGCUUUAAAAAUUACGAAAAAUUAUAUAAAUACUUGUAUAACUAUUGUACAACAACAAGAUUGAAGAUACCUCGAGAUAUAAAGGUAAUUAUCAUACAAAUGAUUGAGUACCCACACGUAGAAUCCAUGAAUAAUGUGGAAACAAAGAGGUAAUAUUAAUUGCACGAUGAAUGAUGAUGUGAAGGUGUGAUAUUGACUAUAAUUAGAAAAAUUUAAGUUGUGAUGUUUUCAUGAAGAAGAUUGCACGUUUCUUACCUUUAGCAUUAUGAAAAUAGUGUAUGUUAUGAAAAAUUACAUGAAAGUUAUGCGGGUUUAGCCUGAGGCAGUUGUAUUUACCAGUAAUAUAUUUGAGCAUGGACUAAAGGGCAAAAUGCUAGAAAAAGAUUUUUAAAAGUAAACUGGGCAUGAAAAGUGAUAUGCUAACUUUAUUGUUGUACGGGUAGAAAGAGAUGAUACUUGGCAACAUGAGUUGCGACUAGAAGUGUCAUAGUACUUGGGUAUGCGAGGGGAAAAGGAAUCCUUGAUGAGCAUAACCAUUUUUCUUCUAUUGUUAGGAUAGUAGGUACUACUAAGUGUAAUUGCAAAGUAGAAGUCAAGUCUUCGUGAAAAUCUGAAAUGGUGAAUAAGAUUUUGAGCUGGGAAUAAAUAAUUUGUAGUAGUAUAUGGGCGUGUGUAUAAUCAGAUGGAAUGGAAUACGACUUUAAUGAAAUCUUCGAGUUUCAGGUUCAAGUUUUAGAUUUGGAUUUUACGUUUAAGUAAGGGAGCGUCAUAGCAAGUAAAAGUCACCUUAAAGGUGAUGGUUGAAAAAAUAAAAUGUAGAAAUUUUAUUCUCAAAAGAAAGAUGAAGGGAAAACCUUCGGUAAGAUUCCAGAUGAAGUGAGUAAAAUUGUCAUACAGUGCCGGUAUAGGGAUCACAUGCUUAUCACGAGCAAUAUGUACGGUGUUCAAUAUUGGGGUUAUUAAAAGGUACUAUCUAAUAGUCAAAUAUUUAAUGGGCUACUUGAAUAGAUUCUUAUAGCUUUGGAGCAUGUGUCACUUGAAUUAAAUUCAAGCAAUGGCGCAAAAUAAGAAAAUACUUUGGUCAUACAUUGGACUUAGUAGAACAAAUGAAGGUUAUAUUAUGCAUAUUCCUGAAUACAAAAAUACUCUUGCAAACCAAAACAAUGUGCUCCAAUAAGAAGCACGACGUCAAAAAAAAACAAUUAAGUGGUGCAAGUAUUAUCCUAAUAGCAUUGUCACUUUGGAGUUGAAAGCCUACAAUAUAUGAUAGUAUUAUUAUGAUAGGCGCAAUGGCAAAUAUAACUUAAAUUUCUGGUAAGAAAAUAUCAUAAAGAACUUGGUGAUAUCAAUUAGUUGGUUAAGGUUAAGAAAAUAGAAAUAUGUAAUGUGAUGUUCAAGAAUGAAUAGAUACAUGUGCCAUGAAAGGGAAGGAAGCGGAUUGAACAUUUGUCAUAUAGCGGACUUGUUAGCAACCGUAUCAAUCAAUUUUAGAUAUAAAGGAAACUCAAAAGGUUACAUGUGUAAGUGGAGGUAUAAAUCACCCACGUGAUGAAUGGAUCUAAGUAAGACAAUAUCUUAUUGGUAUUCGGAUGGAAUAAAAGAACAUUAUAGAAGGAUUUGAUAACUAGAGAAUUAAGAGUCCUACGAGGACAAACUAUGCUUAGAAGUAAUUUUAUAUUAAUAAUAAAGUCUUUGAAUGGAAGAUUUUUUUUUGUUGCAAGAAAUACUCUUUCACGUGCGACUUGGUGUAUACAUAAUAGAAAGAGAAUACGAAUAUGCAUGACAGUAAUAUGUGUUGCAAUAUAGAGAAACCAAUAUUGGAAUGAGCGAGGUAUAGAUAUGCAACUGUUUAAAAUUGUAAAGAAUUAUUCGAUGCAAUUUUAGUAUAUGCACGGCCAUGUGGGACUUAGAUAUUUUGUUGUUAUACAUUGAGGACGUAUGUGUGGCCGUGCGGGUCCUAGAUAGUUUGUUGUUGUACAUUGAGCAUAUAUGUGUGGCCGUGUAGGGCCUAGACAUCAUAUUAUGUAAAGAUAUUUGGUUGUUGAAUUAUAUUAAAAUUGGUGCCCGUGUGGGGACUGAUAAGUUGAGAUUUUGACUACUUAUUAGCACUUUUUUAAUUUUGUUUUAGUCUGAAAGUAUUGCAUUAUGUUCCCGAAACUAAUAAAAGUGUGCAAAUUACAGGAAUGUUGGAAGUUUGGUAUAUGGGACUCAAAAAGGAGUGUUCCGAAUUAGAAGGCAAGAAAGGGGCACAGAACAAAAGAAGUGCGGACCGCAGAAUUCCAUCUGCGGCCACAGAUCAAGUGAAAAAUCCCAGCAGGAAUUUGGCCAAUGUGCGGCCGCAGAACAAGGUCUGCACUCACAAAUGAUUCAAUGUUCAGAGACGGUGCAAAAGACCAAGUUCUGAAGCCUUGCUGAAGUGCGGACAACAGAAGAAUUAUGCACUCACAAAAGAUGCUUCGCAACCGCAAUCAAAAAUUGUUCGGCUACAGAAUCCAAGAUCUCGCCAACUGAAGAAAUCUGCGGACCGGACUUGGAAUUGUGCGGCCGCAUAACCUCCCGAGGGAAAUUUUUGUCAGCGAAUUUUGGGCCACUAUAAAUAGACGAGUUUCACAUUUUUAGGUCAAGUUUCAAAGUUCGAACUGUUGUAGCCUUACAUUUUGCCAUUUUAGGAAGUUUGUGACUAUUUUAGUGUUUAAAUAUUAUAUUAUAUUAUAUCAUUUUAAUCUUAGAUUAUGAGUUUAAUUAGCAUUUCUUAUUUAUUUUCUUUAAUUUUUACUAUGAGUAGCAAGAUUCUUACUAGGGUUGUGACCCAACCCUAGUGUGUAAACCUUGUGGGUAUUUAAUUUAAUGUUUGUUUAUGAUUGGGUGUUGAUUAUUUAGCUUAGUUUAUGCUCCAAUUUUAGAAUUAAUGGUUGUAAACAUUGAUUCAUGCUUUUUUUGACUUAGUCUCUAUUUGAGAAAGAGAGACCUAGUCUAGGAUAACUUGGCUAACAAGGAAUAGGGCUAAUUGAGGGUUUUAUUAGUCUAAUUAAAGGGUUCAAACUAGAGAUAGGUAGAACAGGGUUUGACCUCAAAUCAACUAUUUUGUUUGAUACCCAUUUGGACCUGAGAUAACCAAAUUGGGCAAAAUCACUCUUUGAUCGAGAGGUAUUGAGUGGGUAAUGUGGAGUUGAGAGCUAUAAUGCACCCCAAUCAACGAAACAAGUAUUAAAGUAUUUAACUGUCACGACCCAAAAUCCCACCACAGGAGUCGUGAUGGCACUUAGUCUCUACAACUAUGUAAGCCGAUUAUAACGGCAAUUCAAGCCAUUUUUUAAAAUUCAAUACAAGUGCCAACAUUAACAACGGAAAUACUCAAACAAUCUCCCAAGACUGGUAAUACUGAGUUACGAACUCUAACUGAAUGCAUGGAAUGAUCUCGAGGACCGAAUAUACAAUACUGUUCGAAUAAGAAAUUAACAGUACAAUAAAUUAGAAAGACUCCAAGGGUCUGCGACGACCAAGCAGCUCUACCUUGAAUUCUUACGAUCAACACACUAACUUUGUCCGAGUUCGAUAUCUCCAACACUUGGCUCUGUACAAAUAUGUGCAGAAGUGUAGUAUGAGUACACCACGGUCGGUACCCAGUAAGUAUCAAGACUAACCUCGGUAGAGUAGUGACGAGGUACAGUCAAGACACUCACUAGUCUAAUAACUUGUGCAAUAUAGCAUAUAAAAAUAAUAGGAAACUAAUAUCAGUAAUAACAACAAUAAUCAACAUGUGAUAUAAACAGCAAGGCAGCAAGAACACCAUAAAUAUUGCUUAAAACAAAUAAUGAACACAAGUACAACCAAUAAUCAAGUCCUUCAAAAUAUACAUCUUUCAUCUAUAAGUUUUUCAAAUAAAAAUCUUUAGAAUAUAAUCCUUUCCAAUAAAUAUAUUUUGAAUAUACUUCCUUCAAAUAAAUAUCAUCCAAAUAUAAUUCUUUCAAAUAAAUAUCUUACGAAUAUAAUUCUUCCAAAUAAAAUAUCUUUCAAAUAUAAUUCUCUCAAACAAAUAUCUUUCGAAUAUAAUUCCUUUCAGGUAAAAGUCACCAUGUGACACCUCAUUUCAUAAUUAUAAAACUUACGGGUCUCAUCCCACUUUCAUAUUUCCAUGGCACUUCAUGCCCAUAUUUCUGUCACAACCACACGGACAACUCACGUGCCAAUAAUAAAAUUAUCAUAUUUCUCCAGCACCUCGUGCCCAUAUUUCUUUCAUAACCUCACGGACAACUCCCCUGCCAAUAAUAAAAACCACCCGGUAAUAGCCACAGGAUCACAAUUACAACAUGAAUUAGACUAUUAUCACGUUUACCGAUACAACAAGACAUGUUGCACAAGAGAUAAAAAUAAACACCAGAAAAAUCACAUCAUAUAAAAAUCAUCAACACAAUAAUCACACAUCAUCACGUAUCAUCCCUGACAAUAGCCACCCUUACCUCUCCCAUAGCCACCCGUAUCAGUCCAUAAUAAUAGCUACCCGUAUCCCUCUGUCCUGACAAUAUCAAUAGCCACCCUUAUUGCUUUUAUAGUCGCCCUUAUCACUCCUAUAGCCGCCCUUAUCACUCUUAUAGCCGCCCUUAUUACUCCGCUCAGACAAUAUCCCAACACACAUAAACACAGUAAAAUGCCACCCUUAUACCCACACAAUAUUAACAGUGGAAUGUCACCCUUAUGUCCUAAUAAUAAUAACUCAAAUCACAUAAUUAUUCACACGGAACAUUAUCACGACAACACAACACAAUCAAUUUAUAUCACAAAUUGCCCAAUGGCCACAACCAAUUCCAAAGAUACAACAAAAUCAAUAAAUUUCACAACAAAUAGCUCAAGGCUUUCCACAACGUAUAUAAAAUCUCAAAGACAACAACUGAGAUGGAAAAGUAACUUAACAUAGGACAUCGCCUUCUUUAAUCCAAAUUUUUAAUAAAUAUAUUAAAGUUUCAUUUUGAACUUAUUUGAUAAUAUUUGCGGAUAACAAUCCAUAAUAAAAUUAUUUCCAAGAAAUGCCAACCCAACUAACCACGGUAUUUAACAUAAUAAAACAAGGAAUGAGGCAUGACAAAUAAAGGAUUUAAUAAGCUCCAAUAAUUUUUUUAAUUUAAUAUUUAAUUAGGAUGUCUGCGAAUUUUAACCGAUAUAAUUUGCACAUAUAAACCAAGUACAUACUCGUCACCUCGCGUACAUGGCUUUCAAUCACACAAUUUUCACAUAAAACUCAAUGCCUAAGGGGUAUUUCCCCCACUCAAGGUUAGGCAAGAUACUUACCUUUUUGAAGUUAGGCCGAUAUUCCAAAAUAGCCUUCUUUCUUGAAUUGACCUCCGGACAGUUCAGAUCUAUCCAAAUUAAUUGUAUAACUUCAUUAAAAUUUCGGAUAAUAAAAUACCAAUUUAAACUUUUAUUCUAAUAAGUCAACGUGGGCUGGCCCCUCGGAACCCGCUGGAAUUUUUAAGAAAUCCGAACAUCCAUUCCGAUACGAGUUCAACCAUACCGAAAUUAUCAAAUUCCGAUAACGGACUGCCCUUCAAAUCUUAAAUUAAAGUCAAGAGGAUUUCUACCAUUUUCAACCCAAUUCACUAAUUUAGUGAUAAAAACAAUAAUAGAUUCAUGCAAUUUAACCAAAAUCAAGUUAGGAAUUCUUACCCCAAUGUUUCCCUCGAAAAACUCUAGAAAUAUAACCUCACCCUGAGCUUCCUUGGUCCAAAAAUGGAAGAAUGAGACGAAUUUGGACUUUAUUCUACUGCCCAGGGGUUUGUUCUUCGCGUUCGCGUCCGUCACCUCGCAUUCGCGAUGAACAAAUUCUUCAACAACCAUUUUCACACUCUUUUCUGACAGCCUCUACUAGAAGGGUCAUAACAUUUUGUACAAAACUCCAAAUAAUGAAUGGUUUGACCGUUUGAAAACUAGACUCAUAACUUUAAUUUGUUGCUCAUCUCCCAAUUCCUUAUAUAUUGCGAGAUAUAAGCUUCCAAAGUCAGCCCUGUACAGUAGAGAUUUCCAAACUCUUCCCAGACAACCUGUAGUUUAUCCACCAUAACUUUUUGUACAAAACUAGAAAUAAAAAAUGGUUUACCUUUCCGAAAUCUAGACUCAAAGGUCUACAACUUUUAUUUUUGGAUCAUCUCGAAUUCCUUAUAGAUUGCGAGAUAUGAGCUUCCAAAGUCAGACCAGUGCAACAGAGAUUUCCUUCUUCGCGAAUGCGAGAGUCUCUUCGCGAACGCAAAGAACAAAAUCCGAGAAGCCAAAUCCUUCUUCGCAAAUAUAAUGACCCGACCAGUCGUUUUGCUUUCGAGAACCCCAUUCCCCUAAAUAAGACUUCUCGUAUAUGCUUUUACUGUUUUAUGACUUGCGGAGAUGGUUAGUUCGUGAUUUGGAAGGGUUCGGGUUGAAAUCAAAAUACUUGGUUCCUUGAGAUUGGCUUAAAAGGCCAAGUUUGACUUCGGUCAAUAUUUUCAGUAAAUGACCUCAGAAUCGGGAUUUGGCAGUUCUAAUAAGUUUGUAUGAUAAUUUCGGACUUGGGCGUAUGUUCGGAUCAGGUUUUGAAUGACCCGGGAGCGUUUCGGUGCCUAAUAGUGAAAGUUAGUUCUUGAAGGUUUUAAAAAAUUUUUAAAUUUGGUUUGGAGCGGGUUUUGGUGAUAUCAAGGUCCAAACGGAAUUCCGAGCACAGGAAUAGUUCCGUAAUGUCAAUUAAGACUUGCACGCAAAAUUUGGUGUCUUUCUGAGUAGUUUAAGUACGUUUCGGCGCAUUAGAAGUAAAUUGAAGAACUCAAAGUUCUUAAGUUUGAUUCAAUUGGUUUUGGGGUGUGAUUCGUAGUUUUAAUGUUGUUUCUGGGGGCCCGAGGGUCAAUCGGACAAAGCUCAGACUAAGUUAGAAGUUGGGAGCAGCUGCUGAAGCUCCAGUUCUGUCAUAACCGCACCUGCACUUGGCCAGCUGCAGGUGCGAGCCAUGAGCCGCAGAAGCGGAAAUGCGAAGGAAUCCCAGGUACCGCAGGUACAGAGGAAUUUACGCACCUGCGUGACCGCAGGUGCGGGAACUAUUUUCACAGGAGCGGAAAGGGCUCACAUAUGCGGCUCCUGGUGUCCGCAGAUCCGGAGCCUGUCCAUGCGAGGAAAAGGCGCACCUACGAAGGUCUUGCCGCAGGUGCGGGACCGCAUAUACGACCCUAUAACCGCAGGUGCGAAAACCGCUGGAGGCAGUGAGCCUCAUUUAUUAUGGGUUAGGGCCAUUUUUAUCACAUUUUCUUCCACUCUUGGGUGAUUUGAGAGCUUCUAAGGAGGGGAUUUAGACCUAGAUUUGUGAGGUAAGUAAUUUCUAUUAAAUAUGAGUUUAGUACAUAUAUUAUGGGUAGAUUUUCACAUGAUAAUUGGUAGAAAUCAUGGGUUUAGGUAAAAAAACCUAGGAUUUAAUAAAAAUAAGAUUCUACCAUGCAAAUGAUUAUGAAACUUAGUGAAUAUCAUAUAUUAUGUUCCUAAGGUUAUGGGUAACUACUUUCUUCAAAAUAAUUUCGGAAUCCGGGAGUGUGGGCCUGGGGUGAAAUUUAGGAAUCUUGCAAUUUGGAUUGGGUAAUCACUUUAAUAGUGGAGAUAUGAACAAUUGAGCAUAGAUUGAUCGAUUUAUAUAAUGUUUGGCUAGUUCCGAGUCGUUUGGCAUCAAAUUUGGAGGUUUGAGCGCAUCCUUGAAUUGGGAAGUAAGCUUUGAGACGAGGUAAGUCUCUUUUCUAACCUUAUAAGAGGGAACUCACCCCAUAGGUGAACUUAAUUAAUAUGUGUUGUUAUUUGUGGGGGGUGGGGGUGGGGUGGAGGGCUACAUACGCACGAAGUGACGAGAGUCCGUACGUAGCUACUAUUCAUGUUUAUGUCCGGGUAGUGUUAGGUCUACGCCAUGCUUGUGGACACCGUUAUUUGAUUAGAUUUGUUAACUGUAUCAAAUGAAACUAAGUCGAGGAUUUUUGAGGGUUUAAAAGCUUCAAGCCGAAUUGUCUUUAUUUUGAAAAGAAUCAAGAAAUGAUUAUGAUUUAUUGAUAAAUUUAUUGAUUUAUUGAUAAAUUUAUUUUGAAAAUUCGCGCCGUUCGACCCUCGGCAGUGCACAGUUUAUAUUUAUGUUGGAUCGGGCCGAACGUCCUUGGUGGUAUUCGUGUGUGAUAAUAGUACUCGAAGUUUCUUUCAUAUUUGGUACAAAGUCAUUGUUUUGUGUGAUCAUAUAUUUUAAAGGAAGGAAAUGAUUUAAGCUCUUAAAGAUGGUGAAGAGUUGUUCAGUUAUUUCUUGUUAUGAGUCUUAUUGUUGUAUGUUAUGAUUAAUUAGAUUUUCAUAUUAUCAUGUUAUUGGCCCUAGUAAGUGUCGGAGUGCACCCCUCGUCAAUACUUCUUCGAGGUUAAACUAGAUACUUACUGAGUACAUAUAAUGUAUGUACAUACGCUACACUUUUGUACUUAAAUGUACAGGAUCUGAGGCAGGUGCAUCUGGUUACCAGUCUGGAGCGCAGUUCUGAUCCCCAUCUCGAGACUUCACGGUGAGCUGCCCUUCCGAGCCGUUCUGCAGCAGCUGGAGUCUCUCAUGCUUUAUUUUUUUCUGUCUAUUUCCUUUCAGACAGUAGGCUAGUACUCUUUUGUAUAUUCUAAUAGAUUGCCCACACACUUGUGACACCAGGUCUUGGUACACACACUAGUAGACUUAUUAUUUUAGAUUUGUUUACAUGAUUACGAUUAGUACUUGUUUUUUUCCUUUUAAUUAUGUCACGUUUGCAAAUUUCUAAAUCUUUUUAACAAAUGAGGAAAUGUUAUCCAAUUAGUAAUUUAUUUAAACGAGAAAUCAUUAGUUUGAUCAGCGUUGGCUUGCCCAAUAAUGGUGUUGGGUACCAUCACGGCCUAUGUUAGAAUUGGGUCGUGACAACAUGGUAUCAGAGCGCUAGGUUCACAUAGGUUUCACAAGUUAUGGGCAGGCCUAGUAGAGUCUUGUGGAUCGAUGCGGAGACGUUCGUACUUAUCUUCGAGAGGCUAUAGGGUGUUAUGAAACUACUCUUUAAUCAUUUCCUAUCAUGCAGUUGAUGGUGUACUAAAUUCCUUUCUCUCAUUCUGUCACGAUGGUGAGGACGCGUACGGCGGACAUUCCAGACUCGGGAGGAGCUGCUUCCCCCAUUGCUAGAGGCCGGGGGAGGGCACCAACCCAAGGUAGGGGAUGAGGGAAUCUCAGUGCUGCCCCAGUAGCACCACCAGCAGACCCAGUAGAGGAUCCCAUCAUUGAGGAGUAGGGAGAGGUGCCUGCCGCAGAGCCAGCCUCGGUAGAUUUCAUAUCAACAGCGGGUUUUCAGGAGGUCAUGGGCCGUAUGCUCCGGUUCAUGGACACCAUGACUCAGGCUGGUUUAUUUCCUGCAGACCCAACACAUCUCAGGCGGGAGGGGGAGCACAGACCCCUACUGCUCAGGAACAUGGGCACGCAACUGCAUUAUACCAGACUCCGGGUACACUACCUGUGGGUGGAGCCCAGCCAGUUGCCACAACUGCACCUGAGCCUAGACAAGCUGUGGACAGUGAUCCACAGAAGCUAUUAGACAGAUGGACUAGGCUACACCUUCCUAUCUUCGUGGGCGAGCGGCAUGAGGAACCCAGGACUUCAUUGACCGGUGCCGGGACAGACUGCACAAUAUGAGGAUAUUGGAGUCCUAUGGGGUAAAUUUCACUACUUUCCAGCUGGAGGGCAGGGCCCGUAGAUGGUGGCAGUCUUAGGACCAGUAUGUUCUCCUCCCAUGACUUAGGACCAGUUUACACAGCUUUUCUUGGAUAGGUAUAUUCCACCCUCUCAAACAGAAGAGUUGCGAGGUCAGUUUGAGCAGCUCGAGCAGGUUCAGAUGUCAGUGACCAAUUAUGAGGAGAGAUUCUCUGAGUUAUCUUGCCAUGCACUUAUGAUACUUCCUACCGACGUAGAGAGAGUGCAGAGAUUUAUUGCGGGGUUACACCCCAGUAUUCGGGCUAGUAUGGCCCGAGAGGUUGAGAUGGGUACUGGCUAUCAGCUAGUAGUGGAGAUUGCUUAGAGUAUUAAGGGCUACCGCCAUAGGGGUAGAGAGCAGAUACAAUAGGACAAGAAGGCCCGAUUCUCUAGAGAAUUUAGAGGUGCCCCGGCCAGGGGCAGAGGGCAGUUUGGGAGGGAUCAGCCUAGCUGGCCCACAUAUCCAGCACCACCACCUCCUCGGAGUACUCCGGUGUGACCCUAUUUCAGUGCUAUGCCAGAUAGUUCUUAUCGCCCACCAGCUCAUCAGGGUUCUUCCAUUGCCUAUUUUAGCGCCAUGCCAGAGAGUUCAUACCGCCCACCAGCCAUUCAGGGUUCUUCUAGUGGGUAUUCAGGCCAUCAGGGUUAGAAUUCGGGGCAACAGUCUAUGGUACCGAGAGGUUGCUACGAGUGUGGAGAUUCGGGUCACAUGAAGAGAACUUGUCUCAGACUUUGGGGCAAGUUAGUACAGUAGGGUCAUCAGCCCAUGAUUCUAGCACCAGCCGUCCGACUGCCCAGAGGUGGGGGACAGGCGGGUAGGGGCCAUCCUAGAGGUGGAGGCCAGGCAGGGGGAGGUCAGCCAGCUAUUGUUCAGCCAGGUGGAGGCCAUCCAGCCGGCGCUCCAGCUAGAUUCUAUGCUUUUCUGUCCAGACUAGAUGCAGUGGCCUCAGAAGUCGUGAUCACGGAUAUUAUUUCUGUCUGCGGUAGGGAUGCUUCAGUAUUAUUUGAUCCAUGGUAUACCUAUUCAUAUGUAUCAUCUCUGUUUGCUCAUUUCCUGGAUAUUCCUCGUGAGUCCUUGGGUACUCCUGUUUGUGUGUCCACUCAUAUGGGAGACUCUAUGGUUAUGGAUCGGAUCUAUCGGUCCUGUGUGGUCACAUUCUGUGGUUACGAGACUAUAGCAGACCUUCUAUUACUUGAUAUGACCGACUUUGAGGUCAUACUGGGCAUGGACUGGUUAUCCCCAUAUCAUGCCAUCCUUGAUUUCCAUGUCAAGACUGUUACCUUAACAAUGCCAAAGUUUCUUAGCUUGGAGUGGAAGGGUUCAUCUGUUAGUACAUCUAGUCGGGUUAUCUCUUUAUCGAAGGCUCGACAUAUGGUCAGGAAGGGUUGUUUGGCUUAUCUAGCCUAUGUUCGGGAUACCACCGUAGAGUCUCCGACCAUUGAUUCGGUGCCAUUAUUUCGGGAGUUUGCCGAUGUGUUUCCUUCGGACCUUCCAGGCAUGCCGCCAGAUCGUGACAUUGAUUUCUGUAUAGACUUGGCUUCAAGCACUUAGCCUAUAUCUAUCCCACCAUAUCGUAUGGCUCCGAAAAAGUUAAAGGAGUUGAAGGAACAACUUGAGGAGUUGCUAGCAAAGGCGUUCGUCAGGCCGAGUGUAUCACCUUGGGGUGCACCAAUAUUAUUUGUGAAGAAGAAGGAUGGGACUAUGCAGAUGUGUAUUGAUUACCGCUAGUUGAACAAAGUACCAUUAAGAACAAGUACCCCUUGCCACGUAUUGAUGAUUUGUUUUACCAGUUGCAGGGUGCUAGCGUGUUUUCUUAGAUCGACUUGAGAUCGGGAUACCAUCAGUUGAAGAUUCGGGACUCAGAUGUUCCGAAGACUGCCUUCCAUACUAGAUAUGGCCAUUAUGAGUUUCUAGUGAUGUCAUUCGGCUUGACUAAUAUUCCAACGGCAUUUAUGGAUUUGAUGAAUAGGGUGUUCAUGCCUUAUAUCGAUUCCUUUGUUAUUGUCUUCAUUGAUGACAUCUUGAUUUACUCACGUAGCAUGGAGGAGAACGAGUAACAUUUGAGAGUGGUGCUUCAGACCUUGAGGGACUAGAAGCUAUAUGUUAAGUUCUCCAAAUGUGAGUUUUGGUUAGAUUCUGUGGCAUUCUUGGGGCAUGUGGUAUCAGGCGAGGGUAUUAAGGUGGAUCCCAAGAAGAUUGAGGCGGUUUAGAGUUGGCCUCGUCCUACUUCGGCGACUGAGAUCAAGAGUUUCCUGGGGCUAGCAGGUUAUUAUCGCUGAUUUGUGGAGGGUUUCUCAUCCAUUGCAGCACCUUUGACUAAAUUGACCCAGAAGGGUGCUCCGUUCCGUUGGACCGACGAUUGUAAGGCGAGCUUUCAGAAGCUCAAGACAGCUUUGACUACAGCAAUGGUUCUAGUGUUGCCUUCCAGUUCGGGGAUGUAUACUGUGUAUUGCGACGCCUCACGCGUUGGCUUGGGUUCUGUAUUGAUGCAGGAAGGGUGAGUUAUUACAUAUGCUUCACGUCAGCUGAAGCUCCUUGAGAAGAAUUAUCCUAUGCACGAUUUAGAGUUGGCCGCGAUUGUUCAUGCUCUUAAGAUCUGGAGGCACUACCUAUAUGGGGUGCCUUGUGAGGUUUACACUGAUCACCGCAGUUUGCAGCACUUGUUCAAGUAAAUGGAUCUCAAUUUGAGGCAGCGCAGAUGGCUUAAGUUACUGAAGGACUACGACAUCACUAUUCUUUAUCAUCCGGGCAAGGCGAAUGUAGUCGCGGAUGCCUUGAGCAGGAAGGCAGAGAGCAUGGGUAGCUUGGCAUUCAUUUCUGCAGAGGAGAGGCCACUAGCUUUGGACAUUCAGUCCUUGGCUAACAUACUUGUGAGGUUGGAUAUUUCAAAGCCCAGCCGAGUUCUUGCAUGUGUUGUUGCCCAAACUUCACUAUUGGAGCAGGUAAAGGCUCGACAGUUUGAUGAUCCGCAUUUGGCAUCUCUCAGAGAGAUGGUACUACAAGAUAGUGCCAAGGAGGUUUCUAUUGGCGAGGAUGGUGUCCUGCAACUCCAGGGUCGUCUAUGUAUUCCUGAUGUAAAUGGCUUGAGGGAGAGGAUUCUGUAGGAGGCGCACAGUUCUCGGUAUUCUAUUCAUCCAGUUGCUACGAAGAUGUAUCGGGACCUGAGACAACAUUAUUGGUGGCAGUGGAUGAAGAAAGACAUAGUUGAGUAUGUAGUUAGGUGACUAAAUUGAUAGCAGGUUAAGUUUGAGCACUAGAGGCUAGGUGGCCUACUCCAGCAGAUGACUAUACCGAAGUGGAAAUGGUAGCGCAUUACUAUGGACUUCGUAGUUGGGUUGCCGCAGACCUUGCAGAAGUUCGAUGCAGUUUGGGUCAUUACUGACAGGUUGACCAAGUCAGCACACUUCAUUCUAGUUGCAACUACUUAUACUUCAGAGAGGUUGGCCCAAAUUUAUAUUCGGGAGAUAGUUCGGUUGCACGGUGUGCCGAUUUCCAUCAUAUCAGACAGAGGCCCUCAGUUCACUUCGUAUUUCUGGACAGCCGUACAGAGUGAGUUGGGGACUCGUGUCGAGCUCAACACUCCGUUCCAUCCACAGACCAACGGGCAGUCAAAGCGGACAGUCCAGAUCUUGGAGGACAUGCUCCAAGCAUGUGUGAUUGACUUUGGGGGACAGUGGGAUCAAAUAUUUCCUUUGGCUGAGUUUCCUUACAACAACAGUUAUCAAUCCAGCAUCGAGAUAGCUCCAUUUGAGGCUUUAUAUGGUAAGCGAUGUCGUUCCCCUAUCGGGUGGUUUGAGCCCGACGAGGCUAAGUUAUAUGGUACUUAUUUGGUGAAGGAUGCCUUGGAAAAGGUAAAGUUGAUUCAGGAGCGAUUUCGCACAGCACAGUCCAGACAGAAGAGUUACGUGGAUAAGAAAGCGCGUGAUUUAUCUUUUAUGGUGGGUUAAAAAGUUCUCUUGAAGGUUUCGCCGAUGAAGGGUAUUAUGAGAUUGGGGAAGAAGGGCAAGUUGAGCCCCAGGUUUAUAGGAACAUUCGAGGUGUUGAGGUGAGUUGGGGAGGUUGCUUAUGUGCUUGCUUUACCUCCCAGCCUAUCAGGGGUUCAUCAGGUUUUUCACGUGUCUAUGCUCCGGAGGUAUCAUGCCGACUUGUCACAUGUGUUAGACUUCAGCACUAUUCAGCUAGAUGAGAGCUUGGGUUAUAAGGAGGAGCCGGUUGCCAUUGUUGCUAAACAUGAUCUCCAGUUGAGAUCCAAGAGGAUUUUCGUGGCAAAGGUCCAGUGGAGGGGCCAACCAGUCGAGGAGGUGACUAGGGAGUCCGAGGAGGACAUGCGGAGCAGAUAUCCACACUUAUUCAGCAUUUCAGGUAUGAUUCUAAACCUGUUCGAGGACGAAUAUUUGUUUAAGAGAUGGAGAAUGUAACGACCCGACCAGUCGUUUUUCUUUCUAGAACCUCAUUCCCCUAAAUAAGACUUUCUGUACACGCUUUUAUUGUUUUAUGACUUGCGAGGAUGGUUAGUUCGGGAUUUGGAAGGGUUCGUGUUGAAAUCAAAAAUCUUGGUUCCUUAAGGUUGGCUUAAAAGGCCAAGUUUGACUUCGGUCAAUAUUUUGAGUAAACGACAUAGAAUUCGGUAUUUGACGGUUCCAAUAGGUUCGUAUGAUGAUUUCAGACUUGGGUGUAUGUUCGGAUCGGGUUUUGGAUGAACCGGGAGCGUUUCAGUGCCUAUUAGUGAAAGUUGGUUCUUGAAGGUUUUAAAAGUUUUUUAAAUUUGGUUUGGAGUGGGUUUUGGUGAUAUCGAGGUCCAAACGGAAUUUUGAGAGUGAGAAUAGUUCCAUAAUGUCAUUUAAGACUUGCACGCAAAAUUUGGUGUCAUUCCGAGUAGUUUAAGUAAGUUUUGGCGCAUUGGAAGUAAAUUAAAGAACUUGAAGUUCUUAAGUUUGAUUCAAUUGGUUUUGGGGUAUGAUUCUUAGAUUUAAUGUUGUUUCGGGAAUUCCGAGAGUUUGAGUUCAGACUAAGUUAGAAGUUGGGAGCGGCUGCUGAAGCUCCAGUUCUGUCAUAACCGCACCUGCGCAUGGCCAGCCGCAUGUGUGAGCCAUGAGCCGCAGAAGCGGAAAUGCGAAGUAAGCCCAGGCACCGCAGGUGCGGAGGAAUUUACACACCUGCGUGACCACAGGUGCGGGCACUGCUUUCGCAGGAGCGGAAAGGGCUCGUAGAUAUGGCUCCUGGUGUCUGCAGAUGCGAAGCCCGGCUAGGCGAGGAAAAGGCGCACCUGCAAAGGUCUUGCCGCAGGUGCGGGAUCGCAGAUGCGGCCCUACGACCGCAGGUGCGGAAACCGCUGGAGGCAGUGAGCCUCAUUUAUUACCGGUUAGGGCCAUUUUUAUCACAUUCUCUUCCACUCUUGGGCGAUUUGAGAGCAUCUAAGGAGGGGAUUUCGACUUAACUUUGUGAGGUAAGUAAUUUCUAUUAAAUAUGAGUUUAGUACAUAUAUUAUGGGUAGAUUUCCACAUGAAAAUUAGUAAAAAUCAUGGGUUUAGGUGAAAAACAAAAGGUUUAAUAAAAAUGAGAUUUUACGACGAAAAUGAUUAUGAAACCUAGCGAAAAGUAUAUAUUAUGUUCCUAAGGUUAUGGGUAACAACUUUCUUCAAAACAAUUUCGGAAUCCGAGCAUGUGGGCCCGUGGGAGAAUUUUAAGAAUCUUGCAAUUUGGAUUGGGUAAUCACUUUAAUAGUGGAGAUAUGAACUAUUGAGCAUAGAUUGAUUGAUUUAUAUAAUGUUUGGCUAGUUCUGAGUCGUUUGGCAUCAAAUUUAGAGGUUUGAGCGCAUUCUUGAAUUGGGAAGUAAGCUUUGAGACGAGGUAAGUCUCUUUUCUAAUCUUGUAAGAAGGAACUCACCCCAUAGGUGAACUUAAUGAAUAUGUGUUGUUAUUUGCCGGGGGGGAGGGGGGGCAGGGGGCUACGUACGCACGAAGUAACGAGAGUCUGUAUAUAGCUACUAUUCCUGUUUAUGUUUGGGUAGUGUUAGGUUUACGCCAUGCUUGUGGACACUGUUAUUUGAUUAUAUUUGUUAACUGUAUCAAAUGGAACUAAGUCGAGGAUUUUUAAGGAUUUAAAAGCUUCAAGCGGAAUUGUCUUUAUUUUGAAAAGAAUCAAGAAAGGGUUAUGAUUUAUUGAUAAAUUUAUAUUUGACCGCAUCGCAUGUAUGAUUCACAAGCAGGGUAAUAGAUGCAUCUAUGGUUCGCGCAAUUCGACCCUCGGCAGUGUACAAUUUACAUUUAUGUUGGAUCGGGCCGAACUUUCUCGGUGGUAUUCGUGUGUGAUAAUAGUACUCGAAAUUUCUUUCAUAUUUGGUACAAAGCCAUUGUUUUGUGUGAUCAUAUGUUUUAAAAGAAGGAAGUGAUUUAAGCUCUUAAAGAUGGUGAAGACUUGUUUAGUUAUUUUUUGUUCUGAGUCUUAUUGUUGUAUAUUAUGCUUAAUUAGAAUUUCAUAUUAUCAUGUUAUUGGCCCUAGUAAGUGUCGGAGUCGACCUCUCGUCACUACUUCUUCGAGGUUAGACUAGAUACUUACUGGGUACAUAUUAUUUAUGUACUCAUGCUACACUUCUGUACUUAAAUGUACAAGAUCUGAGGCAGGUGCAUCUGGUUACCAGUCUGGAGCACAGUUCUAAUCCCCAUCUUGAGACUUUACGGUGAGUUGCACUUCUGAACCGUUCUGCAGUAGCUGGAGUCUCUCUCAUGCUUUAUUUUUUUCUGUCUAUUUCCUUUCAGACAGUAGGCUAGUACUCUUUCAUAUAUUUUACUAGAUUGCCGACAUACUUGUGAUACCAGGUCUUGGUACACACAUUAGUAGACUUAUGAUUUUUGAUUUGAUUACAUGAUUACGAUUAGUACUUAUUUGUUUCCUUUUAAUUAUGUCACGUUUGCAAAUUUCUAAAUCUUUUUAACAAAUGAGGAAAUGUUAUCCACUUAGUAAUUUAUUUAAAUGGGAUACCAUUAGUUUGAUCAGCGUUGGCUUGCCCAACAAUGGUGUUGGGCGCCAUCAUGGCCUAUGAUGGAAUUGGGUCUUGACAGCGAACAUGAGAGGCUCCUUGCGAAUGCGAAGAACAACACUAGACAUCAGAAAAUCAGCAUCCAAAGUAGCCCAAAAUGAUCCGAAACACACCCGAGGUCCCCGGGACCCCAACCAAAUAUACCAACAAGUCCUAAAACAUCAUACGAACUUAGUCGAGGUCUCAAAUCACAUCAAACUUCGCUAAAAGCAUGAUUCACAUUCCAAUUCAAGCCUAAUGAAACAAAGAAAUUCCAACUUCUAUAUUCGAUCUCGAAAACUAUCAAAUCAAGUCCGAAUGACCUUAAAUUUUGCACACAAGUCAUAAAUGGAAUAACAGAGCUUUUCAUAUUUCCAGAAUCGGAUUUCGAUCUCUACUCCCCGGUCAAACCUCCAAACUUAACUUCCUAUUUUCGUCAUUUCAAGCCUAAUUUAGCUACGAACCUCAAAAUAAAUAUCCGAACACACUCCUAAAUCCGAAGUCACCAUACGAAGCUAUUGAAAUCAUCAAAAUUUUAUUCCGGAGUUGUUUUCGCAAAAGUCAAACUCCGGUCAACUCUUUUCAUUUAAGCUUCAAAAAUGAGAAUUGUUCUUUAAAUUUAAUUUUGAAUCUUCCAAAAAUCAAAUGACCGCACAUGUAAGUCAUAAUACGCAUUACGAAAUUGCUCGGGACCUUAAGUAGCUGAAUGUGGCAUAAAUUAUUAAAAUAACUAGUUGGGUCGUUACAUUAACCUAUUAGGCGAACACUUAGGUUAUGGUCACAUCCUUAGGCUUUUUAAUUAUUUGGAAAAACACCAAAAACAAUCAUUCGCUUCUAGUUUAUUUUCUUACCUUAUAAUUGCUAGAGUAAAAUUAGGAUUAGAAAUCAAAAACUUUUGUGGAAGUGCAAUUUAGUUAUUCCAUUCUCUUUCGUUAAGUGUAUACUCCUAACACCCAUUGUAAUUCUCUGUGGUAAUCGACCCCGACUCUUGUUGGGUACUAUUCUUCCAAUGAUCAUUUUCACUCACUAUUGAGUGCGGAUUAGACAUGGAUCAAUUUUUGGCGCCGUUGCCAGGGAGUUAAGACGAUGUUAGCUAUAUAUUUGUGUUUGUUUUUGGAAUAUCUUCUUUUUCUUCUGUGUUACUAACUUCUGCGAGAACCUUUAGGUAUAACCAUGGCGGCGAACAAUGAUCUCGGUAAUAUGCCUUUGGGGGAUGUGGACGGUGAGGAUGGGCAAGUUGGUGAGGUACCUCUUGAACCUCAGGCCAAUCGAAGAAGCCGAUUUCCUCAUGAAAAUGUGCCCUCUCCAACCCCACCUCCACCAUGAGCGGCUCCACAUCCGAUAUUGCCCAACAAAGGUUAUGCUAGUGCAAUAGUCCCUCCCCGCAUUAUGGCAGGCAACUUCCUAUAACCAAUGUGAUGUUCACUUUUCUUGAACAACGAGAAUUCUUUACCGGUGCUCCAACACAAAAUGUUUACAAAUAUUUGAAGGUGUUUGUGGUUACUUGUUAGAGAAGAAAGCAAACAAAUAUCUCCGAGGAUGCAUUGAGGCUAAGGAUUUUUACCUUCUCUCUAUAGGGAAAGCAUUAGAUUGGUUGGAACGAUUGUCAAACAAUUCAAUUCACACUUAGAAUGAGUUGGUAGAAAAUUUCAUUGCUAAGUUUUUCUCUCCCGGACACAUGGCUACACUUCGAGAUGAGAUCUUGGCAUUCAAGAAAGAGCCGAAUGAACCACUAAACGAGAUAUAGGAGCGCUAUAGAACUAUGGUCAAGGAAUAUCCCAAUAACGAUAUGACAGAAAAUAUUAUUCAACAAACCUUCUAUCAUGGGAUUAACACGACCAACCAAUGUGUAGUGAAUCAAUUAGUCAGUGGAAACUUUAUGACUACGCCUUAUUCGGAGGCGUGUGAGAUUUUGGAUGAGAUGAUGGACACAUUUUAGGCUUGGAAAUCCCGGGACAAGAUGACCCGAAUAUGAUCCACCUUCACAAUGAAUUGCAAGACCAUGGGUAAGCCAUUACCGAGUUGACAACUACCAUGACUCAACUAGAAAAGGCCCAACUGAACCAAGUGCUAACUCCUAACCAAGUCAAUGUUAUGGAAGGAGUGAACAUCAGAAGCGGAUGUAGUGUACUACUUACGGGUUCAACUGAACCCAUAACUUUCGACGCUGAGUAAAAAUCUGUAUGUAAAAUUUCAUUAAAACUACAAAAAUAGUAGAUGCGAACCCAUAACUUUAAAAAUAUAAUGGGUUCAAUGUUAAAAACAUUAAAAUUGAACCCAUAGGAUUUAAAUUCUGGAUCCGCUUCUGGUGGACAUGAUGGUGAACAAGAGGAGGACCAAGGGUCCACAAGUGCAAACUCGAGUGGAGAACUAUGUGCAAGAAUAUGGUAGUUUUGAGCACGAUGAUUCCUAUAAUGAACAAGAAGAGGAAGUACAAUAUGUGAAUUAUUUUCAAGGGAAAAGAAACAACUUCCAAGGCCCAAGCCAACAACAAUGGCGACCACAAAACAAUCAAGGCAAUUGGAAUUCUAGCAAUCAAGGAAAUUGGAGUGGAGGCAACAAUCAAGGGAAUUGGCAUAACAACAACAAUCAAGGAAAUUGGAGUGGACACAAUCAAGGAAAUUGGGGAGGUAACAAUCAAGGCGGAUGGAACAACAUUCAAGGCAACCGGGGGUCGAGUUUUCAAAGGCCCCCAAUGUACCAACAACCAAGCAACCCAGCUCUUUAUCCGUCUCAUGGUUCGAGUUCCUCCAACAAUGAGAUGGGGCAUAUUGAAAAUAUGUUCAAGAAAAUGAUGGAAGAGAAUGCUGAUUCAGAUACCCAACUUUCCUCACACAACACAUCAAUAUGCAACCUCGAAGUUCAAAUGGGGCAAAUCUCUCAAGCUUUAAAUUCUCGUCCUAAGGGGGCACUAUCAAACAAUGUGGUGCAACAUAAUGAUGAAGUUCAGAUUGAUAUUGAUGAUAGUGUAUAAGAGACUCAAGAGGAGGUGAAUCCGUCUAGGGAACACAUUAUUGAUAUACCGGAGCCUGUAGUGCAAAAGGCUAAGGCAACAUUGCCUAAGCCUCCAACUCCAUACCCUCAAAGACUUGCCAAGAAAAAUGGUGAGAAUCAAUUCAAGAAAUUUAUUCAAAUGACGAAGAGUCUCUCAAUCAAUGUGCCAUUAGUUGAAGCCUUGGAACAAAUUCCCGGUUAUGCAAAGUUUAAGACCAUCAAAGUCACUCAUCAAGUGAGUGCAAUUGUGCAUUCAAUGGUUCCUAAGUUGGAGGAUCCCUGUGCUUUCACGAUUUCUUGAACGAUUGGAAGUGCCGAAUUUGCUAAAGCUCUUUGUGAUCUUGGGAAAAGUAUCAAUUUUAUGCCUAUUCGGUUUUCAAGACUUUGGGAAUUGGGAAACCAAGACCCAUCUCUAUGAGAUUGAAAAUGGCUGAUCAUAUCGUGAAGAGGCCCUUUGGAGUGAUUGGAGAUGUUUUGGUUCGUGUUGAUAAAUUCAUUCUUCCGGCAAAUUUAUUCAUUCUAGAUUGUGAAGUUUAUUAUGAAGUGCCGAUUAUUAUUGGUAGACACUUCCUAGCUACGGGUAAGGCUCUUUGUGAUGUUGAAGCCUAAUAACUCACUUUCCGGGUUGGUGUGAAAAAGUAGUAUUCCAUGAGUGCAAGUCCUUGCGGAAACCGAAUAGCAAUGAGGUGUGUUCUUUUGUGGACUUGGUGACCGAUGCUAUUGUUGAUAAAACAAGUGCUACAAUAAAUGUUGGUGAUAUGUUGGAGGCCGUAUUGCUCAACUUUGAUGAUGACGAAAUGGAUGGCUUCAUGAAAUGUGUUAAACUCUUUGCAACAAAUGGGGUCGUACAACUAUGCACCUCGGAAAUUGUCUUUAGAUCUUGAAAAUAGGACAACUCCUCAUAUAAAGCCUUCUAUUGAAGAGCAUCCUACCUUGGAGUUGAAGCCAUUUCCUCCAGAUCUUUUGUAUGAAUUUAUUGUUCCUUGUUCGACUUUACCGAUUAUUCUUUCCUCUUGUUUCACUAACGUGCAGAUAGAUUCCACAUUGGCGGUGCUAUAAAAGAGGAAGAAUGAUAUUGGGUGGACCUUGGCGGAUAUUCGGGGGAUAAGCCCCGCCUUUUGCAUGCAUAAGAUCAAGUUGGAGGAUGGCACCAAACCAUAUAUUGAACAUCAAAGGAGACUCAAUGAGGCUAUGCAAGAACUUGUCAAGAAAGAGAUUAUCAAGUGGUUGGAUGUCCGGGUUGUUUACCCCAUCUCUAAUAGUUCAUGGACUUCUCCGGUUCAAUGUGUCCCAAAGAAAGGGGGGAAUGAUGGUGAUCACCAAUGACAAGAAUGAGUUGAUUCCUACAAGAACAGUGACCGGUUGGAGGGCAUGUAUGGACUAUCGCAAGCUCAAUAAAUUCACAAGGAAGGAUCAUGUUUCACUUCCUUUCUUAGAUCAAAUGCUCGAUAUAUUGACCGAUCGUGCUUUCUAUUGCUUUCUUGAUGGGUACUCAGGCUACAAAAAUUCUCAUUGCUCCAGAAGAUCAAGAGAAAACAAUAUUUACAUAUCCCUAUGGUACUUUGCUUUCAAGCGGAUGCCAUUUGGAUUGUGCAAUGCACCGGCGACUUUUCAAAGGUGUAUGAUGGCUAUUUUCACUGACAUGUUGGAGGAAUACCUUGAAGUUUUCAUGGAUGACUUCUCGGUGGUUGGAGAAUCUUUUGAUGAUUCUCUUGCAAAUUUGGACAUAGUGUUAGCUAGAUGUGAAGAAACAAAUUUGGUGCUCAAUUGGGAGAAAUGUCAUUUCAUGGUCAAGGAAGGUAUUGUUCUUGGCCACAAAAUCUCAAGGAAUAAAAUUGAAGUUGACAAGGAAAAAAUUGAGAUAAUUUCUAAGAUUCCACCCCAAACUUCGGUGACGGGUAUGCGGAGUUUCUUUGGCCACGUGGGUUUUUACCAGCGCUUCAUCAAAGACUUCUCUAAGGUUGUGAACCCGUUGUGCAAGCUUCUUGAGAAGGAUGCUAAGUUUCAUCUCAAUGAUGAUUUCAUGAGAGCUUUUGAAUUGUUAAAUCUCAAGUUGACAACUACUCUCAUCAUCACCACUCCAAAUUGGAGUGUGCCUUUUGAACUCGUGUGUGAUGCAAGUGACGUAGCGAUUGGGGCUAUUUUGGGGCAACACAUCAACAAAACUUUUCAUCCAGUUUACUAUGCUAGUAAGAAUAUUAAUAGUUCCCAAGUCAACUAUAUCGUUACGGAGAAAGAGCUCCUUGCUAUUGUAUUUGCAAUUGAGAAGUUACGUUCGUACUUGAUGGGUGCAAAGGUCAUUGUCCAUAUCGAUCAUGCGGCACUUCGUUAUCUUAUUAGCAAAAAGGACUCCAAAGCUUGGUUGAUGAGAUGGGUGCUCUUGUUACAAGAAUUUGACAUUGACAUCUAAGAUAGAAAAGGGUAGUGAAAACCAAGUGGCGAACCACUUGUCUCAUUUGGAGGAAGAGGGGAGGACGUGUGAUGGCCUUGAAAUUAAUGAAUCCUUCCCCGAUGAGCAACUCUUAGCAAUUUCAAUGAAAUAGGUGCCAUGGUUCACAGAUUUAGUAAAUUUUCUUGGGUGUGGAAUCAUUUCGGAUGAGUUCUCUUCAAGCCAAAGGAAGAAGCUCAAACGGGAUUGUCAAGAUUAUUAUUGGGAUGAACCAUACAUUUUCUGAAUUUGUACGGAUGGGGUGAUUAGAAGAUGUGUACCGGAAGAAGAGCAAGGUAAAAUUCUUAGGGCUUGUCAUUCUUCGCCAUAUGGUGAUCAUCAUGGUGGAGUAAGAACGACGGCCAAAGUGCUUAGUUGUGGUUUCUAUUGGCCUACUCUUUACAAAGAAACUAGUUAGUUAGUGAAAAGAUGUGAUGAAUGUCAACGGGCCAAUGAAAUCUCAAACAAAAAUGAAAUGCCUCUCACAACCAUUUUGGAGAUUGAUAUUUUCGAUGUGUGGGGUAUUGACUUCAUGGGCCCUUUUGUGAGUUCUUGUGGAAACAACUACAUUUUGGUCGCGAUGGAUUAUGUGUCCAAAUGGGUUGAGGCCAUUGCUUUACCCAAUAAUGAGGCGAGAAGUGUGGUGGCUUUCUUGAAGAAUUAUAUUUUCACAAGGUUUGGUACUCCACGUGCAAUUAUAAGCGAUGGGGGGUCACAUUUUUUGUAACAAGACUUUCGACUCUUUACUUAGAAAGUAUGGUGUUACUCACAAAGUCACGACUCCCUAUCACCCACAAGCUAGUGGGCAAGUGGAAGUCUCCAACCGGGAGAUAAAGAGUAUUUUGUCCAAAAUGGUGAAUGCUAAUCGGACGGAUUGGUCCAAGAAUCUUGAUGAUGCAGUAUGGGCUUAUCGGACGGCUUGCAAAAUACAUAUCAGAAUGUCGCCAUACCGGUUGGUGUUCGGAAAAUUUUGUCAUCUUUCGGUGGAACUAUAGCACAAGGCCAUGUGGGCUCUAAAAAUGUUGAAUCUUGAUUGGUAUGUAGCCACUAACUUGAGGGUUGUACAUUUGAAUGAAUUGGAUGAAUUCCGGUACCACGCUUAUGCGAGUUCGUCCUUGUACAAAGAAAAUAUGAAAUAACUUCAUGACAAAUAUAUUUGGAACAAAGAGUUCAAGGUAGGCCAUCUUGUAUUGUUGUUUAACUCAAGGUUGAGGAUGUUUCCCGAGAAGCUAAAAUCCAAAGGGGUGGUCCUUUUGACAUUGUGAGUGUGACACAUUUUGGUGCAUUAGACUUGAAGAACAAAAACAAUGAAGUAUUCCGAGUCACUGGUCACCGGGUGAAGCACUACUUGGGAAAGGUUGGAGAUAGCCACGUUGUGGCAGUCAUUCAUUUCACUUGAGGGUAUUCUGCGUCGUGCCAAAAUAUUAAAUCAGGCACUUCUUGGGAGGCAACUCAUGUUUCAUUUCCUUUUUCUUUUGUAGUUAGAUGUUAUUUUUUUUCUAACUUAAUUUGAAGUGUGCAACAAGAGUGAGUGUGACUUAGAAGAAUUGUGGACGAAAAUAUGGCUAAGUGCUCAAGAGAGUGCGGACCACACAUUUUUAUGUGCCAUAGCAGAUGACCAUUUCGUCGGUACAUUUCUCUUGCGGACCGCACAUUUGAAACAUGAAAACUACCAACUCUCUGAAUUUUAAUCUUGUCAGUGCAGAGGUCGAUCUGCGACCGCACCUAAAACUGUGCAGACCGCAUAUUGGUUUUUGAGAAUAAUCACCCAGGUGGUAGGGUGCAGACCGCACAUGAAAAUGUGCGACCGCACUUGUCUCUUCUCCCUUCUCAAAUUUUUGGGUAUAAAUAGAAUAGUGGUCCUCAUCUUACACUUUUCCCUCUUUGAACAAAACACUAUUACUCUGCAAAUGUUUCUUGGAGAUUUUCCCUGUCCACACACACAGCCACCUAGAUUACUCACUCAGUGCAUUCACUAUAUCUGGUAUCCCUCAAUUUCAUGUUAAUUUUUUAAGUUAGUUUAAUUUGUCAAUUUUUUAGUUCUUUUUAGGCCAUCUGUUAUUAGAGUUCCAUUGUGUGUCCAUGUGGGGUAGAUCUGAAUUCGGUUAACUUGAUACAUGCUCUAAGGGGACUGGGUUAGUGAAAUUUCAUGCUUUUACAAUGUUGUCAUGCCUAUUUAUGCAAGAAAUUAAAACAUCUUAGACUAAAAAAAGUUAUUUGUUCGUAAUGGUUUGAAUUCUGCGGUCAUACUUGAAUUGUGCGGUCCGCAGAUAUGAAUGUUUUAGACACUUAUGUGAGGCAGGAAUCUGCAGUCGCGGGUCAAAUUGUGUGGACUGCAGAUUUUCUCUUGCAGCCACAGAUUAGGCUUUUUUCUCUGUCAUCAGAGAGUCUUCACUUUUAAGACUCCAAGGUGUAGCCUCAAGGCAAAUUGUGCGAACCGCAGAAAUCCUCUUGCUGCCGCAGUUUGACCAUUUCUCUCUCAUCAUAGAGUUCACAAAUUUGGGGCUCAGAAGUGCGGUUGUAAUCCUAAUUGUGCGAACCGCACUUCCCUUCUACGGCCGCACAACACAAAUGUGCGGACCGCGAGUUCCCAUCUACGGCCGCAGGUCAAAUUAUGUGGAGCACAUAUCCCGUAUCCUGCAGGCAUGACUCAACUGUACAACCCCAUUGUGUCCUAUGGUUUCUCCCUUACCUACAUGUCUCAUGUAUGUAUUUGAACAAUGAAUUGCAACUAAAAAUCUCCUCUACUUGAUACAGGUACUGGUUCGAUCAAGCGGACGAGGAGACACUUCAAAAGGGAGAGGUGAAUCUGAUCGAGGUUAAGUGACGAGCGCAAAACACACACUUAAAUUUUGCUCGCUAGUAAAAUAUCAUAUAGUAUAAUAUCGUAUCCACAGGGAUUGAAUUUGAAUAGUAUUGUUGUAGUUCCUAUCUUGAUUGAUAUUCAAUAUGAUCAACAAUUGAGAUUUAUAUAAUUUCUAACAAAAAUUAACUAGGACUCUAAAGCUAUUGACUAAAGACAAUUGAAACAAAGAAGGUUAUCACCGAGGGAAAAUAGGAGUUGAUAGGAUAGGUGCAAGAUAAUUGUUUGGUAUCUAACUCUAGAUAAUUCACUUCUAAUGUUCAAGUGAGUCUCUCGAAUUCACUCAAUUAUUAGUUCAAACGUUCAGAAAAAACUCCUCUCUCGAUUAAGUCUUAACCUUACGAGAUGAACCAAUUUAAGCACGUGAAGAUAUGCAAGAAUACUUAGUGGAUUGGUCAUUAGGAAACUUUCUUUCGAUUAUUCUCAUAACUAGGUUUAAUCAAUGAUUCAACUAUCCUCUUUCGAUUACUAAGAAGAAUUAAUGAACUCAACCAACAAUAUAAUGCAAAGAUAUCACAAGUUAUGCCUCUCUCGAUUACAUGAACCAGUGAAUAUAGAUUCAAUAAUUAAAUCAUCCAAAAAUGCUUCAAUACAUAAAACUAGAGUAAUAAUCGAUAAACAAUCAUCAAUACACCAAAUCCAUCAAACCCUAAAGAGAACUACUCUAUAGAUAUAAAGCAAUUCAUCACAAAUAAGUUUAAAGUAAAGGAAAACAUAAAUUCAAUCCAAACUCGGGUAUUGAGUGAGGAAGUAAUGAUGAAAUCCUUGUGCUCGUGUUUUUCCAACUCCUCCUUAGACUCCUUAGGUCGAAUAUGUGUCAAAAGUUCAGAAAAUAAAUGUUUUCCAUGUAAUUAUAUCAAGUAGGGUCUGGUCCAAACGAAAUCACCUUUUCCUAGCCGAAAUAGGACAUUCACUCUGUAAAACUUGCAUAGGCGCGCCGCAUGGGCAACGCGCCAUGCAGGGCGUUAGUGGGGAAAUCCAUAGAGCUCAACAAUUCAAUAGGCAGCAAAAAUACACUGCUGCGUCGCACUAUGCCUCGCAUCCUGCGCCGCACUAGUGCAAAUUUCUCAAAGUACGGCUCAAAUCUUGUGUUUUGACAUCCAGACUUGGUCCUAGACCCCCAAACACAAUCCUGGCUUAAUCCCUUAGGCUUUUACUCAGACUUCAAAGAUCCAAUCGCUCGAAUUCAUUCCAUAACAUCUACAUAGCUCGGAAUCACUUCUACAAGGCAUAAAACACAUAAUAAGUGCAAAACACUAUCAAUUAAAACUCAAACACAAGUAAAGUGCAGUUAAUUAGAGUACAAUAAGUGACUAAAAUACGAGAUUAUAGCCUACCAUAAACACCCCACACUUAAACCAUUGCUCGUCCUCGAGCAAUCAAACUAUACUUCACAUAGACGCGACCUUUUUCAAUAACUCAUAACUCAUCACACCAGAAAUAUUUAAAACAGAUUAAGUACAAUACCAUAACAUCCUAGCCUCAAAAUUUUACUCAAAAGCACCACACAUUAUUUAUAACUCGCUCACUUACUCUAACACAGAGGUCAAGCAUCACCUUUCCUUCAUGAAUCAAGUGCCCUCAUACAACAAUAGAGAGUAGUUCCAUACGCAAUAAUAUUUUAGAGCAAUUAGGAACUCAAGAUAGAAAGAAUUUGCUCACUCUGAGAAACAACAUUCAUGUGCCACAAAAGACGUACCAGGCUUGCCCGUAGUGUACUGCUCUACUAAUUGAGCUCAUUCAGUCAAGGAUCAAGUAGGACUUUAUUUGGUUGUAAUGCAGGCUGCGGGACGGGUAGGAUACAUUUGGAUAUAAGAGUGACUACACCUCCCUAAUCACCUUAAUACAUACAUUGCAUUGUUCAAAACCCCACAUUUAUAUCAAACCAUAACUCCACCCUCACAUCAAUAUACAUUAACUUCCUACUUCUUUAAACACAAGUACAUCAAGAGUCACCACUAUCAACGAAUCUAAUUUUUCUUUUCUUUUCUUAUUAAAUUCAAGUGGCUCUUACUUUUUCAAAAUAGUGCACCUUUCUCUUUAUUUCAAUAGUUCCAUUCAAAAGUCAAACCAACCACCCCACACUUCAACUUUUACAAAGUUCAUAACAAAUUCAAGGUCUCACGAGAGGUAAAAGGUUCAAAUAGAUGGUCAAUUCAAACAAAUGGGUAAAGCUUGUAAUGUGGUUGCCAAAGAAACAAGAUUACAGGCUCAACGGGGUUAACUAAGAUACAUAACAAUUAGGUAGGUAAAAGCAUAUAGUUGGCUCAACAAAGAAAUGCCUAUAUCACUUCCAAGACUGAAUAAAACUACUAUUUCACUUUGCAAACACACGGGGCAAGUUCGAGACAUCAAAUGCAAUGCACAAAAUAACACAAAACCUCACACACACCUAGCACAUAACUCACUCAAGAUUGGAUUAUCAAGACACUCUAGUCAAAGAAGUUAAGAAAAGUUAAGAUCAUGCAAUUUAAGGUACUUAUACAAUAGUAAAAAUCUGAGCCAAAGCAUCACAACUAAAGCACUUACUAUUCUCAAGGUAUGAUAAAGUCAAGAUAUAUUGCCGUCCAUCUAAACCAUAGCACAAGGUUUGCUACUCCUAACAAAAAUAAAAACUAAUUACACCUGAUUCACACAAAACACUUAGAAACGAACCGCGACACAAAGAAAAACCAAUUGUGCCUUGUUACACUACCUAACAAAAGAUAAUCUUUUUUUCGUUUUUCCUUUGACUUUAAUCCCUCCAAAAAACUGUUGAAUGAUAUCCAUCAUCGGAAAAAAACAAAAAUAUUCCAAUUUUUAUGGGUUUUUCAAUUUUUUUCUAUCUCUAACUACUAAAACUAACAAAACAAAAAAAAAACUAAUAUACAAACGUACUGUCACGACCCAAAAUCUCACCCGUUGUGAUGGUGCCUAUCUCAAUACUAGGAAAGCCGACAAUCUCAAUUAACCACAUAUCUUUUAAAUUUGAAAACACAAUAAUUAAAUUCAGCAGAAGAAAUCUCACAAGUACAAAUAUAAACACUCCAAAAACCCGGUGUCACUGAGUACAUGAGAAUCUAAUAUGAAUACAAGUCUGGAAAACACAGUCUAUAAUAGUCUAAGACCAAAUACAGUAUAUAAGGAGAUAGGAAAGGAGAGACAAGGUCUCUGAAACACAACAGCUACCUCUGAAUCUCCGAAAAAUUAAUUGUGCGAAAGAAUCAAUACCCACUAUGUCCGGGAACACCUGGAUCUGCACAAGAAGUAGAGGGUGUAGUAUGAGUAUAACCAACUUAACAAGUAAUAAUACUAAAUAGGUACCUGCACUCACUGGGGUGUGUACAGACUCCAGAGGGGCUCCUACAACCCAAGCGCUAUAAUACGCACGGAUAACUCGCGUGUUUCACGGACAACUCACGUGCUAUAGUAUAAUAUAUGAAUCCGCACAGACAACUCACGUAUUGCACGGAUAACUCACGUGCUAUAGUAUAAUAUCUCACAAUCAGGCCCUCGGCCCCACUCAGUCAUAAAUCUCUCUAGUCUCUCGGACUCUUAAUAAUCAUGAAAAUCAGCCCAAACAACAAUGAUAUGAUGCAUCAAUAAUGGAUAAUAGAGACUGAGAUAAAAUAAAUAAGUAAACUGUGACUGAGUACAAAAUAAUAAUUUAGCAGAUAGUUCAACAUGUACACGACCUAUGUGGGUCCCUACAGAGCCAACACAUAAUCUAAACAUGAUCUGUAGUUCAAUUUCUCUACUACAUGAAGAAUGUAUAGAUAACAACAGAUUAUUCAACUACAAAGUUCCACGAAAUUUGACCAAGUCACAAUUCCUACGGUGCACGCCAACACGUCCGUCAACCUAGCAUAUGCAUCACCUCAAAACCGAUCACAUAACACAAAAUCUGGGGUUUCAUACCCUAAGGACCAAAUAUAGAACUGUUAGUUACGGAAAACUGUAAAAUUCUCUAUUCUUCUAUGCCCUUGCCUCGCGAAUCAGCCUCCAAAUGCCUCGAAUCUAGUCACAAAUAAUUUGAUUCAAUCAAUACAAAUUAUGGGAAUUAAUUCCAUAUGAAAAUACUAAUUUUCCAACAAACAUCCGAAAUUGCACUCAAAAUCUCCUGUGGGGCCCACAUCUCGGAACCCGACAAAAGUUACGGAAUAUGAACGCCCAUCCAACCACGAGUCCAACCAUACAAAUUUCACUGAAUUCUGUCAUCAACUCAACCCUCAAAUCUUCAUCUAAAGUCUUUGAAGAUUUCUACCAUUUUCAACCCAGUACUUACCCAUUUGAACUCAAUAAUCUUGCUACAAGCCUUAUUAAUCCCCCAUCUUUUACUCCAAACUCGAAAUUGAAGAAUUGGGAAAAGAAAUUAUUACCUCUUUGAAGCCCUAGCAAGAACCUUGUGAAAUCUUCAAGCUUUGAAUAAGAAUUGAUGAACAAUUGACUAGGUCUUCACUUUCUCUCUCUAAGAUUCUCUCACCACUGUCUAAAAUAUCAGUUUUUUUGCUCCAAAAGAGUCCCUUUGCCUCAAUAUAUCGAAAUAGGGUUGGGUAAAAAAUUAGAAAAAUUGAAGCCCCGACGUAGAUCUGCGGUCGCAUAUGUGACCGCAUAAUGCUUCUGCGGUCCGCAUAAUGGGCCGCAUAAUUGCCCUCUGGAACUGGGCGAAACUGACUCAGACUGCGGUCAACAUUUUCAACUUAAGUUCUAAACCUUGUAACUAAGUGUUCCAAAUCAUUCCCAAAUCUCACCGGACCCGAACUAAUCACCCUGGCAAGUCACAUAACAACUGUAAAACAUAAAUUGAGCAGUAAAUGGGGGAACGGGGUUGUAAUACUCAAAAUGAACGGCCGGGUCGUUACAUUCUCCCCCUCUUAAACAAACGUUCGUCCUCGAAUGGGUUUAGAAUUAUACCUGGAGUCUCAAAUAGGUGUGGAUAUUUGCUCCGCAUCUCCCGCUCAGUCUCCCAAGUAGCUUCUCCGACUGGCUGUCCUCUCCACUGCACUUUCACUGAAGCUAUGUUCUUUGAUCUCAACAUUCGAACCUGCCGGUCUAAAAUGUCCACUGACUCCACAUCAUAAGUCAAAUUACCAUCCAAAUGCACUGUGCUGAAAUCCAAAACAUGAGAUGGAUCCUCGACAUACUUCCGGAGCAUAGAUAUAUGAAACUCUUGAUGAACACUCGAUAGACUAGGCCACAAUACAAGUUCAUAAGCCACAUCUCCAAUCUUCUUAAGCACCUCAAACGGCCCAAUAUAUUGAGGGCUCAACUUGCGCUUCUUCCCGAACCUCAACACACCCUUCAUGGGCAAAAACUCGAGUAGAACCUUCUCCCCAACCAUGUAAGCAACAUCACAGACAUUCCGGUCGACAUAACUCUUAUGUCUAGACUACACCGUGCGAAGCCGCUCCUGAAUCAAUUUAACCUUCUCCAAAGCAUCCUGAACCAAAUCAGUACCCAAAAGCCUAGUCUCACCCGGCUCAAACCAACCCACCGGAGACCGACACCGUCUCCCAUAUAAAGCCUCAUAUAGAGCCAUCUGAAUGUUCGAUUGGUAUCUGUUAUUGUAAGCAAACUCUACUAGUGGCAGAAAUUGAUCCCAAGAACCCCCAAAAUCUGUAACACAAACGCGUAGCAUAUCUUCCAAUAUAUGAAUAGUGCGCUCAGACUGUCCCUCCAUCUGAGGGUGAAAUGUUGUACUCAGCUGAAUUUGUGUACCUAAUUCUCGUUGUACUGCUCUCCAAAACUGUGAUGUGAACUGCGUACCCCGAUCUGAAAUGAUGGACACUGGCACACCGUGCAGACGAACAAUCUAAUGGAUAUAAAUCUCAGCCAAUUGCUCCGAAGAAUAAGUAGUACCAACUAGAAUAAAAUACACAGACUUGGUCAACCGAUCUAUAGUCACCCAAACAACAUCAAACUUUCUCAAAGUCCGUGGGAGCCCAACUACAAAGUCCAUGGUAAUACGCUCCCACUUCCACUUCGGAAUUUCAAGUCUCUGAAGCAAUCUUCCCGGUCUCUGAUGCUCAUACUUCAGCUAUUGACAAUUUAAACACCGAGCUACAAACCCAACUAUAUCUUUCUUCAUUCGCCUCUACCAAUAGUGCUGCCUAAAAUCCUGAUAUAUCUUUGCGGCACCCGGAUGAAUGGAGUACUGCAAACUGUGAGCCUACUCGAGAAUCAACUCACGCAAACCAUCUACAUAAGGCACAUAUAGCCUACCCUGCAUCCGUAAUACACCGUCACCCCCAAUAGUGACUUCCUUGGCAUAACCGUACUGAACCGUGUCCUUAAGGACAAACAUAUGAGGGUGAUCAUAUUGACGUUCUCUAAUACGAUCAUAAAGAGAAGACUGAGAAACCACACAAGCUAAAACUCGGCUUAGCUCAGAAACAUCCAAUCAGACAAACUGGUUGGCCAAGGCCUGAACAUCCUAGGCUAAAGGCCUCUCUGCUACGGGUAAGUAUGCUAAGCUGUCCAAACUCUCCGCCUUACGACUCAUGGUAUCGGCCACCACAUUGGCCUUUCCGGGAUGAUAGAGAAUGGUCUGCACGAAAUACAUUCGGAAAGUCUCGCACUACCGGUACUGAAUCAAUAGUAGAGGUAUCUGCAUCAACGUUUAUCACAAAGGCCAAAUAUGACAUACACCCCUUCCCCGCCAUAUGUUAGGCUUUAAAAUAAGAAAUUACCAUGCUGGGAACAUAAUCUAGAGAACCUCUCCAUUCGACCUUUGGUAACCCCAGCAUUGCCAAUGUCACAGUUUUUGCGUGACAGUCUAGAAUAGCAUGAUAUGGAGACAACCAAUCCAUACCCAGGAUUACAUCAAAAUCAACCGUACUAAGCAAUAAGAGAUCAACUCUAGUUUGCAUUCCCCCAAUAGUUACCACACACGACCGAUACACACGGUCCACCAUAAUAGUAUCGCCCACCGGCGUAGAUACACAUACAGGUGAAACUAAGGACUCACGGGGCAUAUCAAGAUAAUGAGCAAAAUACGAUAGUACAUACGAAUAAGUAGAACCAGGGUCAAAUAAUAUAGAUGCCUCCAUGUGGCACACUGAGACAGUACCCGUGAUCACUGCAUCUGAGGCAACGACAUCUGGCCUGGCGGGAAAAGCAUAGAAUCGUGCUUGACCGCCACCUGAUCGGCCUCCCUCUCUUGGGCGACCCCUAACUGGCUGAGCCCCACCCCGAGCUGGCUGGGCGGGUGGUGUAACUGCUGGUGUUGGUGCCGUCGUCCAAGAACUCUGUUGUGGAGCCCCACUCAACAGCGUAGAAAAAUCUCUCUUGAAAUGACAAAAUUCUCCGCACUCGAAACAACCCCUCCUCUGACGGAACUGCUGCUCAUGAUAACCCGAGGAAUUAUCUAUCGAAUCCUGGGCGGACGAGGCAUGAUGAGAACUCUGUGCUCGUAGUUCACUAAAUGAAGACUGGCCUGAGUGAGAACAGUAAGAACUGUGGCUAGCUGAUGCACCACGAUGAGCUGGACGAGUCGUCUGAGUGGGCCUAUAAGGGCGACCCCUGCUGUGGUAGAACUGUCCCCCAGAAGGUAUCCCACCAAAACCUCCUAAACCACGAGGCCUCUUGGCCUCCCUGUGACCACGCUCCUGGCUACGGACCACCUCAUCAAAAGUGGCACCAGAUACCCUCUCCCUAGUCAUAAGAAACUGUAGUUGAUAUGUUACGACAACAAUGAACCUCCCAAUCCUCGCCCUAUCAGUGGGAACCAACCAAACUGCAAGACGAGCCAAUUCAGAAAACCUUAUCUCGUACUGGGUCACAAACAUGCCAUCCUAUCAAAGCUGCUCAAAUUAUCUGCACAGCUCCUCCCUAUGAGACUGCGGCACGAACUUCUCCAAAAUGAAAAUAGAGAACUCAUACCAUGUAAGUGGUACUGCACCAACCGGCCUGCGCCUCUCAUAAGCCUCCCACCAUCUGAAGGCAGCCCCAGAAAACUGAAAAGUAGUGAACGAGACGCCCACUGGUCUCCAAAAUACCCGUUGUCCGAAGCAUCUGCUGGCUUUUAUCCAGAAAACCCUGAGCAUCUCUAACUCAGCACCGCUAAAUGAUGGAGGUCGAAGCCUCCCAAAUCUCUCAAGUCUCCUCUGCUCAUCAUCUUCCAUAACUGGACUAUCGGGGCCUGAGCAGCUGUAAUCGACUGGGCUGGUAGUGCCCCAGGUAUUUGAAAUCCCUGCGCCACCUGCUCUGGAGUACGGGAAACAGGGGUAUGAGUACCUCCCCCAGCCUGAGAAGUGGUUGGUGCGGCCUGAGCCAAAACCACUUGAGCAAGGCCAGUGUAAACUAUCAAUAUCUGAGCCAAUGCCUCUUGUAGGCCUGGAAUCACAUUGGGCACAGCUGGUGCCUGAGCGGGUCCCGCAGGCUCAACUACAUCUAGAAUCUGCUCCUGAGCUGGAGAAACUGGUGGUGCUACAUGUGCUGCUCCAAUUGAUGUACGAGCGACACCUCAACCUCGACCUCUACCUCGGCCCCGGCCUCUCAUGGCCCUAACUGGUGGCAAUGGUUGCUCACCGUCCAAUCCGGUAGUACGUGUUCUCACCAUCUGUGAGAGAAUAGAAUAACAUAAUUUUAGUUUUCUAGAAUCAACAAGUUUGCACGACCGAAUAUAGGAAAGUUAAAUUUUCCUAAGGAUUCGACAGCCUCUCGAAAAUAAGUACGGCCGUCUGCGUACCGAUCCGUAAGACUCUACUAAACCAACUCAUGAGUCAUGAGACCUAUGUAACCUAGGCUUUGAUACUAACUUGUCAUGACCCAAAAUCUCACCCGUCGUGAUGGCACCUAUCUCAAUACUAGGCAAGCUGAUAAUCUCAAUAAAUCACAUAUCUUUUAAAUUUGAAAAUACAAUAAUUAAAUUCAGCGGAAGAAAUCUCACAAGUAUAAAUAUAAACACUCCCAAAACCCAGUGUCACUGAGUACAUGAGCAUCUAAUAUGAAUACUAGUCUGGAAAAUAUGGUUUAUAAUAGUCUGAGACCAAAUACAAUAAACAAGGAGAUAGGGAAGGAGAGACAAGGUCUGGGAAACAUGGCAGCUACCUCUAAAUCUUUGGAAAAUCAACUGUGUGAAGGAAUCAACACCCACUAUGUCCGGGAACACCUGGAUCUGCACACAAAGUGCAGGGUGUAGUAUGAGUAGAACUAACUCAGCAAGUAACAAUACUAAAUAAAGAACUGACAGUAGUGACGAGCUUCACAGCUGAGUCCAAUUAUAGUAAUUUCCAACAUAAUAAGGUAGGCAUGCCUUCAAGUUCAACAUUUAAGACCAAAAAAUUAAUUUCAUGACAGUGAUAUCUCUCAGAAAUUUCAUGAAAUCAAUUGCAUCCUCUCAGGACCACAGUCACUUAGCCAUUCCAUCCGCUCAGCACUCGCACUCAGUAGGUACCUGCGCUCACUAGGGUAUGUACAGACUCCAGAGGGGCUCCUACAGCCUAAGCGCUAUAAUCCGCACAGACAACUAACGUGUUAUAGUAUAAUAUCUCACAAUCAGGCCCUCGGUCUCACUCAGUCAUAAAUCUCUUCAGUCUCUCGGGCUCCUAAUAAACAUGAAAAUCAGCCCAAACAACAAUGAUAUGAUGCAUUAAUAAUGGCAAUAGAGACUGAGAUAAAAUAAACAAGUAAACUGUGACUGGGUACAAAAUAAGAAUUUAGCAGAUAGUUCAGCAUGUACUUGACCUAUGUGGGUCCCUACAGAACCAACACAUAAUCUAAAGAUGAUUUGUGGUUCAAUUUCUCUACUGCAUGGAGAAUGUACAGAUAACAACAGAUUAUUCAACUACACAGUUCCACGAAAUUUAACCAAUUCAUAAUUCCUACGGUGCAUGCCAACACGCCCGUCACCUAGCAUGUGCGUCACCUCAAAACCGAUCACAUAGCACAAACUUCGGGGUUUCAUACCCUCAGGACCAAAUUUAGAACUGUUAGUUACCGCAAACCGUGAAAUUCUCUAUUCUGCUAUGCCCUUGCCUCAUGAAUCGGCCUCCAAACGCCUCGAAUCUAGUCACAAAUAAUUCGAUUCAAUCAAUACAAAUUAUGAGAAUUAAUUCCAUAUGAAAAUACUAAUUUUCCAACAAAAAUCCGAAAUUGCACUCAAAAUCACCCGUGGGGACCAUGUCUUGGAACCCGACAAAAGUUACGGAAUAUGAAUGCCCAUCCAACCACGAGUCCAACCAUACAAAUUUCACCAAAUCCUGUCAUCAACUCGACCCUCAAAUCUUCAUCUAAAGUCUUCAAAGAUUUCUACCAUUUUCAACCCAAUCCUUACCCAUUUGAACUCAACAAUCUUGCUACAAACUUUAUUGGUACAAGCAUGAAUAAAUAAUACUUGUACACUCAAGAAUUAUACUCUUAAUCUGCCAUCUUUUACUCCAAACUCAAAAUUGACGAAUUGGGGAGAAAAAUUCUUACCUCUUUGAAGCCCUAGCAAGACCCUUGUGAAAUCUUCAAGCCUUGAACAAGAAUUGAUGAACAAUUGACUAGGUAUUCACUUUCUCUCUCUAAGAUUCUCUCACCACUCUCUAAAAUAUCAGAUAUUUGUUCCAAAAGAGUCCCUUUGCCUCAAUAUAUCGAAAUAGGGUCGGGUAAAAAAUUAGAAAAAUAGAAGCCCCAACAUAGAUCUGCGAUCGCAUAAUGCUUCUGCGGUCCGCAUAAUGCGCCGCAAACCUGAUCCCUAAAACUUGCCUUAACUGCUUCAUUCUGCAACCAUUAUGCGGUCCGCAGAGUGAUUCUGCGGCCGCAUAGUGGGAAGCAUAAAUGUAUUUUCCUGCUCGAAAUUUUCUUUUACUCACCAGCGCUGAAAUGUAUUUUCCUGUCCGAAAGUUUCUUUUACUCGCAAGCUGGCCGCGAGAAAUUUCUACAACCUUAGUAAUAAUUAAUCUACCUCGGUACCACAAAACCUUAAUUUCCUUAGCAAACAUUCUCUAGGGUCGUUACAUAUAAGUCAACCUCCGGUCAACCUUUUCAACUUAAGUUCUAAACCUUGGAACUAAGUAUUCCAAAUCAUUCCAAAACCUCAGCGGACCCGAACUAAUCACCCUGGCAAGUCACAUAACAACUAUAAAGCAUAAAUUGAGCAGUAAAUGGGGGAACAUGGUUGUAAUACUCAAGUUGUGGCAUGUGCCCAUGACACACAAUUGUCCCCGGCCGGGUCGUUACACAUACAUACAACAUAUCCCCCACCCCACACUUUAAGUUAUGGUAUGUCCCCAUGACACACAAUUAAAAAUCAUAAGGUAAAGGAAACUUCCCUUGCUCACUGUAGCCUUCUCUCUUGAGCCCUUCACUUUCCACUCAACACUUGUAGUUGGUUUGUCCUUUUGUGUCCCCUUUGCUAUAUUCAUCUCAAAAAUCACAAUAUCCUCACCCACUCUAAGCAUGAGUAUUUUCUCGUGUAUAUCCAAUAUAGCUCUACCCGUUGCUAAGAAUGGUCUUCCUAGGAUGAGGGGGACCUCGUUUUCCUCCAUUUUCACCAAUAUAAAUUCUACAGUAAAUACGAACUUAUCCACUCGAACUAACACAUCUUCUACUAUCCCCUCGAGUAUUAAAGUCAUUUGGUCUGCCAGUUGUAAAGAUAUUGGCAUCGACCUUAUCUCUCCAAUAUCCUUCUCCAGUUUCCUGUAAAUAGAUAGAGGCAUUAAACUAAUUGAGGCACCAGAAUCACAUAAGGAUUUAUCAAACUUAAUAGUGCCUAAAGAGCAAGGUAUAGUAAAACUCCUUGGAUCUCCACACUUUUGUGGGAGUUUGUUUUGCAAUAUCGCGCUUCAAUGCUCUGUGAGCUUCACCAGUGAAGUAUCCUCUAUCUUCCUCUUCUUUAUAAGGAUCUCAUUCAUGAAUUUGGCGUAAGCAUGCAUUUGUGAGAGCACUUCUAUGAAUGGAAAAUUUACAUGAACCUAUUUUAGCACAUCUAGAAAUCUCCUAAACUGCUUGUCCAGCUUUUCUCUAUAUAGCUUUUGAGGAAAAGGUAAAGCAGGCAUAUGCUCGCUCUCAUCAUGUUCCUCCCUUCUUAAUUUUUCUUCCAUCUUAUUCUUCUCAGUUUUCAUCGAGCCUUUCUUAUUUUUAUCAAUAUCAUUCUUCAGCUACUCCCCACUUUCGUUUUCAUGUAUCGCAUCCUUUUGGAUCGGGGUGGGAUCUUUCAACACUUGCCCACUUCUCACAUUUACAGCAUUCACUGUUUCUUUAGGAUUUCUCUCAAUAUCAGUGGGGAGAGUUCCUGGAUCCCUCUUAGAUAAUAUUGUUGCAAUCUGCCUAACUUGUCUCUCCAGGUUCCGAAAAGAUGUGCCCAACUCUUUGAUAGCUACUCCAUGAGCGUCCAGCCUCUCAUCUGUCUUGAUAAUGAAGGCCUUUAAUAGAUCCUCUAGACCUGACUGAAUGGGAUGUUGAGGCUGAAAUUAUUGCCUCUACUGAUUUUAGUAUGCUGGAGCUCCUUGUCCCUGCAGUCUAGAGUUAUUUUGUUACCAAGCAUUCACGGUACCUCCAGGUGAACUCCAUGAAAAUUCGGGGUGCCUCUAACCCAUUGUAUUGAAACUGUAGUUUCCCACAACAUUUACUUUCUCAGUUGAGGCUUGACACUCAUGAAUAGGGUGUCCUCUUCCACAUAUAUCACAAACUAUAUGAGGCUCAUUUUGUAUCGAGGCUAAGGUCAGCUUCCGUAUUUCUUAGCCAUAGCAUCCAGUUGUACCUGCAUAGAUGUAUUAGCAACAACUUGGUGAAUACUAGUUGUUCUUCUUCUUUCAACACUCUCAGAGGGCCACUGAUUUGCAUCUUUAGAUAACUCAUCAAGAAUUAUAACUAUCUCCUCUGGAGUCUUCUUCAUCAAUGGGCCUCCAGCUGCAUUGCUCAAUGUUCUACGUGAGGCUGGUGUCAAUCCAUCCCUAAAGUCCUAGAGUUGCAUUCAGAGUCCAAUUCUGCUAUGUUGAUGCUUUCGAAUAAUCUCUUUAAACCUCUCCCAUGCUUCAAAAAUAGUUUCCGUAUCAAUCUGGUAGAAGUUAUGGAUUUAUCUUCUAAACUUGCUCGUUUUAGUAGAGGAGAAAUAUUUAUCAAGGAAUUUUCUAGUCAUCUUCUCCCAAGUUCUAAUGGAUCCCGUGGGUAAGCUUCGAAGCCACUGUUUUGCAUCAUCUUUGAGUGUAAAGGGGAAUGCCCUCAAGUACACUGCAUCUCGUGAUACACCAUUGUAUUGAAAGGUGUUCAUAAUCUCUUCGAAGUCCAUCAUAUGUGUAUUUGGAUCUUCGUUCAUCUUCCCUAUGAGGACACAACAAUUUUGAAGGGUUUGAAGCAACCCUUGCUUCAACUCGAAAUUAUUUGCUGUAAUUGGAGGUGGUCUCACACUUGAUAAUCCUUGAUUGUAGACCAGUCUAAUAUAAUCACCAAGAGGUCUUCCUUGUAUGGGAGCUAUAUUUUCGAACUGGUCCGCACCCAAAGGUUGAUUUUGAGCAAUUCUCUGACCCCUUACUUCUCCAUAGAUAAUUUGUGCAUCUCUGAUAGUUUCUUCCUCAGCAUCCCGUGCAACUUGUUAUCUUUGUUAGGUUGCCUCUCUUGCAUCCAAAUCUAUAUUAUCAUCACCGUUUCCAGCCAUAAGUUCUUUGGUCGAGGAUUGCCCAACCUUUUCUGAUGUCUCGGUGAGAUUUCUCUCCUUCCUCAAUUGUCGCAGUUGUUUUUCUACCUUUGGCUCGUAUGGUAGAACUUCUUUAGCAGAAGCUCGAGUCAUGUACCAAUCUAAACCUGUAACCUGCACACAGUCAAAGAACACCAACCGUAAAAAGAGAAAAAUAAAAUUAAAUAAAAAGAACAAAAUCAUGAAUUAGCACUACAAACUAUUUCAAAUGCACACUAUUAAUCCAAUAGCACAUACAGGGAACCAGGAAAAAAUAAAAGCACAACACUUUGGUUCUGAGGGAAAUCACCCAGUCAAAUACCAUGCUCAAGUUGUUAUUGAGGGGGGAAUGGUGAGGCUGGUUUUUACUAACAUGGUUUGUUCUUUUGCAGGAAACGAUAGUGUACUCAUCCCUUGCCAUUUACUAUGACUUCCAUGGGUGGUUGUAGCACUAUGUGCUCAUUCCCUAUAAGGAGGAGUGAUGGCAAGCACAAGCAUGGGAACGAAAUAUAACGGCAAAAAGCUAAGAAAUCGCCAAUACAGUGGCUAUUUUUGGCGAAGAUUUCUGGGCAAUUUGGAAACAAAGUAGAACAAAAUAUCAGUGCAACACUAUAAUACAAUAGCUCAUAAUCCAAAACUUGCAAAGAUAUCAAUAAGAUUCACAAGGCAAGCACACGAAAUUGUAGGCAAAAUCUGGACUGCUGAGCACUUUUGGACAGUACACUCGCGAGGGCUCUUUUAGCGAAAUAUUUCGGGCACAAUGGGUAUAAAAUGGGCUAAAUUAUUGAUGCAGCAUGGGAGAAGGAAAACCAAGAUCGAAUUCAUUCAAAGGUUUCAAGAGAUAAUAGAGGGAGGUCACGCAAAAAAGAUCGCAAACAUAGUGCACUUGCAAGUUUCUGGGCAGAGCACAUGCUUAAAAUUUUGCGAGCCUCGGGUAAUUUUUGUAGAUGUUGUAAUGACACUUUAUGGAGCAUGCAUGGACAAACAAUUCAAAUGAUGCUACAACACCAAUGGAGGGUGGCUCACAUCACCAUUUUUUGGGCAGUGUCUAUUUUUUGGCAAAUGGAAAUUGGCUAUUUGUGCAAGCAGCGUAACUGAGUAGUGGCUUUCAAUGAAUAUGGCUAUUUUUGCAAACAUCGGAUCUUGCAACUGGACGCUAAAUAUAAUGAGCUUCAAGGGCUAGAUCUUAAGUAUAAAAGCUACAUUAGAUUUCAUGUGCUAUCAUUGUUGAGCAUUUUACUCAACUUUGAUAAUAGGCUAUAUGUAGUUUGCAAAGUUUAUUUCUUUCAUUUCUUAGGAUUUCAUGAUACUUNNNNNNNNNNNNNNNNNNNNNNNNNNNNNNNNNNNNNNNNNNNNNNNNNNNNNNNNNNNNNNNNNNNNNNNNNNNNNNNNNNNNNNNNNNNNNNNNNNNNNNNNNNNNNNNNNNNNNNNNNNNNNNNNNNNNNNNNNNNNNNNNNNNNNNNNNNNNNNNNNNNNNNNNNNNNNNNNNNNNNNNNNNNNNNNNNNNNNNNNNNNNNNNNNNNNNNNNNNNNNNNNNNNNNNNNNNNNNNNNNNNNNNNNNNNNNNNNNNNNNNNNNNNNNNNNNNNNNNNNNNNNNNNNNNNNNNNNNNNNNNNNNNNNNNNNNNNNNNNNNNNNNNNNNNNNNNNNNNNNNNNNNNNNNNNNNNNNNNNNNNNNNNNNNNNNNNNNNNNNNNNNNNNNNNNNNNNNNNNNNNNNNNNNNNNNNNNNNNNNNNNNNNNNNNNNNNNNNNNNNNNNNNNNNNNNNNNNNNNNNNNNNNNNNNNNNNNNNNNNNNNNNNNNNNNNNNNNNNNNNNNNNNNNNNNNNNNNNNNNNNNNNNNNNNNNNNNNNNNNNNNNNNNNNNNNNNNNNNNNNNNNNNNNNNNNNNNNNNNNNNNNNNNNNNNNNNNNNNNNNNNNNNNNNNNNNNNNNNNNNNNNNNNNNNNNNNNNNNNNNNNNNNNNNNNNNNNNNNNNNNNNNNNNNNNNNNNNNNNNNNNNNNNNNNNNNNNNNNNNNNNNNNNNNNNNNNNNNNNNNNNNNNNNNNNNNNNNNNNNNNNNNNNNNNNNNNNNNNNNNNNNNNNNNNNNNNNAACUCGGGUCUUGAGUGAAGAAGGAAUGAUGAAAUCCUUGUGCUCGUGUUUUUCCAUCUCCUCCUUAGCCUCCUUAGGUCGAACAUGUGUCAAAAGUGCAAAAAAUAAUAUUUUUUCCAUAUAUUUAUAUCAAGUAGGGUCGGGCCCAAACGAAAUCACCUUUACCUAGCCAAAAUAGGACAUUUACUUUGUAAAUAUUGCACAGGCGCGCUGUAUGGGGCGACGCGCCAUGCGGGGUAUUAGUGGGAAAAUCUAGAGAGAUCAACAAUUCAACAGGCAACAAAAAUACACUGUUUCAUCACACUAUGCCUCGCACCCAGCGUCGCACUAGUGCAAAUUACUCAAAGUACGGCUCAAACCUUGUGUUUUGACAUCCAGACUUGGUCCUCGACCCCCGAACACGAUCCCGGCUAAAUCCCUUGGGCUUUUACUCAAACUUUAAAGCUCAAAAUCGCUCGAAUUUAUUCCAUAACAUCUACAUAGCUCAGAAUCACUCCUACAUGGCAUAAAACACACAAUAAGUGCAAAAACACUAUCAAUUAAAGAUCAAACACAAGUAAAUUGCAGUUAAAUAGAGUGUAAUAAGCAACUAAAAUACGAGAUUAUAGCCUACCAUCAUCGAGGAAAAAGUACCUUGCCCUUUGUCCAGCCCAAGACAAUAAGAAAGAAAAUAAUAGUCGGCAGAGGGAGAGGUGCAGACCUCUCUGAGUCUAUCUCCUAUAUCCCAUCUAGGGAGGUGUCAGAGGGAAACUCAGCCUUUAUUCAAGAGGAGUAGACGGCCACCCAGUCGAGGCCGCAGUGGUGAUACCAGCUCAGGGAUGAUCCGUCUUCAUGUCACAGCACCUACGAGAGGUCGGAGAGUGCUAAUCAGGCUUCUUAGCCAUCGGCUACACCAGUCCCUGAGGCACAGGUUACACAUGAUAUCCCCGAUGAUGGCAGAGGGGGAGAUGCUACAACUACAGGGCUUGAGAGAUCAAAGAAGAAAGAGGUUUGGGAGGAUUGCUUUGUUUGCUUGGCCGCUUUUACCAGUUUCCGUAUGUGGUGGCCAGUGAGCUCGCUAACUCUUGAGCGACAGUUUCUGUUAAAUGAUUUGGAGAAAUACAACCCAACUAUAUUGAGACAGUUCAUGGCACGAAAGGGGUGGAUGUGGUUCACCGAGAAAGUAGACGAUGCCAAAUAAUACCUUGUUUGAUAAUUAUAUGCCAAUGUGGCUCAUAUAAAGAAAGGUACGAAGGUGACCAAAGUACGCAACCUCAAGGUGAGAUUUGAUCAGCAUACGCUAAAUACGUAUUUGGGCUUCAAAGAUUUUGAGCUGAAGGAAUAUCUGGAGAAGUGCGCACUAAAGGAUGAAGUCCGACCUUGGUUGGCUAAGAUUCUAGCACCACCAGGGCCACCGCCACCAUGGAUCACUGCUGGGGUUCCCAUCCACCGGAACACCCUAAGUUUUGAGGCAAAGAGGUGGCAAACCUUUGUCUACAACAGACUAGAUCCAAGCCAGAACCAGAUUCACCUCCCUAUCCCUCGAGCAGUGCUUGUGGCUUCCAUCAUGGUCAGCUACCCAAUCAAUGUGGGUGUCAUGAUGUCGGCCAACAUUUUAGUGAUUGCACGGUAGGACAGCUCAUCCUACCCUUAUCCCAUCACUAUCACAGAGUACCUCACCUAUGCAAAGGUAGAGCCGAGGGAUUUUGACACCAAGGUGAAACCAAAGAAACCAUUCGACUGGUAUUCUCUGAUGGAUGCGAGCAACCCAAAGAAGAAAGCACAGCCUUCUACCACCGUAGGCCAGUCUAAUGAGCUAAUAGUGGUAGCUUCUGAGGCAGUUGAUCUUCCAUCCACCUCUGCUAAGCCUUCUACCAGUGCCACUGCUAUGACUCCACCAUCAUCUUCAACUCCCAUAUCUGCUCUGCUAGUCUCCCAAACAUUGGCGAGUCUCAACAACUGGAUGCAGAUAGCUACUUCUAAGUUGUCUGACUUAUCUAGUACUGUUACAAUGCAGUCCACUUCUCAGGCACCAUAGUCUCCUUCUGACAUUGAUGAUACAGUGAAGAAAAUUUUGGAGAACCAGAAGACGAUCAUGGAUAACUUGGUAUGACACUGGUCAGUGAUUAAGAAGUUGGGAAAGGAAGUAAAGAAGAGGAGGAAGUCCUAGGUCAGCAAGAAAUCAGUGGAAAAGCUCUGUAAGGAGGUGACUAGACUUGCUAUAGCUGGCGACCUUCUCUUUGACAUGCUGCUUGACCCGCACCAGUUCGCCCCAGAUCCUUCAACACCAUCUGCAUCGGUAGCACCAACUGGCCAGUCUGACGAUCCAGACCAUGAUGCAGACACUAUUGAGGCAAUGCAUGAGAUGUUCGCCAACCCAGCCAUACCUAGAUUUGAUGAUGAUGUGACUCAGUUGGCUGAUCCUGAGGGAGAUGACAUUGUCAGGGACACUGAGAUGUCCAAGGAUCCAUAGGGAGUUUUUUUCACCCUCUCAUUUUUUUACUCUUAUUUUGCUAAGCAUUGGGGACAAUGCUUACUUUUAUUUGGGGGGUAGAGUUUAGUUGACACAUUGGUACACUUUGAUACAUUUGGUCUGUAAUAAUUUGACGAUACUCUUUCUCUUCUUAUUUGUAUUUAUCUAGCUUCUCUCUCUUCUCUUAUGUAUAUUUAUCUCUCUUUAGUAGUUUUUGCGUAUUAGCUUCUAUAUUAUUUCCAUAUUAGCUCGUGUUUUGUUAAGUAUCUUCUUUUUAUGCUUUAGUAGAUAAUAAGCCUUUGGUUUUCUUAACGCCAUGGUUCUUUCCAAAGAAAGUUGUGUGAACUGGUUUACUUGUCCCAACGAUGGAUAGCGUGACAACCUUCUUAAGGGAAUGAGUCUAUUUUUGUGUUUAGGUAAUAAUAAUAGUAGUAAUGAAUAAAAGACCAAAUCUAGUCGUGCUCAAAGAGUCAAUCAUGCUUCAAUUGGUACCAACACACUUAACUACAUGUUUAUGGUUAGAGACAAGGUUUUUGAAAGAAAUAGCUCUAGUUAGUGGCUUUGUGACUCUUGAGUUGACUUUGGUAAUCAUCGAGUGAUUUAAUUGGACCAUGGUGAUCUUUAAACUUAAAUGUGGUCGUUGUAGGCUCUCGACUCUAUCCUCUUUUACUAUCUAGUUGUGUGAGGGGUGAGAUGAAUUGUUGCAAGUACAAGUAUCCGUGCGAAGGGUCUAGAACCUGUCCCGAAUGUGUUUCAAGGCGAAAUCCUAAGUUUUGCUUGGUUUGAGAAGUUAUUGUAGGGUUUCCUUGGCCCGUUUGAGCUUUCUAUUACCAACCAAUAUCGUUAUCCCAAGUCAACCCAUUUGAACCUCUAGCCUUUUGUCAUUUGAUAACCAUGUUCUCUGUCUUUUCCCCGUUUUGUCGUAACCCUCUCUUGGCACCCGAACUUUUCUUAACACUCCUGUGAAACACGUAGCUUAAAACAUAAGUUUAGGGGAGAGAUGAGGAGUUUGAAAAUGUAUCGAGGCACAGAAAGAGAAAAGAAACGAUCUCCAUGAAAGAGAAGGCAAGAAAAGAUAAGAACAAAAAGAAAACUGCAGAACAUGAAUAAGUGGAAGGGUUGGUGGAUUCAAAAAAAAGAGGUAAUGAUCCCUAGCAUGAGAAAUCAAAAAAGGAUAAAAAGAAUGAAAUUAACAAAAAAAAAGAGUGACGUUAGUCCCCAAUGAAAAAAAAUGCCUCUAAGAAUUGGUAAUUGUGAUCCGAGAAAUGAAAAUGUAGAGUGCUUAAGUAAAGGUGUAACCACUUACCCAUAUGGUAUCCUACUCUAAUCCAAAAGCCAUCAUUACAACCCGAAAUAAGUCCUACUUGAUUUCAAAUUAAGUGACCAUACAUUAGUGGCAAUCUACAUGAGGGCAAGCCUAUGGUACUUGAAGCUGUACUUGUGACAUUCUCUUGUGAGAGACAGGUGAACCUUUCAUGAAUCUUAAGAUUGAGUGCUAAUUUCUUAAGUGAUCUUGGCAAAUGGAAAGUAGAGGAGGAAGUGUUUGGAGUCCACCAUGACCUACAUGAUAGAACAAGAGUCAUUGAUGAGUAAAGUCAAUUUUUGAAGCUCAAAUAUCACAUUAGAACUAUAUGUGCAUGAAUAUUUGACUUGUCACCUUGUUGAUAAUACAUGAGUAGUGUGGGUAAUUGUUGAUCCCAAAUGAUGUGUGACUAGCUCACCUUUGACUUGGUGAAAUGACCCUUAACUCUAGGAGGUGGGGACCAAUUUAUUUGCUUAAGGACAAGCAAAGACUUAAGUUUCGGAAAGUUGAUAAGUGGGAAUUUUGACUACUUAUUAGCACUUUUUUGCUUUGUUUUAGUCUGAAAGUGUUGCUUUAUGUCCCCGAAACUAAUGAAAGUGUGCAAAUUACAGGAAUGUUGGAAGCUUGUUCUCGCAUGAUGAAAUCUGACACAAAAAGGAGUGUUUCGAAUCACAAGGCAAGAAAGGGGCAUAGAACUAAAGAAGUAUGGUCCGCAGAAUUCUAUUUGCGGCCGCAGAUCAAGUGAAAGAGACCAACAAGAACUUGGCCAAUGUGCGGCCGCAGAAUAAGGUCUACACUGACAAAUGAUUCAAAGUUCAGAGAGUGUUCAAAAGACCAAGUCCUGAAGCCUUGUUGAAGUGCGGACCGCACAAGAAUUGUGCGGCCGUAGAAGAUGCUUCACAGCCGCAAUCCAUAAUUGUGCGGCUGCAGAAUCCAAGAUCUUUCCAACUGAAUAAAUCUUCGUACCGCACAUAGAAUUGUGCGGCCGCAUAGCCUCCCAAGGGGAAUUAUUGUGAGCGAAUUUUGGGCCACUAUAAAUAGACGAGUUUCACAUUUUUAGGUCAUGUUUCGAAGUUUAAACUGUUGUAGCCGUUACAUUUUUUCCAUAUUAGGAAGUUUGUGACUAUUUUAGUGUUUAAAUAUUACAUUUUAUCAUUUUAAUUUUAGAUUAUGAGUUAUAAUUAGCAUUUCUUCUUUAUUUUCUUCAAUUCUCACUAUGAGUAGCUAGAUUCUAACUAGGGUUGUGACCCAACCCUAGUGUGUAAACCUUGUGAGUAUUUAAUUUAAUGUUUGUUUAUGAUUGGGUAUUGAUUAUUUAUCUUAGUUUAUGCUCUAAUUUUAGAAUUAAUGGUUGCAAACAUUGAUUCAUGCCUUUUUGACUUAGUCUCUACUUGAGAAAGAGGGACCUAGUCUAGGAUAACUUGGCUAACAAGGAAUUGGGCUAAUUGAAGGUCUGAUUAGCCUAUUUAAAGGGUUCAAACUAGAGGUAGUGAGAACCUAACUUGAGCUCAUAUCAACUAUUUUGUUUGAUACCCAUUUGAACUUGAGAAAGCCAAAUUGGGCAAAUCACUCUUUGAUCGAGAGGUAUUGAGUAAGUAACGUAGAGUUGAGAGCUAUAAUACACCCCAAUCAACAAAAUAAGUAUUAACGUAUUUAACCCAUUAGGCGAACACCUAGGUUAUGGUCACAUCCCAAGGCUUUUUAAUUAUUUGAAAAAAAUACCAAAAACAAUCAUUCGCUUGUAGUUUCUUUUCUUAGCUUAUAAUUGCUAGAGUAAAAUUAGAAUUAGAAAUCAAAACCUUUUGUGGAAGUUAAAUUUAGUUAUUCCAUUCACUUUCGUCAAGUGUAUACUCUUAACACCCAUGUAACUCCCUAUGGAAAUGUAAUGACCCGACGGGUCAUUUUGAGUAUUACAACCUCGUUCCCCUAUUUAAUACUCAAUUUAUACUUUGCAGUUGAUAUAUGGCUUGCCAGGGUAAUUGGUUCGGGUCCGGUGAGGUUUUGAACUGAAUUGAGACACUUAGUCUCCAAGAUGAAAACUAAAGUUGAAAAGGUUGACCGGAUAUUAACUUAUGUGUAAAUAACCCCGAAAUAGAAUUUUGAUGAUUCCAAUAGCUCUGUAUGGUGAUUUUGGACUUAGGAGUAUGUCCGAAAAAAUUAUUUGGAAGUCCGUAGUUACAUUAGGCUUGAAAUGGCUAAAAUAGAAAUUUAAGUUUGGAAGUUUGACCGGGGAGUUGACUUUUUGAUAUCGGGGUCGGAAUUCGAUUCUGAAAUUUGAAUAGGUCUGUUAUGUCAUUUACGACUUAUGUGCAAUAUUUGAUGUCAAUCGGGCUUGAUUUGAUAGGUUUCGGCACUGAAUGUAGAAGUUGGAAAUUUUUAGUUUUAUUAGGCAUGAAUUGGGGUACGGUUCAUGGUUCUAGCAUUGUUUGAUGUGAUGUGAAGUUUUGACUAAGUUCGUCUGAUGUUUUAGGACUUGUUGUUGUAUUUGGUUGAGGUCCCGGGGGCUUCGGGUGAGUUUCGGAUGGUUAAACGGAUAAAAGUUGGACUUAGGACAAAGCUGGAAGUUGCUGCAUACUGAUGCAAUCGCAUCUGUGGAAUUUGGCUCGCAGGUACGAGCCCGCAGAAGCGAGCUUGGAAAGCGCAGAAGCGAGUAGGGGCCGGUGAGUCAGAGUGCAUAGGUGCAAGCAUUUUACCGCACCUGCAAGGUCGCAGGCGCGAGGAGAAAUGCGCAGAAGCGGAGGCAGCACUGUGGACGAUUGCAGAAGCGGACAUUUUUGUCGCACCUACAAGACCGCAUAUGCGGCUAUGCUGAUCGCAAGUGCGACAGGCCCUGGACAGAAUAAAUUGGAGGAGUUGCAGGAUUUUGGCAUUUUUGGACAUUUUCAACACGGUUUUGGGCAAUUUUUCAGAGAUAAUUCACGAGAAAUCUUGAGAUAAGUCACUUGUGAUCAUUUUUAGUCAAUAAUAUUGGAUUAUGAUUGAGUAUUUCGACUAGAUUACAUAUUUUUAGGUGAAAUUAGAGGAUUUGGUCCUAGAGAUUUCAAAAUAAGAAUUUGAGAUUUAGAGGUCGAGUUGAUGUCGGAAUUUGGUAAAUUUGUAUGGUUGAACUUAUGGUUGAAUGGGCGUUCAUAUUUUGUAAAUUCAUCGGGUUACGAGACGCGGGCCCCACGGGCAAUUUUUGGGUGAAAUUUUGGAAUUAAUUCCUAUAAUUUGUUUUGACUGAAUCGAAUUAUUUAUAACUAGAUUCGAGGCGUUUGGAGGCCGAUACGUGAGGCAAAGGCAUUGCAGAGUAAAGAAUUGCACGGCUUGAGGUAAGUAACACUUCAAAAUUUGGUUCUGAGGGUAUGAAUCCCUGAAUUUGGUGUUAUAUAAAUUGUUUGAAGGUGAUGCACACGAUAGUUGACGAGCGUGUGGACGUGCACCAUAGAAAUUGUGACUUGAAUAAAUUCUGUGAAGUUGUAAAAUUAAAGAAUCAUGUUAUUAUCCGAAUAUUUUCCACGUAUUAGGAAUAUUGAGCUGAGACUCGUAUUAAAGAUCAUGAUUGGGCUACGUGCCUAUAUUUUGGGACCCACAGGGUCGUAUUGCUGUUAAAUUAUUUGUUUAAAUUUAUAAUUUUGUACUCAGUCACAUCUAUCACUUGCAUAUCAUAUCUCAGUCUCUUUUAUCAUUCACUGAUACUUUAUAUCAUCAUGUCAGGUUUAUUAUUUUCAUGUCAUUGAGAACCCGAGAUACUAUAGAUUCUGAAUGAUAGUUAUGUUUAUUUAUUUAUGCCUGGAUCUGGCUAUUAUAACGCUUGGGUUGAAGGAGCCCCUCCAGAGUCUGCAUCCCCACAGUGAGUAUAGUUGNNNNNNNNNNNNNNNNNNNNNNNNNGAGGGAUGGAUCUUCCCUGGGCAUGGAUCUUACCCUAAGCAUUUAUGUUGAGGGAUAAAUUUUCCGUGGACAUGGAUCUUGCCCGAAUCAAUGAUAUUCGGGGAUGGAUCUUCCCCUGGGCUGUAUUGGCCUUAUAUAGUACUGAGUGACUAACUGACAGUUGAUAGAUAUACAUAUAUAUUUGGGAUGGAUCUUCCUUGGGCUAGAUUGGCCAUAUACAGUACUGAGUGAUUGAGUAUUUUAGAUUGUGAGUAAACGGAGUUUUCACUAAGGUGCAUCACAUACAACAUGUACAUUAGCAUGUAGAUACAGAGAUGUCAUAUUCCUCGUAUUUUCAGAAUUGAUAUGUUUUAUUUGUACUGAAAGCAACUGUUGAACUUGAAAGCAUGCCUACAUUUCUAUAUUAUUAUUACUUAUACUGGACUAUACCUGCGGAGCUCAUCACUACUUUCAGCCCAGAGGUUAGUCUUGUUACUUAUUGAGUUAGUUGUACUCAUACUACACUCUGCACCUCGUGUGUAGAUCCAGGUGCUUUCGGACACGGUGACCGUUUGAUCUCAGAGUGCUAUCAGUUGGAGACUAUCAAGGUAGUUGCCUGGAGUCCGCUAACCUUGACUCACUUUCUUUAAGUUAUUGUACUAUUCUAUACUUUCAGACAGUGUUUUGUCAGUCAGACUUUAUAUUCAUAUUAGAUGCUCGUGUACUCAGUAACACCGGGUUUUGGGAGUGUUUAUAUCUGUAUUUGUGGGUUUGUUUCGCUGAAGUUAAAUAUUAUGUUUUUCAAACUUCAAAGAUAUGGUAGUUUAUUGAUAUUUUCAUCUUGCCUAGUAUUGAGAUAGGUUCCAUUACGACAGAUGGGAUUUUGGGUCAUGACAGGAAAUCAACCCCGACUCUUGUUGGGUAUUAUUCUUCCAACGACCGUUUCCAAUCACUAUUGAGUGCGGAUUGGAUGUGGAUCAGGGGCUUGAUCUGGACAGGUUGAAGUUUUUGUAUAGUCUCAGUUAGAGGGGAUACUCUACCGAAAAUUUUAUGAAUUUAGAGAGUUAGCCAAAUUUGGGGGCCUUAAGGAAGUUGAAAUUUUGGAAGAAUAUCUAAGAUCCAUAUAAAGUCAAGAAUGAUUAAAGAUGAUGGUUAAGGUGAAAGUAGUAUAACACUGUUCCUAAUAAUGACUUGUAAAACAUUCUAGGACAAAUUUUCUUAAGUGGGGGAGAAUCUAACACUCCGUACAAUUUCGAAGUGUUUAACGGCUUUAAAGAAGAUCGGCAUGUGCUAAUUAUAUUAAUUCGCGUGUGAGCAAGGGAUAAUGAUAUAAAUGAUAUCACUUGAACAUGAUAAUAUGUGUAUGAGGUAUAUUAAAAAUGGUUUAUGGUCUAAGAAGAGCCCUUAAGCUAAGUCAAGUUGGAAAUUAUAUGAUGGGCUAAAGUUUCAAGUGGGUUCGCACAAGAUUUAACUUCAAACGAGCAUAAAUCUCAAGAUAUGAAGUGUUUUUCAUGGUGUAUGACCUAUCAUAUAAAAGUUCUAUGUGUCUACUUUCUAAUGCUUCAAACCGUUCGACAUUUGGAUAUUUCAACAAUACGUUAUGGCCUUUUUACCAUAAGGUGGUAGUACAGCUACGCAGCAGGCUACUCAACCUGCAUAGCCAAUUUAAGAUUUUGGCCAAGGGAAAGGCCUCAUGCGUAUGUUUUAUGAGUAGGCUAUACAAGGAGAACGCAAUUUUAGGGGCCAUUUUAAAGGGGAUGAAACAAAGGGUUUAGAAAGAUAAAAAGUUAGUUCUUCAACUUGAAAUUGAUUUCUAGAGAGAAUGAGGAGCUAUUCCACCAUUAAUACACUUCAAGGUAAAUUAUUUUGGUACAAGGAUGAUUAUAUUACAUCAUUUAGUGAUUAUACUAACACUAUUAUAGAUCAAAUCCAUAGAAAAUGGGUUGAAUCUUCAAGAACAUCAAAAAGAGGAAAAGUGAGAUUCUUCCACCAAGAGUUAAUCCCUUCACUUGAGCUUCAUAUAUAUGUCAUAUUGGAGAAUUGGUAGAAUCUUUAUGUGUUUUAUUUGAAGUUGUAAUGGGAUAUUGUAUGAACCCUAAGGGUGGGUCUUGAAAAUGAUAUUUUGGGCAAAGAAGAAGAUGAAUAGUGAUGAAUUGAUAUAAAUGGAAUUGUUUUGAGUUUCUAAUAAUUCCAAUAGACUUGAUAACUUAAUUGAUGAAUGAAUUGAAUAGGGAAUAACCAUUUGGACAAGAUGCAACACUAGUUCUUAAAAUGGGUGUUCUUGAACCUAGGGUUUUGUUAGAGAAAACAAUAUAUAGUGACUUAAUGAUGUUGGAUAAUUAACGUAGUGCUAUUAAUGACUCCAAAUGAGUAUUAAAUAAUAAGAAUGGAAUUGAAUAGGCUAAUGGGUGAGCCUAUUGGAUAAUUUGGGAUGGUUGAAGGCUUGUUGCCGAAUUUUGAAGCCUAAAUAAAUAUUUAUGCAUCUUUUUGUAUUUGUUUUGAUGUAGUUGGAUAUCUUAUGGUAGAUACUGAAUUGUGGGCAAUAUUGGAGCAUGAUAGUAUUUUUGGAGCUUGAAGUUUGAGGUAAGUUGAUUAAAACUUACUCUCGUGAGGGAUUCUCUUUAAAAGCAUGUCUUAAGUAGAUACAUUGUAUUAUAUGUAAGUGUGCAUCAGUACUUGCGGGGACAAGCGGGAAAGAUGUCACCAUGUGUUUUUAAAUUAUUGCUUAUGAAGUGUCGUGUAAUUUUAUAAAAAUAUUAUUUUCAAAACUUGUUGGCAAAAUGACACUUAAGAAAAUUCUUAUAAGUUAUAUUAAAACUUAUUUGUUGAUAAGAGUCUAAAAUGCUCGAAUGCUAAAGAUAUAUUUUCAUGAAAAAGUUUGUCUUUUAAAAUUUCAAAAAAGGAAGCACUUGUUGUAUCUUUAAAUUGAUGUUAAUUCCUGAAAGCUUUAACAUGAAAAAGGUUAUUCAAUUGAUUUUGUUCCAAUAGUUUGGAUUGGCUAUGAAAAUAAUGAUUUGAUAAAAAUAGAUCCCUUGAGGCAAUUAUGCUAUGAAUAUAUUUUUGAUAUGUCAAAUAUUUUGGAAGUUACUAGUGGACCACCGAGAUUGGUUCGAAUGUUGAAUUCAUUACUAUGAAACUACAUGUGCCGGUGUAGGGACACAUUCCAAGGCUAAGCCGAGGUUUGUGGGAAGAGGGCAAAUGAUCAUUACUUAAAGUAAUGAGGUUAAGUCGACUCAUACGGGACUAUGGGAAGCCGCCCAGACAAGUACGGUCAAAAACUUAUUGCUAGGAUGAUCACCUAGUAGUUGUUCAUUAUGUCGGUGUCUGUAUAGUACUCCCGGUGAAAGAUAAAAAAGAUAUUUCUAAUAUCAGGCCUAAGGAGCCGAAAAUAAUUUCAAUGACUUAAUGAGAUUAAAAUGGUUUUAUACGAUUUACUUAAUAAGAUUGAAAUGGCUUUAUAUUAUUUCUAUUAAAUAUAUUGGGUUGAUAGAGACAUUCUAAAACGUUAUACCAUGGCUUACAUUUCACUUGUCUUUUAUUUAAAAUAAUAAAGAACAUGAUUUAUAACCGUUUAUCACUUUAUGUCCAAUAUUGGUUGCAAAAGUUUUAUAAAAUCUUGUCCCACGAACUUGAGUUAGAGAGAGUCUAUGACACUUAUUGAGUACCGUUGUGGUGUACUCAGCCCUUAGGAGCCCCCUUCUAAGGCCCCACUUAAUAUAUGUUAGUCGGGCAUUAGCCCAAGAAUUUAGUUCUAUUCCUUGGUAUAGAGGCUCCAUAGUAGUUGUGAAUAAUUAUAGUAAUGGGUUUGUACGCGACAUACGUGAAAAGAUAUUUAUUUUACUUAGUUUCAUUAUUAUGAUUAUGAGAGGCUUCAUGUAUAAUUUUGAAUUGGAAAAUUGUUCCAUUGUUUAACUUGAAAAAUAUAUAAAAUUUCAAAGAGCUUCCACAGUUAAAUUGGUUUUCAUGCAUAUCGUUUGGGUGCAUCUUAUAGGUUGGUUCGCUCGGGCCAGAUAGUGUGCCGGGUGUCGGUCACGUGGAUGUGGGUCAUGACAUCCUCCUAAUGACUGUUGCUGGUACUGGAGGAAAAUAUGCACUAUACAUAACAAAUUUGCAGCUGGAUAUGUUUAGGAUGGGUGGCUAUCAGUGAAUGGACAAUACUCAUUAGGCAACGACUACAAAUAGAGACAGGGGAGUAGAGAGGGUUUGGCUGGUAUGAGAUGGGUUUGGUGUAAAUAUAACACCCCAACAUAUAGCUUCAUCUAUUGGGUAGCUAUGGACAAAAUAUUGUUAACGAUGGAUAGAUUGGCUCGAUUGGGAAUAUGCAAAGAAAACUCAUGUGCCAAAUGUGGGGAAGCCAUUGAAACAAUUGACCACCUAUAUUUUGAAUGCCCAUUCUCAAAAACAUGUACACUGGAAGUGCUGCAAUGGUUGAACAUGGGGGUCCGGCAAUGGGACUUGAAGGGUCUCUGGAGACGUAUGACUAGAAGAAUGCAAGGCAAAGUAUGCAGGCAAUUAAUAAUAUCGAUAAUGGUAGCGGUGGUGUACCACAUCUGGAGAGUAAGGAAUGUUGCUAAUUGGGAUCAUAGAGUCCCCACAUGAUUGUCAAUAAUAUUAAGCAGGAAAGCAAAUAGAAGAUACAUGAUAUACUUGUUUGGAGAUCCUUAAGACAUAAUUAGAGAGCAUGGGUAGAAAGAUUAUCAUAAAUAGGAGUAAUUGUAUAGCUGCUUGAUAUGGCCAGAAUAGAACAGAAAUGCUAAUAGAAAAGGGGGUUGAGUGAGGAAGGAAUAUGGGGGAUUCAAUUGUAAAGUUUUUGUGCUGGUGAUCGAUAAAAUUCUUUUUUUCACCAAAACAACAACCUUUUAGCGGUUAUACAUGUAUAGGGUAAAAUAUGUUAUAUUAAAUGAUCGCAUGAGGAAAUGACACGUGGAGACGAAGACAGUAGAUAGCUGAAACUGAAGGCAACGAUCUCGUCUGUUAUCGUAGAGAAUGAUAUUCAUAAAGAUGAAAUAAACGCAUUCCACCCGGUAGCAUUUAAUGAAGAUUAUUCUACAGCAUUAAGAAUACUGCCUGUUACAAGAAAUAUGAUAUUCAUUGCGGCGCCGUUAGACAUUCUUCAAUGGCCCUCAUAAUUGACACUAAAGAGGGGCUUGAUCCUAGGAUAUUGUUCCCUAGGUGUAGCUAUAAAUAAUGAGCUCUAUUAUCAUUGUAGUUUCUGGAAAACAUAUGCUACACUCUAUUCAAAGCUUAAUAUAAUUUUAUCUUCUUGUUUUUUGAUAUCAUUGUUGUUGUGCCCGGAAGCCCUGCUCCCGCAAUUAUUAUUUCUACUAUUUCGUCUCCAUCUCAAGGCUAAGUAUUACAUUUUUAUCUAAUUCAUCUAUUAUUUCAGGAUCAAAUUAAUUCACUUUUCUAAAAAUUACGUAUAAAUUCAACUAUAUCGUUUUACGGGUAAACAGUUUGGCACCCACCGUGGGGCCUAGACAGUUGUGUAAUUAAGUCGGUCCCUUCCUUUUUUUUACUAACAUGUUUAAUCAUUUGUUCUUAGCAAAAAAUUAUAAAAAAUGACAGAUAAUGGUGUUAACUACACACACAACCUUGAGGCCCAAGGAAAUCAGCCUCAGCACGAAGAUUCAAUUAGUGUUACCCGCAGUAAGGGGAACGAGGCCACACCAGUCCACGGCAGGCGGUACCCGCGACAUGUUCGGGAGGCGACUCCUAAUAAUGCGGAAGAAGAGUCGUUGAAGCGGUAAGGGUCCUGCAGGAACAACAAGAGGUCAUUCUAGGCCAUCUCACGCAGCAGGAUAAGGUUAUGACAGAGCUAAAAUAUGCGUUAUCGGGUGCUUCCAAUAACGUGAAUGGACGAGGUCCAGUCCCUCCCGGUGAUCCCGCAAAUCAAACAAUGCAGAGGGUCGACAAAACACCCCGAGAGGCGAGGUCGGCUUUGAUGGGGUUGGGGGAGCAAAUCUGGUCAUAACAACGAUAGUGAUCCCUUCAAAAACGAACUCAUACGAUUUAUGAGGGAAGUGAAGGCCUGCAUGGACCAAAUCCUUUGUGCACCACCGGUGCUGAAAGGACUAUGCUAAAAGAACUACACUCUAUUGCCGUACAAACCAAGCGCGUCACCAGAAUUGAUCCCGUAGCGGUUUAAAAUUCCUGACGUACCGAAAUAUGAUAGGACUUCAGACCCUCAAGAUCAUAUCACCACCUAUACAACAACGGUGAAGGGUAACGAUUUAGCUCCCCACGAGAUUGAAUCAGUUUUGCUGAAACAAUUCGAAGAGACUCUCACGAGGGGAGUCUUGACAUGGUAUUUGUUGUUGCCCGAGCAUUCUAUAGACUCAUUUGAGAUGCUCGCAGACUCUUUCAUUAAGGACAAUGCUGGGACCAGAAAGGUGUAGGCCCGAAAGGCCGAUAUAUUCAGGAUUGCACAAGGAGAGUCUGAGUUGCUGCGAGAAUUUGUAACCCAGUUCCAGAAGGAAAGGAUAUUGCUCCCGGCCAUUCCGGAUGAAUGGGCCUCUGAAGCAUUCACCAAGGGUUUGAAUUCGAGAAGUUUUUAUGCUUCCUAGAAGUUAAAACAAAGCUUACUCGAGUUCCAAGCGACGACUUGGGCGGAUGUUCAUAACCGGUAAGAGUCAAAGAUAAGGAUUGAGGAUGAUCAGCUUGUCUUCCAGCAUUGGUUAAAGGUCGGGAGAAGAAUAAAGAGAAAUCAAAAGACGAUUUUGACACAGAUAGACGGUCUUCGAGGAGCCGGGUUUUGCCUUAUGAACGGGCCGAUGGAUGCGGCACAAGCUUCCAAUAUGCAUAUAGGUUUGUUACUGAUAGAAGGAUUGAUCGCGGCCGGAACAACAGGUCGUUACAGGACAAGGAAACGUCAGGUUCUCGAGACCCUUCCUACCCCAGACUUUCAGAAUACAACUUUAACGUCAGCAUGGUACAGUUAGUAUCAGCUAUGAAGAACAUUAAAGAAGCACGGUUCCUAAAGUCUAUGAGGUCCGAUCCAAGCCAGAGGGAUCCUAAUUUAUGGUGUGAAUACCACGGGAUGAACAGUCACCGGACUGGGGACUGCCGGCAUCCGCACGAAGAAGUGGCGAUACUGCUGAAAAAUGGCCAUCUCAGGGAGUUCCUAAGUGACCGAGCCAAGAACAAUCACAGUCGCAAUCAUGACAACAUGGAUCCCUCAAAAGCAGGAGAAGAUCCCCCACGCCUGACGAUCAAUAUGAUUUUUAAGGGGAACGAGAUUAACAGGGUUACCUUUUCGGCAGCAAAAAAAGAUGAAGGUAUCAGUAACCCAUAUCAAGAGACUCCGGGAAGUCACUGAAGAUGACAUCACUUUCACGGAGGAAGAUGCAGAUGGAUUGUUGCUACCAUACAAUGACGCAUUGGUAAUUUCUUUAAAUGUGUUAGAUUUUAAAAUCAAACGUGUUCUAGUGGAUCUAGGGUGUUCGGCCAAUAUUAUACAAUGGAGGGUAUUGGAACAAUCCAAACUUACUGGAAGCAUCAUUCAGGCCACAAAACUUCUCGCCGGGUUCAAUAUACCAAGCGUGACAACCCGAGGAAAAAUCAUGUUGUCCACGGACGCCGAGGGGGUGAUGAAGACGACCCUUUUCCAGGUGGUGGAUGGUGAUAUGGGCUACAACAUUAUCCUGGGAAUACCAUGGUUGCACGAGAUGAAGGUUGUACUAUCAACGUAUCACCAGUUGCUGAAAUUCCCAACUCCUGAGGGGAUUAAACAAAUAAAAGGCGAUCAACCGGUGGCAAGAGAGAUGAAUGUGAUUUCGGUAUCCAGUAGCAAAGAGAAGGAGCAUGCGGCAUAGCAAUUACAAGAACCGACGCCUACUCCCGAGUCAAGCAAAGUCAACCAGAGGGAAGAGACGUCGGAAUCUUAUCAAGUGCCAAGAUAUUUCCAGGUACUAGAAGAGAUGAACGCAACAAAGUCCACAGCGGAAAAUCUUGAGCAAGUCCUGUUGUUCAAAAAGUUCUUGGAGAGGAAAUUUCACUUGGGGACAAGACUGCACCCCGAGCUCAAGUCCGGGUUUAUUGAAUUUCUUAAAUUUAAUGUCGGUUGUUUUGCGUGGUUGCAUGCGGAUAUGACAGGUAUUCCAACGGAAGUGGCCGUACACAAGUUAAGCCUAGAUCCUAACAUUCUUCCGGUAAGAUAAAAAAAAAUGUCAUAUCAUCGAGGCCAGAAAUAAAUUCGUCAAGGAAGAGGUAACUCGCUUACUUAAUAUCGGUUUAAUCCGAGAGGUAAAGUAUCCAGACUGGCUACUAAUGUAAUAGUAGUUCCUAAGAUGAAUAAUAAAUUUUGCAUGUGUGUAGACUAUAAGGACUUGAAUAAGGUGUGCCUAAAGGACUCAUUCCCAUUGCCAAACAUCGAUCAAAUGAUUAAUGCAAUGAUCGGGUAUGAGUUAAUGAGUUUCCUCGAUGCUUACUCUGGGUACAACCAAAUUAAGAUGAACCCGGAAGAUCGGGAAAAAACUUCAUUCUUAACAAUUUUCGGCACAUACUGCUAUAAUGUGAUGCCCUUCGGGCUAAAGAACGCUGGAGCCACUUGUCAAUGGCUCGUAAAUAAGAUGUUUGAAAAACAGAUAAGGAAAACCAUGGAAGUUUAUAUAGACGAUAUGCUUGUUAAGUCUUUGAACGCAUGUGAUUAUCUUAAAUACUUGCAAGAAACUUUUGACAUCCUAAGGAAGCAUGACAUGGAGCUUAACCCCGAAAAGUAUGUGUUCGGGGUCAGCUCCGGCAAGUUCCUGGGGUUUCUGGUGUCACAAAGGGGUAUUGAGGUUAGCCCCGAUAAAAUCAAAGCCAUCAAAGACAUCCCAGACCAGCUAUCAAGCGUAAAACAGGUUCAAAGGCUUAUAGGGAGAUUGGCCGCUUUGAGCAGGUUCAUUUCUCAGUCUUCAGAGAAAUGCCACUAUUUCUUCUUCUGCUAAAUAAGAAGAACAACUUCGAAUGGACCACAGAAUGUCAGCAGGCUUUGAGGUAAUUGAAAUGAACUCGGACUUUAUGGCCGAUUUCAGCCCGGGAUUACUACCUCUGGCAACCAAAGAGGCAGUAAUGGCAUCAGAAUCAAUAUUAGAAUUUUGGACCCUAUUUAUGGAUGGAGCUUCCAACGUAAAAGGGUUUGGUCUUGACAUAGUAUUAACUACGCAUUCGAGAGAAACCCUAAGGUAGGCCAUAAGAACGGUUAUUUUAACUAACAAUGAAGCAGAAUAUGAAGCUUUGAUUGCAGGUCUCGAAUUGAUCCAAGAGUAGAUUCUGAGGUCAUAGAAAUCAAAUGCGACUCCCAGCUAGUGGUAAAUCAGGUCUAUGAGAUCUUUGAAGCCAAAGAUAAGCGCAUGUAACAAUAUGUAGCGAAGGUUCAGGCUUUGCUUGCUCGAUUCUGAGAGUGGUCAAUUACGCACAUCCCGGGGGAAGAAAACACGGAAGCAGGCGUACUAGCUUAUCUUGGCUCAUCAACGGAAAUAAAGGGAUCGAAUUCCUGUACGAUAGUAUAGCUUAUACACUUGGUUCUAGAUGCAGGUAGCUACUACGAGGUAAACACGACUAAUUUGGUCUGGAAUUGGAGGAAUGAGAUCAUUAAUUAUCUCGAGCACGGAAAAUUGCCUGACGCCAAGGCAUCCCGGGCGAUGCGCGCUAAAGCAAUACGAUAUAGCUUUAAAGUGGGCCAAUUGUGUAGGAAAUCUUUCCAAGGUCCGCUGGCCCGAUGUUUGGGAGCCUCCGAAGCCAAUUAUGUCAUGCAAGAAGUCCACGAAGGAAUCUGUGGAAAUAUUUCGGGUGCAGAUUCCUUAGUACUAAAGUUUAUAAGGGCAUGAUACUAUUGGCCCCAAAUGGAACAAGACACCAAAUCUUUUGUACAAAAAUGUGAUAAGUGUCAACGCUACGCUUCGUUGGUACAUUAACCACAAGAACCAUUGCACUCAUUGUUUUCUCCAUGGUCGUUCAUGAAGUGCAGAAUGGAUAUUGUCGGACCACUGCCGCCGACCCCUAGUAAGGUAGGGUUUCUUUUGAUUUUAACUGACUAUUUUUCUAAGUGGGUUGAAGCAAGUCCUUUUAGAAAUUGGCGAACGUGAAGUGGUGGAUUUCUUGUGGGAGAACAUAAUUUGCAGAUUUGGGAUACCAAAAGAGAUAGCAUGCGACAACGGGCCACAAUUUAUAGGUGCUAAGGUCACAAAGUUCCUUGAAGACUUGAAAAUCAGAAGGAUCACAUCCUCACCCUAUCAUCCGAGUGCAAAUGGUCAAGCGGAAUCAACGAACACAGUGAUUAUAUAAAAUCUCAAAAAGCGAUUGGAAGUAGCUAAAGGUAGAUGGCCUGAGGAACUGCCCGGAGUACUAUGGGUGUAUCAAACAACGACCAAAUCGAGCAUAGGAGAGACUCCUUUCUCCCUUGUGUACGGAGCAGAAGCCUCGAUCCCGGUGGAAGCAGGGGAGUUACCUUGAGAUACUUCCAGGCAAAUAAAGAAGCAAACAACGAAGUAAUGUUGAUCAAUUUGGAGCUUCUCAAUGAGCGCAGGGACUUGGCGCAUAUAAGGAUGGCAGCUCAAAAGCAGAGAAUAGAAAGAUAUUAUAAUCGAAGAGCCAACCUCCAUUAUUUCAAAGUGGGAAACUUGGUUCUAAGGAAAGUAACUCAAAACACUGGGAAAAUCAAUACAAGGAAGCUAGGUCCAACAUGGGAAGGCACCUACCGGGUUUCAUCUAUCACCGGAAAAGGUUCAUACGAGUUGGAGAAUCAAAAAGGAUAAAAGUUGCCAAGCAACUAGAACGUGGUGCAUCUCAAGAGAUACUAUUACUGAUGAACAUCACUUAUACUGAAAGUAUGUGUUGCACUUUUUUUCCCUCCAUCCAGCUUUUGUCCCAAUUGGGUUUUUCUAGCAAGGUUUUUAAUGAGGCAGCAAUGAAAAACAUACUACGAAGAAGGUUUCAACAACAGCAACAAGACCUUUUAAUAACAAGGCACACAAGCGAAGAACCACUCUGGAGCGGUUAGAUAAUCAUUUGCUCGAUAGCAAAGUUCCCACCGGGAAGUUAUAUUUUCUAUCGAGCAAGGGUUACCCCACUGUUCACAAGUGCAAACCACUAGAGGAUUGUUAGAUAGUCUUUGGCUCCAUAGCAUAAAUUCCUAAGGGGAAGUAAAGUUUGUUAUCGAAUUGAAGAUUAUCUAGCAAUUCAUUAGUGGAAUCCUCGAAGGUGUUAAACUUACAGUGUUCCAAUUCGCCUUCUUCGCAUUCGAACAGGGAAGAAUAGUUAUAUCAUUGGACCGGGGACUGCGCGGCCAGCCCCGUAGAAACAAGUUGUACAAGUUAGCCACAAGAAAUGGUGAUUUCCUUUUAGCAUAACAAAUGCUUAUGUAAUUUUUGAAAAUGGGAGGAAUAAAGUAAAAUUCUUUUAUUUCUAUCUUGUUUCUUGUCUAAACGAUGAAUUGAUUUUUUCAUUUGAAAGUUAAACAAGUACUUCAAAUGCUAGUGCCGUAAUGAACAGGAGACGUCCUCUUCAAGAUCAUUGUAAACAUAAGGGGGCCCUCUCUUAUGAAAACCCUCACGAUAAAGGGUUGAUUUCGGAAGACCUUGUGCCCAAAAUCCAAAUGCUUUUAGGAGGAAAUACACCCAAAGCCUUACAUAAUCAGGCGCAAACAGUAAAACUUGCGCAAAACACUCAAACAAGAAAGGAUACAAAGAUUAAACUUGCAUAAAUGUUCAACAAAUGAACGCAGAAAGACUCAUGCAAUACUUGAAAAAAGGUGUUUUAUUUACAAUAAAGGUUCCAAAAUGGCACAAGUACAAAAGUUGGGAAAAGAGAUGAAAAGCUAAGCUGUUGCAUCUCCUGAACCCGGAGGAAGAGAAGCAUCUAGGCCCCAGGAGAAAUGGGUAGAUCCGCCACCGGCUCAAUAUGACCUUCAUCAUUUUGGCCUUCAACAUCUCUGCCUUCCGGUUCCUCUUCAGUUCCUAAGAAUUCGUAACCGGAACCAGAAGAAUCAGAAGCAUCAGGUCUGGCCGGAAGACCCCUUUUAGCAGACUCCAGCUCACGGGCUUUAGCGAUUUCAGCAUCAAAGUCAAUGACACCCGUUUUAUCCUCUUUGAAGGUUUUUCUCCUCAUGUUAUAACAUACAUUUUUUCAACAACGAGGGAAGCCACUCGUUUCUUGAGUUCUUCUUUAAGUUGGUCAACCUCGGUAGAAAGAUUUUCCCGUGUGGAUCUAACUGACCAGAGGCUAACAUCGAGAUCACGGACAGUAGAGAUGAAAAGCCUAUUAUGCUCAAUGGUUGCUCUUAUACUUCUCCUCCAAUUGGGCAAAUUUCACCCCGGCAAUAGCAAGCUCUUCAGUUUUGGAGUUCAAGGUUGCUCCAAAUUAUUUAAUCUUUUAGCGGAGGCAGCCUCAUGAUCGGAUGCAGCAAGAACGUCACUAUGGACUUCAACCUAUUUGGCCUUAGCCUCUUCAAAUUGAACCCUCAAUGGGGCGAUCUAUUGGCUAAGGGUCUCUACUUCUUGCUCUCUUUGUUGCAAACAAGCCUCCAACACAAUAGCCUCAGUAGCUUUGGCUUCCAGUUCUGAGAGGCAAGCAGUAGUUUGGUCCCGCUCGGCCAAAAGUUGAUCCCGCUCGGAGGUAAGUUCCUCCUUAUCCCAAAUCAAACUUUGAAGGCCCUAGAAAGCAAGGUAUUGGCCUGCGAAACAAAAACGCCAAACUCAAAUUACUACUAAAUCAAGGAUAGAAGAGAGAACAAAGGAAAUAAAGAGUAUACCGUUGUGAAGUUGUGCAUAACAUUGUUCAACAAGAACUCUCCCGAGAGAGCUUUUAUUUUUUCCCAAUCUUUUUCUAAAUCCAAAGGCUCCAGAUAGUUAGCGAGUUCUACCGACAAGGAAAACAGAUUGCACCCGGCAAAGACAGAGAGCAUAACGCUCCUCCUCCUUUGCGUAUCUUCUGAGAAGGUGGCAUAAUUUUGCCCCAAGUUCCCAUGAAUUGGGGAUUGGGGAUAGGAACAUCCUCUUCUCGGACAGAUGCGGCCGAUGGAGAUGAUGUAGCAGUUGUUGGUUGAAGAAUCAGUGAAGACGAAGAUGAAGCUAAUGGUGUUGAAGGAGGAGAAGUGGUUGCGGCAAGCGCAAUGCUGGGUGUUGGUUACUCAUCAACCGAAGAAAGCAGGAACCCGGUACUCAAUCUCAUAGUAUCGGGUGCAGUGAUUGUGAUCCGAAAACGAAAUUGGCAUUUUCCACCAUCUCAAACUCCCCCUAGAGCGUCGAGGCAUCAUCCUCGGUUGGUAUAACUAAGUCAACAAAUUGAGUAGUCUGUUGAGCUGAGGAAGGUCGUCGUCUUCUGUGUAGAGAAGCCCCUCCUCGCUGGCUUCCCCAUCAUCGUCAAUCAUCACGAUGUCUAUGGUCGGCCCGGGCGGAGGACUCAUCACCACAACUUCCGGAGAUGACUUGAGAGUGGCAUUCUUCGCCCUAUUAUUCUUUCCCCCAUCUGCGGAGAAACGUCUUCUUUUUAGUGGCUUGUUCUCCGGCCGGAGACUCCGGGAAGAAGCACACGCACCAGAAGUAGGCCCGAAAAUGCCUUUCUGUGUAAAAGCCUCCUGCAGCAACCUCUCUGUGUCAGCAGGAUUAGCCAAAACGUCCUCCUCAAGGAUGACAACUGAGCCCUGGGUAGACCUGAAUCCAACAGGAGAGAAGAGUCAAACAACUUCCUUAUAUGAAAAGGUAAAAACAAGAUGAGUUCAACUUACCAUUAUUUUUGGUGUUCCACCCAUAUUUUAAGGAAAGUUCUUUCCACGUGUGGGUUUUGGGCAUAGUAACGUCCAAACUUUUCUAGACCCAAUGGUCCAAGCCCUCAACCCUAGGUGGAACCCACCGAGUCGCUGAAAAAGGUAAAGGAAGAAAGAGUCAGUAAUAAUGUGAAAUGAUCUUUAACAGAAGAAGAAACAAAUGAUAGACUUACAUGUGCGGUUCCAUAAUUUCGAGAAAGACGGAGUCAUGGCCGGGAUGAUGUCACUGGUGGCGACUGAAAUGAAUUGUUCUAUCCACCCACGAUUGUUGUCAUCAUCCAUGAUGGAUAGCAGUGCAUGGUGGCCACGAUUGCUGAAAUUUAUCAUUCCCCCGCGGAAGCUUUUGGGCGAAUAGAGGUUCAUCACUCGAGCUAAGGAUAUCUCUUCUCCUAUCUCCUGGCACUAGCACCGAAGGCAAGAGAUUGUCCUCCACACAGAGGGACUUACUUGUGCCAAGCACACCUAAUAGAUGAGGCAUAACUCCACAAUGACAUAGUGUAACAACCCGGACGGUCAUUUUGAGAGUUAUAGCCUCGUUCCCUUAUUUACUAUUCAUUCCCUAAUUAAAUUUUGUUAUGUGACUUGCCGGGGUAGUUGGCUCGGGUUCGGAGAGGUUUCGAAAUGAAUUGAGACACUUAGUCUCAAGGUUGAAAGUUUAAGUUGAAAAGAUUGACCGGAUAUCGACUUAUGUAUAGAUGAAUGUGGAAUGGAGUUUUGAUGGUUCUAUUAACUCUGUUGGGCGAUUUUGGACUUAGGAGCGUGUCCGAAUAGUAAUUUGGAGGUACGUGGUUGAUUUAGGCUUGAAAUGGCAAAAUUCGGAAAUUUAAAAGUUUGAUCGGGAGUGGACUUUAUGACUACCGGGCUCGGAUUUGGGUUCCGGGAGGUGGAGUAGAUUCGCGGUGUCAUUUGUGACUUGUGUUCAAAAUUUGAGGUCAAUCGGACGUGAUUUGAUAAGUUUCGGCGUCGUUUGUAGAAGUUGGAAUUUCUUAGUUUCAAUAGGAUUAAAUUAGGGUGUGAUUCGUGUUUUUGAUAUUGUUUGAUGUGAUUUGAGGGCUCGACUAAGUUCAUAUCGUGUUUUAGAAUUAUUGGUAUAAUUGGUUGAGUUCCCGGGGGCCUUGGGUGGAGUUCGGAUGGUUAACGGAUCGAAUUUGGAGUUUGAAAGAUUGUUGAAGUUGGGAGUCUUCUGGUGCAAUCGCACCUGUGGAGCUUUGGUCGUAGGUGCGAGCUCGCAGGUGCGAGCUCGCAGGUGUGAGAAAAGGAGCGCAAGUGCAUCCAUGGAAGGGUUGUGCAGUGGUCGUAGGCACGGAAGGAGUUCCACAGAUGCGGAUGUGCAUCUGCGCGAGGUUGACCGCAUAAGCGGAUUUGGCUAGGCAGCAAGGGCGUCGCAAAUGUAGAGAAGGCUCGCAGAUGCGGUCCUGCAGGUGCGAGGCUGGGACCGCGGGUGCGAUGGGUUGCCAGUUAAGUGGGUUCCGUAUGAGCGUGAUUUUUUCGCAAAAGCUGAUGCGUAGGUGCGAGCCCAGGCUCCACAUGUGCGGAAAUGCCUGGGGCAGUAUUUAAAUUCGAGGGUUUCCGAGAUUUUCUUCAUUUUAAACAUUUCAAGCUUAGGAUUUGGCGAUUUUGAGAGGAUGUUCGAGGGGUUUAUUGAGGUAAGUCACUUGUGGUUAAAUCUAUUCAAUAAUUAUGUUUUCCCAUUGAAUUUCUCACCUAGAUUGUGUGGUUUUGAGGUGUAAUUUGGGGGUUUGAGACUAGGGAUUUGGAGAGUUUAAAUUGGGGGUUUGGGUGUCGAUUUGGUGAUGGAUUUUGGUAAAUUUAGUAUGGUUGGACUUAUAGUGGAAUAAAUUUCUGGAUUUUGUGACUUCUAUUGGAUUCCGUGACGUGGGCCCGGGGCCGACUUUUGAGUGGACUUUUUGACUUUUAAUUAAAAGCUUAGUAAUUUCAUAUGGAAUUGAUUCCUUUAGCUCGUGUUGAUUGUAUCGAACUAUUUGUGGCUAGAUUCUUGGCAUUUGGAGGCCAUUUUGCGAGGCAAGAGCUUUUUGGAGUAGAGUUUCGUACGGUUUGAGGUGAGUAACACUUUUAAGCCUGGUUCUGAGGGUGUGAAACCCCGAAUUUCGUGUUAUGUGAUUAGUGUUGAGGUGACGCAUGUGCUAAGUGACGGGCAUGUAGACGUGCACAAUAAGAAUUGUAACUUGGUCGAUUCCAUGGAACUGAAAAGUUGUUAAAUCUUGUUGCUACCCGUAUUCUCACCAUGUGUUAGAUCUAUUGAGCUGUCAGUCAUGUUUGAAACCCUGCUUAGGCUAUAUGAUGGUACUAUUGGGACCCACAGUGGUCAUUUUUUGCUGUAGAACUAAUUGCUUAAUCUAUCAAUUUAUACUCAGUCACAGUUAUUACUUGCAUAUUAUGUCUCAGUCUCUGUUGUCUUUACAUAUUAUAUAAUAUCAUCAUUUGUAGGCUGAUUAUCAUGAUUCUGGUAAGCCCGAGAGACUAGAGAGAUUAUUGGCUGAGUGGAGCUGAGGUCCUAUUGUGAGUGAUAUUUAUGGGAUCGGGCUGCACACCGCAACAGGAUUUAUUGAUUGAUGCCAUGAUUUGGCUUAUUAUAGCGCUUGGGCUGGAUCGCCCCCUCCAUAGUCUGCACACCCACAGUGGGCGCAAUGCUAGCAGUUAUGACAUUUGGGUUGGAUAUGCCCUGUUUACUUGUAUUUGGGCUGGAUCAGCCCUGCUUUAUUUGCAUGUGGGCUGGAUCUGCCCUGUUAUAUGUUAAAUUUUGUUGUGAAAUCUGAAAGCAUGUCUAAGUUCUUAUUGAAAGCAUGUCUAAAUGCUUGUACCUUCACUUGCAGAAUAUAAAUAUCUGAGAUAUCAUUGUCAUAAUUUUUUAACUUUUCGUACUGUUAAAUGUUGAAAGUGGACCGUAAUAAUUGGACUUGUUACUAUUUUCAGUCUAAAGAUUAGAUUUUUUACUUAUUGAGUUGGUUGUACUCAUACUACACCAUGCACCUCGUGUACAGAUCCAGGUACUUCCUAUUACGGCGGUUGUUGAUUUGCAGAGGUCAAACUAUCGGAGAUCAUCGAGGUAGCUGCUUGGCAUUUCACAGACCUUGACUCUCCUCCCUUAUCUUUCAGUUUACUUAUUCAGUAUUACUCUUAGACAGUGUACCCGACUUUGUCUCUUCGUAGAUGCUAAUGUACUCAGUGACACCCCGAUUUUGGAAAGAAUUUAUGUAUUGAGUUAUGAUUUUCUAUCCUGUUUUAAGAGAUUUUCCUUUAUUUAAAUUGUUUUAGUAUCUGUUAAAGAUUUAAAGUGUUGGAAAUGUCUGAAUAGUUGGCUUGUUUAGUACCAUGAUAAGCGCCAUCACGACGGGUUGGUUUUGGGUCGUGACACGGAGUCAAGCUCCCGCUCAAAGAAAAUACUCCAAAAGUGAAGGAAUACGUGUAAAAGUAUGUAAAACCCUUCUUGGGUAAAGUUAUCUGCUCCACCAGAUCGGGAGAGAUAAUGUCCAAUUCUUGACAGUGGCAUUCUUCCUUCAUAGCAGGGAUACUGGAAGGACGGAUAGAAGAAGGAUAUACGUUAAUAGCCCACGUACGAGGGUGAGCAGAAGGGUAUUUUUCUUCGAAAUCUUUGGUGGUAAUAAGGUUCUUUGGGAUGAUGGUACUCAACGUAGGGGGAACAGCAUCAUCAGUUUUGCUUUUGUUCUUUAAAGAACUAGGGUUUCUUGAAGAGGGGGCCUUUUUUUUUAUCAGAAAGAGGGUUUUCUCUCAAAGAAGGAAGAUAAAGAAAGGUUAAAGUCGAAGUACGAGUUGAGUAAAGAAAGUUUUAGAAGAUUUAGAGUAUUAUGAAGUGUAAAUGAAGGAGGUUGAUGCAUAUAAGUAAAGGUAUAGGCGGCUAAACUCGUGGCCAUAAUUACCUCGAUAACCGACAAAAGUUAUGCUAAAUCAUGGGAUGACGCGUGUUCGGGGCAUUUAAUGCGAAGAGACAUGCGUCUAAUCAAUCGUCAGAAACCUUUUAGAGGGGUCAGUAAAUUUCCCGCCAAAAAGAAAGUUUCUACCAAGUUCCCAGUGACACAAAGGUAUGCCACUGAAAAGUAGGAGGACUAUAUGUAUAGGGUAAAAUAUGUUAUAUUAAAUGAUCGCAUGAGGAAAUGACACGUGGAGUCGAAGACAGAAGAUAGUUGAAACUAAAGGCAAGGAUCCCAUCUGUUACCGAAGAGAAAGAUACUCAUAAAGAUGAAAUAAAUGUCUGUCACCCGGUAUUAUUUAAUGAAGAAUAUUCUAUAGCAUUAAGUAUAUUGCCCGUUACAAGAAACAUGGCAUUCACUGCCCGUCAUUACACAUUCUUCAAUGACUCUCAUAAUUGACAUUAAAGAGGGGCUUGAUCCCGCGAUCUUGUUCCAUAGGUGCAGCUAUAAAUACUGAAUUCUAUUAUCAUUGUAAAGGACACAGAUUUUCUAGCAAACAUACGCUACACUCUAUUCAAAGCUUAAUAUAAUUUUAUCUUCUUGUUUUUUGAUAUCAUUGUUGUUGUGCCCGGAAGCCUUGCUCUCGGGAUUAUUAUUUCUGCUAUUUUGUCUCCAUCUCAAGGCUAAGUAUUAUAUUUUUAUCUAAUUCAUCUAUUAUUUCAGGAUCAAAUUAAUUCACUUAUCUAAAAAUCACGUAUAAAUUCAACUGUACCAUUUUACGGGUAAACAACAUAUAAUAAAAGUCAUAUAUGGAUAGAAGCACUAGGUCUACCGGAAAUAACUUACGUGCAACUGAUAAACACACCAAAGUAAUAAGGGGUCAUUUGUUUGGAGGAAUUAAAAAAAAGUUUAGAUAAAAAUCAACAUGAAAUAAAUAAAAACUUUUAGCUGAAGAGAUUAGAAAAUAAAAUUAAAUGGCUAUAAAGUGGAAAAUGCCUACAUAACUUUCUAAUUAUUAUUAUUAUUAUUAUUAUUAUUAUUAUUAUUAUUAUUAUUAUUAUUAUUAUUAUUAUUAUUAUUAUUAUUAUUAUCAUCGCCUAAUUUCACUGCAUAAUACUCCUCUGAUAAUUAUUAUUUGUCGAAUCGCGAUCUUUAAGAACAUGACAUGUAUCUGUAUACGGAAUUUAUCACCCAAUAAUCAUGACCCGUUAAUUUAUAUUCUUACCUUAAAUUAUUAAUGUCGGGUUUUAGUUCAAAAAUUGAGGUGAAUAGAAAAUGGAGGAAAAAAAUAAAAUUUUGAUUUUCACUCCUUUACAAAGGAACAAUAUCCCAUAUUGGCGGAGAAAAGCUCAUUUGUUAAGUAUAUAUAUAGUUGCACUUUUUCUAGCUCUUAAAGAGUUGAGAAGAAGUCAAGUCUUGCAUUGUCGUUGUUGGCUCGGCUUUGGAUUUGACCUGAUUGAUUAGUUUUUUUGACCAAAUUUAUUUGUUAAAUAGUUAAAUUAAAUUAGUAUUUCAAUCCAAAUCAACCGUUUACGUAAUGGUAAUUUGAAUUUCCUCUAGUUUGAGUUUUUCAUUUUAUUUUGCGUAAAUAGCCAUUUAUGUAAUAGUCGGUUUACGUGAACAAUCAUCAGGACGAGUUGCACCUCUUCGUUUGAACUCAACUGAACAAUCAUCAGGACGAGUUGCACCUCUUCGUUUGAACUCAACUUGUUGGCUAUAAAUCCCAAGCCAUUCCCUCAUAUUUUUCUUACAAAAAUUCUGAAUUCUCUUUCUUCCUUCUACAUUAUUUUUAACUUAAACAAAGCAACAAUAAGUAACUACCGAUUAUUUGUGUUCGCUGAAAUAUUGGGGUUUGAAGUACCGCUACACCAGCGUGUAAUCCGUUCUAUCCUGAGAGAAAAUAAUCCACAACCUCGGAUAUUAGGAGGGGAUUAAGUUCCUUAAUGAAACACUGUGAAUUCAAUGCGCUCGAAUUAAUUUCUAUUUCUUCUACCUUUCUGAUUUUAAGUUAUUUUUGUUAUUGCUUUACAAAUAGAUAAGACUAACAAUUAAUACUUAACAUUAAUAACUAAAUUUGAGAUUACAAUUUUCGGAUUAUCGGGAUACAAUGUAGUACCCUCACUUUUUCGAAAUAAAGUUAGCAUUCUUUAUUGGCGGCUAACAUAUUUUGCUUUUCUAUUUGAUGUAAAAAUAAAAAAGAUAAGCACACUCGGUAUUUGCAUAAUAAUAAUAAUAAUAAUAAUAAUAAUAAUAAUAAUAAUAAUAAUAAUAAUAAUAAUAAUAAUAAUAAUAAUAAUAAUAAUAAUAAUAAUAAUAAUAAUAAUAAUAACGAACAGAAAUAUGUCUUUUAAUUUGUGUAGUCAUUGUAUGCAAUGUUCAAAUUGAAAUAUUUUAAUCGAAAGACCAAAAACAGUAUGACGACCACACGGCUCUUUCAUAGAAAAUUUCGUGAUUCCUCUUUAAGUCUAAAUCAUGGAACAAAAAAAUAUCCAAGUGGAUAACUUUAUAUGGCUAUAAAUUUGAGCCUUGUUCCUGCUGUUUUUGUAUCAAUUUAGCUAACUAUUCUAGAAAGAGAAAGCAGCCAUGGUGUCCACUACCUCAAGUUUUCUACUUCUUGUUCUUGUUUCUUCUUCCUUCUUUGUAAUAGAAGCUCAGAUACCUGCUCCAGUGAAAGGUCUUUCAUGGAAAUUUUAUGAAUCUAGUUGCCCUCAGCUUGAAUCCAUUAUUCGGAAGAGGCUUCAAAAGCAGAUCAAAGAUGAUGUUGGUCAAGCUGCCGGUUUACUUCGCCUUCAUUUCCAUGAUUGCUUUGUUCAGGUAAUUUUAUUUAUUUUUUGAAAUGUUUGUAUUUAUUAAUAUAUAUGGUCAUGAUUAAAAAAAAACUACCUUUUAAUUAGUUAUCUUUGAUAUAGUGAUAUUUAAAAGUAGAUUAAUUUCAUUAUUGGUAAAUAUACAUUAUUGUAGGGAUGUGAUGGUUCGGUUUUGCUAGAUGGUUCAGCAGGAGGGCCAAGCGAACAGACUGCAAUUCCUAAUUUGACCCUAAGAAAGAGAUCAUUCAAGAUUAUUGAUGAUCUUAGGAAAAGGGUUCACGAUGCAUGUGGGAAAGUUGUGUCUUGCUCUGACAUUACAGCUAUUGCUGCUAGGGACUCUGUUGUCUUGGUAAGACCAAAAUUACCAUUUAGUCCAUGCUAAUCUUGCUUUAGAUCAUGUUAGUUUAUUUUUACUAAUCAGAAACUCUUCAUUUAAUUUUCAUAACUAUAUUUAUAUAAUUGAGCAACUCACUCUUAACUACUUCUAUUAUAUGUACCUAUAAGUUAAGUUAGACUCAUUUGUUAACGGCCUAGGAAAUUGAUUCACUCCUCAUUCUCUUGCAUAAAUAAAGCUAGCUAUGGGCCGGAGCUGCAACACGUUCUUUAAAACCUAGUAGCUUUUGUCUAAAUUAUUUAUUUGUUUUAAAGAAUGCAUCGAAUAGUACUAUUAAUUAAUUUGAUAGUAGCUUAAUUUACUAUCAAUAACUUAAUUAAUUACUUAUGAGAUUAUGUUCCUUUCAGACCGGUGGGCCCAACUACAAUGUGCCCUUAGGAAGAAAAGACGGACGGACCUUUGCAACAGAACAAGCAACCUUAGACAACCUUGUUGCACCAUUUGCCAACACUACAGUCGUCCUCAGUCGCCUUGCAACCAAGGGUUUAGACGCCACCGACGCCGUCGCUCUAUCCGGGGCCCACACCAUCGGAAUCAGCCACUGCACUUCCUUCACCGACCGUCUCUUCCCUAACCAAGACCCAACCAUGGACCAAACAUUCGCUAACAACCUUAAAACCAGUUGUCCAACCGCGAACUCCAACAACACUGUCGACAUGGAUAUCCGAACUCCUAAUUUAUUUGAUAACAAAUACUAUGUUGAUCUCAUGAAUAGGCAAGGGCUUUUCACUUCUGAUCAAGAUUUGUUCACUGAUACAAGGACUAGGGGAAUUGUCGAGAGCUUUGCUAAGAACCAGUCACUGUUUUUUGACAAGUUUGUGAUUGGUAUGAUCAAAAUGGGACAAAUGAACGUGUUGACCGGUGGAAAUGGUGAAAUUAGGACCAAGUGUGAUAGGAGGAACAAGAAUAAGAAGUUUGACAUUGCUACUGUUGUUGAAGAGUUGGAGGAAACCUUCUCUGCUUUUUAGUCUUUUGUUUUUGUUUCAAAAAAGCUUUUUAUUGCUUUAUUUGUAAUAAUGAGUGUCUUAGCUAGCGUAAAUUCAUAAUAAUAACCUUUUAUUUUGUGAUGUAAUGUAAGGGCAUGUGUUUGUGAGCUCCUUUAUUUUAUUUUAUUUCCUUUUUAAAAAGUUUGCAUUGCUAGCUCCAUGGCUGGGAAUCUAGUUCUGGUGAUGAUGACGAUGGUAUUAAUUAAUUUUCAAAUUGCAGCUUUUCCAGCUGAGACUAUUGGAUUGAUUUUUCGGAAAACUAAUUUAAAGUUGUACAGUCAAAUUACUCUAUAACAGCCUCGUUUAUUCGUUAUAGCGAGCAUAUAUUAUAAAAUAACAUAAAAAUUCGUUCCAGAAAAAACUUGGUUUUUAUAGUGAAGUAUUGUAUAUAAGGAUGUUGUUAUAGAGAGAUUUGACUGUAAUAGGAAACCUAAAUUACUUAGGAUUUGAUAUUUGUUAGUUUAUUUAAUUCAUAUCUAAAUAUGAUUUGUAGUCAAGAAUUAAUAUAGUAUUAAGUUUUCCUAUUUUUAGUUAAAUAGUUUUCAACUAUUAUAAAUUGAGGUAUAUGUAGCUUAUUUUAUGUGUGGAAGAAGUGUGAAGAGAAGUGAGAACUGUAGGCUUCCAGAUAAAUAUAAUAAAGUAUUUUUCAUUAAUUUAUUAUCCAUUUAUUUCAGCCAAUGAUGAAGGAUUUUAAGAUAAACCAUUGUNNNNNNNNNNNNNNNNNNNNNNNNNCCCCCCCACCACACACACACACCAUUAGAUCUAGAUGUUAGGCAUUUCUUGUCAACAAGAUAUAAUAACUUUGACUUAAACUUUGUAUAUUUGUUGUAAAAUUUAUUAAAUAAGUAUAAAUAUUAGAUUCAUACCCCCUAAAUCUAAUUGAAAUGUCGUAAAAUUCCAAAUUCGAGCCAUUGACAUAACGGAUAUCGUUUCUUGUCUAUCUCUUUCUAUUUCUUUUCUAUAUAUGAAAAGUUCAAAAAUCAUCAUAUAAUAAUCCAGAAAUUACAAUAGAAAAGAAAUAAGGGAAGUUUGUUUUCUUGUAUGAUGUUCAUCACAAAAUAUUUCUAGAUCUCAUUCUUACUAAGAAACUGAAAGAAGCCUUUUAUAGAAGCUUUCAUUUUCGUGCUUAUCUUAAUUAUUGGUUUAGUUUAUUUUUAUUUCAAAAAUAAAAAAGUAAAAAAUAAAAAUUGGGUUGCGCUAUAUAUAAAAAGAGUAUACAGAUUAAUUAGUGGAUGUAACAGACAAAUGAUUAAGUUAAAACGGACAGCUAUAUAAUUUUCACCGUUUCUCGUUGAAAUAAAAUAUAAUUUACCCAUCGGUAGAUCUAUUCCCCUCUCUAAGAAUAUAGUUAGUGAUGGCAUGUCCUCAUUUUUUGAUGCUUCAUUUUCCUCCACUUCUCCUCGUUUUACUUUGUUGUCGGCUUCUUUACUCCUAGUUUCUAACCUAAUACAUUGAACAUUUGGCCCCUCUAUCAACAUCAUAUCUAAUUUGUGACGUGAUUUGAUUUACAGAAAUAAAGGUAACUCAGUGAUGGAAGAAAGAUGGUGAAAAAGACGUGAGAUUCUACUAUCCGUUAGUGGAGGAAAACAAUUUUUAAAAGAAUAGAUGUAAUUUUUGGGAGAACUAAAAGUGUAAAAAUGUUGAAAAUAUGGAGGGCUAUUAGUGAUCAAGUGAAAAAAUAAAGAUGAAUCUGAGUCUGUGUCGAAACAUGAGGGACUAUUUUGGAUUGUUUCUCCCGCACGACAUAAUGUUAGUCAAAUAUUUUUGUUCUAUAGCCAAUUGCUUAGUUAGUCAUUAUCUUCAUUAUAUUUAUGAAGUAGGUAUAAGUUGUCAUUAUUUUAUCAUAAUUUGUAUCAGCAUCAUAUGUAUAAAGCGACAUUAUGAGAACACAGAAAACAUUUAUAGAGUAAAUUGAAACAUCAAGAUUAAUAGUCUAAAAUGUUAUCUGGUUUGAAUUAAUGCUUAAUUUGUUUACAUACAAUUCUUAGCUAAGAGGUAUGCAAGUGUAAAUAAAAAUUACAACUUGAAAUCAAAGAAUUUUGGAGUACGAAAAAUCAAUUGAAAGUGAUCAAAGACAAUUAGGAUAUGGUUGGUGCGAUGUAGUUAGUAAAAGUCUAAGGAGUUGUUCCUUGCUGAGAUCACACAAGCAUUUAUCAAUAUUUGCUCGCUUCUUGCACUUAAAAAUGUUGCAGCUUCUGGUUUUCUUAUUUGUUUUAUUGAAGUGAAAAAGGGAUGUCUCCGGAAUGCAAAUUUUAAUUUUUCGUAUGGGAUGGGGUUUUUUCACUUUUAACCUGCAUCGAAAAUUAUUUAUAUUUGGUAGCCGAAAAAAUAUAUAAAAUUUAUAUAAUUUUUGUAUAUAAUAUAUAUAUAUAUACAUAAAAAUAUAUAUUUUCGGCUAUUAUUUGAGAGAUGCUUAGAUUACCUCGUUGCUUGUUCUGCUUAAGAGGUUUAAUAAAGUUUCCCCUAACAGUUUAAAAGGCUAUUCGAAUAUUUUUUCUAAAAGGAAAUGUAAUAAAUAGGGUGCACCGGUGUCAAAUGUGGAUGGGUUGUAUUUUAACAAAGGUUGUAUUUGACGGGUUAAAAUAAGCUGAAUCAAUAAAUGAGUUGUAUUAUAAUGUGCCCAGUGGUUAUAAGGCAACCCGUUAUAUAAAGUAUUAUGUGUUCAUGAAGGGUCUAUGAAAGGGAUACACCUCAAUGGAUGUGAUAUACACAAUCUAUCUUAAUGUAAGCAUUAGUGGCCAGAGGCGGAUCCAAGAUUUAAAUCCUAUGAGUUCAAUUUUAAGAUUUUUAACAUUGAACCCAUUAUAUUUUUAAAGUUAUGGGUUCAUAUCUACUUUUUUAUAAUUUUAAUGAAUUUUUACAUAUAAAUUUUUAUUCCGCGUCGAAAGUUAUGAGUUCAGUUGAACCCGUAGCUAGUACGCUACAUCUGCCUCUGUUAGUGGUUGCUUCCAAACUCGAACUGUACUGACCUAUAGGUUACGUGGAGGCGAUUUACUAUUGCUACAAAGCUCUCUCUAAUAUUAUUUGGAAAAAAAUUCAAAUAUUUUCAUGAUUCACCACUCUGAAUAAACAAUUUCCAAGAAAACCUGAUAUAAGAAUUAUUACUCAAAUAUUUGUUUUUUACCCCUCAAUAGUCGAAGUUGCUAGAUCGUCCAGCAACACUAUAUUUGCUUCAAAAUUAAGUGUUGUUUAUAUGCUCUUCUUCAAGGUUUAAUUUAUCACCGUGCAUGCUUAUGAUAUAUACGUAUUUUGGAACAAAAAGAAGGUAUACUAUUAAGGUAAAAGAGGCAAUUUUUUAAAACCAUUUUUCCUAGCUUAUGGUACGUAUAUGACAGGCCAUUAAUCCUAAGGGUAAAAUUGAAAAAUAAUACUACUAAUAAGUAACUUCCUUCCGGCUAUAAAUAGACCCUAGUGAAUGUGAACCUUUAGCAAUAAUUAACCUCAAAAGAUCAGCAAUAAUGGCUUCAAUUACCCUUUCUUCUUUUGCUGCUUCACUUUUGCUGAUCCUUUCAGUCAACUUUUAUCAAACAGAAGCUCAAGGUACUCAACCAAUUGUGAAAGGUCUUUCAUGGACUUUCUAUGACUCCAUUUGCCCCAAUGCUGAAUCCAUCAUCAGAAGCCGCCUCCAGCAGGUUUUCCGGCAGGAUAUUGGCCAGGCUGCCGGCCUUCUUCGCCUUCACUUCCAUGACUGUUUUGUUCAGGUAUUUACCUAACUCUAAAUUCUAAAAUAUUUAUACGUUCAAGUCACUUAUAAAGUAACUUUAGGAAUAGUAUUAAAAAUCUUUAUGGUCAGUAUAUAACUUAAAUUCUUUCUCCAAUAUAAUGGAGAUAUAAACUGAUCAAUGAAGUUUCGAAGUUGGUUACAUUUGAUUUUCUUUAGUAAAACAUUCGUGAAUAGUGAAACAAGAAAGACACAAAGAGAGAACUUAAAGGUUUCAGUGAAGUUGUAACAUUGCACCUAAACGAUUCAAUGUAAGGUUAUAACGAACUAUGAUAUACAAACUUACAAGAUAAUUAUGUGCCAUUUUUGAUACACAGGGUUGUGACGGAUCAGUACUAUUAGAUGGUUCAGCGAGUGGACCAAGUGAGAAAGAUGCACCUCCCAACUUGACUUUAAGACAGCAGGCAUUUAGGAUCAUUGAAGACCUUCGCCGCCGUGUGCAUCGAGAUUGCGGUAGGGUGGUCUCUUGUGCGGAUAUCACUGCUAUUGCUGCUCGCGACUCUGUUUUCUUAGUAAGUUCACAUCACUAAAAAUUUACUCGCACCUAAUAUAUAUUAAAUCGUACUAUUUAUCAUGUUUACGUCAUAAAUUGAGGAUCCCCUUCCCUUCCACUUUGUACAUAUAACAAUCAAGUUCGGCUAGAUUGCUCAGAAGUCGGUAUAACAGCAAUUCUAUAUGAGGAUCCCACUUCCACUUCGUACAAAAUAUUCUUUUAACAUAUAACUAAACUUUUUUCUUUCAAGACCUUUAACUGAAGUUAGUUUUAAAGUUUUUGUGAACUUAUGACAUGAAGCAGAAGACUUUGUAGUCGUGGAAAAUUGGCCUAUAUUUUUUAGAAUGUUUGAGAUCCUUGUUUAAAAAUUUUGGAUAAGAUCGGACUCAAACUAGAUCAAGACUGUUCGAGUAGUUAAAGACCGUUCGAGUAACUAAAAGAAAAUUCGUGGCCAAACAACUCAGAAGCGUAUUUCUAAAGUUGUUCAAUGUGAUAAAGCUUUAUGACAAAUAAUUCAAUAAGCUAUAGUACAAAAGCUUCAAACAAUUGCCAAGUAUCACUUCUCAAUAAUGUUCGCAUUCAAGCGUCAAUGUCAAUGAGUUUUAGCUAGACUGACACACCAUUAAUACAAUGUCAAUAUCUCGGAGUAGCAGCUUUUUUUUUUUCAUUUUCUUUUCAAAUUUUAGACUCCGCGUUAAUUAGUUCCCCUCACCAUGAAGUGAAGAAUUAUUUUUUAAUUCUUAUAAAAAAGUUAAGAACUAAUAGGACAGUUUUUUUCACGUGACAAUUAUACGGCAUCAAAUUAGUUUGUAAUUAAUAUUUUUAUCAGGUUAUCAAUUACACCCAUUUAUGGGACGAACCUCGGAUUUCGAGAGUCAAACUUCUUAAUGUUGACCUUGAAUUUAGACAUAGAAAAUUUUUUGAAACAAAAUUUAUAUAUUUGGAAACUAAGUAAAAAUACUAUAAAUCACAAUAAUUAGCAAUCCAAAAUAUCUAAAAGCAUAUAAAAAUUGCGGUUAAAGAAAAAUUGAGAUUCAGAAAUUCGAACUCCGCCACAUAUAUUGGGACGGAGGGAGUAAUUUUUUACCAUAAAUAUUCAUAUAAUCAUGAUCUUAUAAGUUUAUUUGAUUAUGCAAAUAUUUUCUAAGUAUCCUUCGUAUUGAAAUUAAAGAAUUCAUCAGGCUUAACAUGAAGUAAUUAAUAUCUCUAUUCAUGGAUAAUAUUGCAGUCUGGUGGCCCUGAUUAUGAUCUACCUUUAGGAAGAAGGGAUGGACUCAACUUUGCAACAAGAAAUGAAACCCUAGCCAACCUUCCACCACCUUCAUUCAACGCUAGUGCCAUUUUAACUUCACUUGCCACCAAAAACUUCACCCCAACUGAUGUUGUUGCACUUUCUGGUGGCCACACCAUUGGCAUUGGACAUUGCACUUCUUUCACUGAAAGACUUUACCCUAACCAAGAUCCCUCGAUGGACAAAACAUUUGCCAACAACCUUAAAAACACUUGUCCAACCUCAAACUCCACGAACACGACUGUUCUUGACAUUCGAUCACCUAACAAGUUUGAUAACAAGUAUUACGUUGAUCUCAUGAAUCGACAAGGACUAUUCACAUCGGAUCAAGAUUUGUACACGGAUAGAAGGACUCGAGGCAUUGUUACAAGUUUUGCUAUUAACGAGUCACUUUUCUUUGAGGAAUUUGUGAAUUCCAUGAUCAAGAUGGGGCAGUUGAAUGUGUUGACUGGGACACAAGGUGAAAUUAGGGCCAAUUGUUCGGUCAGGAAUUCAGCUAAUUAUAAUUUGCUGCUUUCUACUUCUGUUGCAGAAGAGCAACAAAGAACUUGGUCAGAAAUAUAAUGUAGCCCUUUGUGGUUAUUCUAGCUACAUGUGUGUUGUCUUAUUUUUUGAAGGAUAAAUUAAGAAAGAGAGUACGUGCUAUGUUGGUUGUCUUUGUUUAGAACUAUGUGUGACAAGAAUCUUUGUGAAGACAAGUGUUUUGUCUGAGAUGUACUCUGUACUAUUCAAUAAUACGUAACACUUUCGUUACUACUUUAGCCAAUCUUAAUAUCUGUUACCCACGUAUUGUUUUGAUGAACUGUGUUUUAUGGUCUCGAUUAGUUUCAGACUUUCAGUCUACCAAAGCUGCUAUACGUGUAUCUAUAUCUGCACUAACCUUACUUAUAUUUAUACAGUAUGAUUUAUGUUAUUACGACUGUAUAAUGAAAUUUUACACUAUCAGUGAAAUCUAACUAGUUAUAUUAUGUUCUCACUUAAAAGAACAGAUUUGAUAUGAAAAGUUAUCAAUUGUAGUAAAUUUACACGAUUUGUAGAAAAACAUAUGCAUUGUUAAUAUACAAAACUUACUACAAUCUCCGACCCUUGCCUCCAUUUUCUCCUCCAAAAUGGAGUAAACUCCAAAAUAGAGUAAAGUUACUCCAACCAUUACUCCAUUUUUUACUCCAAAAAAAAUAUUCCAUUUUAUAUUCUUCUCUCUUCAAUAUUAUAUUAUUAUCUUUUAUUUAAAUUUUAUUUUUUAUUUCUAUUAAAGAAACUCUUAUCUUUUUUCUUUUUUUACAUAUUCAUCACAUAUAAUUUAUAUUCCUUAUAUAACCAUUUAAUAUAAAAUUAUUUUAUACCAUAAAUUUUUAAAGAAUAUAAUUUGUAAGCAAAUAUUAUAUAUUAUAUAUACUAACGGAUAAUUCAAAUAAAAGUGAAAUCAUUGAGAUACAAGAUAAUUAAAUAUAUAUUACAUUAUGGUAAAAUUCAGAUUAAAUACUACAUAAAUAUUCAACUUUCACCUCUAGUAUGCUCUCAUAAAUGAUCUAUUAAUGCAUUACGAAGUGCAAAAUGAACAUCUUUGUUCUUAAUUUGCACCAUUCCUAUUUUGAGACGAUUAUACAUUUUAUAGUUGUUAAUAAAAUUAACUUAUAAUUUUACAUAAAAAUAAUAAAUGCACGAAAAUUAAUUUAUCAAAAUUAUAUGCCAAAAUUAAGAUGUAAAAUUAAUAUUAUAAAGAAAUUACAUAAACAAAAUUAGAUAUAUAUAAAGAGAUAAAUUAAAAGAAUUAAAUAAUAAAAAUAAUAAUAAUAUAAUAGGGAAUAGUAAUAGAGGAGAUGAAUAGUGUCACUCCAAAUUGAAGUGCCACUAUUUAUCCCCAUUUGGAGCAAAAAAUAGAGCAGCAUUGGAGACCAAUUUUUCCAAAAACCAACUGUUGCUGUCGAAGAUGGCCUCAUAUUGUACCAUGUGUAAAGUAUUAAUGGUGCUUUAUAUGUGAGUGGGUCCAAUUUCUUAAAUUAUUGGUGAACCAGGCCCAUAUUAAAUGUCCCAAAUUCAUGAGGGGGGCAAAUUUAGUAUGUCAUUGUUAGAGAAAUGUAUGUCUUCGGUAGCUUCCAAAAAUAAUAGCCGACAACGUUUUUUUUUUUUUUUGCAUUCUAUAUACAGAUAACACACAUAUUUUAUAUAUUUUUGGCUAGCAAAUAUAAUUAGUUCUAACCGGCCGUCAAUUAUGUAUUUUUCCCCUUUUAUUAUUAUCAAGCAGUCAUGCUAAGAGUAUUUUCAUUUAUCAAACUUAAUUGACUCCUAAAGCAACACAAUGUAUUCAUAGGUCACUGAUAGAUCUUUGUCGAGAAAGAUACGAGGCCCUUGUUCUACUUGGGCGCCUAAAUGUUGGACAUCAUUAGAACUAAUCGAGAAGGAUUGAACCAAAGCCUAUAAUAUUUGUCAUCAAAUGGAUAAGUGAAUGAUGGGGAUGGCCCAAGUUUAGCCCAUUUUGUUUCCUAUCAAGUAGGCCUCCCAAGUCCAAAUCUGUUUUAACUUAGUUAUUGCUAUCGUUAUUAAUUAUGUUAUUAUUUUCUUAUGGGAGAAAUUCAAAAAUAGCCAGGUAUACAAGUGAUAAUUGAAAAAUAGUCACAGUUUCAAAAGUAAUCUAAAUUUAGCCAUUUUUCAUGUAUAGAUAAAUCUGAACGAAAAUACAGUUCAAAAUCCGGAAAAUAUUCCAGCAUAAUAUACUGGAGUUCCAGUAUAAUAUACCAGUCCAGCAUAAUAUGCUGGAAGUUCAUACACAAGUGCUCCAAUCUCCGGUAUAUUAUGCAGGAACUUUCCGCGUGUUGGAGUUCCAGCAUAAUAUGCUGGAAGUUCACCCAUGUGCAUCAAUCUCCAGUAUAUUAUGCUGGACCGGUCCGUGUUGCAGCAAAAUAGUGGCUAUUUUUCAAUGACUUUGCAAAUGCUAGCUAUUUUUGAAUUACAGUCCGAAAAUUGGCUAGCCCGUGCUAUUUUUACUUUUCUUCUUGUUAUUUUUACUCUUGUUGUUUUUCUUUUUUUCAUUUUUAUUCUUUUUAUUAUUUGUUUAAAUAGUGUACCGUUAUGUACUUUUAGGUGUCAGAAAGUAGAGAAAAAAAAGUGGAAAAAAUAAAUUAGAUCUCCCUCCUCGUCCAAACCCAUACAAUAUAAUAAAAGACUAGAACGAAGAAAAACCGAAACAAUGAAAAAGAAAAACCGUGUAUAUAGUCAGAUACCUUUAAAAAGUUAUGUACAUGAAAGGAAACGAAUUAUGUAAAUAAAAAUUCAUCUUCCUAUUUACUUAUUUAAUUUAAUCAAUUUAAUUAAUUUAGUUUAUUAACCUUUGUUUCAUUCUUUUGUACAAUUCACCUAAAUGCCGCUUGCCGGCGGUACUCUUCUUGAAACGCCGAAUAUGUAAUCAGAAUUUGUCUACUCCUCUUUGUUCUCAUUCUUUCACUCCCGUUAUAUAUUCUCACAGACUAGUUAUGAAAAUCACAUCCACAAAAAUAGCUAUACAUUUUGAAGAAGAAAAAACACUAGAGGAAGCAAAAAGAUGGCCAAGGCAAAUGACAGAGUUGCUACUAUGUUCAACGUCUUGACUUUCAUGAUCCUCUCACUUCUUCUCUUCAUCACUUUGGCCGAAAGCCAAGUCAUUUAUUAUGGUAUAAGACUUGAUCACUUGCUCUUCUAUUUCAAUCCCACAUUGGCACUUUACAAAGGCCUUAUAAUGAGGAAUUAAUAUUAUUUACCCUAAAAAUGAAUACCAAUUGAAUUUAUACGCGAUUUAAAGGAUACGUGAUUUAAUUUAACACGAAUGAUCUAAGAACAACAAAUAAUUAAAUUGAAAGAAAACAAAACGAUCAAACCAAGUGCGAUGGAUGAUUAAGCCUGACUUUACGAUGAACACCGCAAGUUGGCUCGGAUUAAGUCCUCGAAACGGGAUCGGUUGCAACUAAAUAAAUAAGCAGUUGGAGAACACUUUGAACAGUAAUUAGAGAACAAAUUUUAUUGCUUUGAUAUGCAUGCCAACAGUGGUCUUUUAAAAAAAGUUCUCCCUUAUAUAUAGUAGGGGAGUUUCAAUCAUUGUACAAGUCUAAAUAAGGUAAAAAUCUUUUUCUUCUGGUAAACCGUGAUAGGCCGUUGAUACACGGGCGAAAUUUGCACCGUAAUAUCCAGUUAAGGGCGGAUAUUUCGGCCCCUCGUUUGUCCUUUCCAGCAGUAUUUCCUCUAGUCUCGGUCCUUUAUUUUGCUUGAACUCGAUUCUUCCCAUAUUUGGCCGUGUCCGGUUCUUGGCACAUCAUUCAUCCUCCCCGGACUCUGAUCUGUGGGAGCCCUCGGCUUUACCCGAGGUCAUAUCAGAUCUCCUGUCCUCUCGUUCUUUUACCAAAAAAUCGGGGGUAACUGUAUUCCCGAUUUUAUCCGUACACAGAUAGUCCCCUCACUUUUCGGAGGGCAGAUUUAUAGGAACGACGAGAAGUGAUUAACUGAUCCCGGUUCCUUCUUCCGUACGCCGCAAGUGAGUUGACAAGUCAGUGAAACGUCAUAUCAGUCGCGUCGUUCUGACUUCGGACACAUGUCAGCCGCCGGUUGACUAUCCUCGAUGGGCAUCAAAUGCGAAACAUCACGCAUUCAUUAUUUCCCUCCUAUAAAAGCUCCGGUUUCUUUUUUUCGCUUUUUUACUUUCCGAUUACAAACCUUCUCAAGUUACCCUCGAAUUUCUUAAUUGUUCAUCAUUCCCUCAAAUCUUCACAAAUUAUUCUUCACAUCUUCAUUUCUUCAUCUUCAAUCUUCGAAUCUUCAUAUUUCGUCUUUAGAUCUUCAAGCUAGACCUUCAAAUCUUCAAAUUUUUAUAUCAGCCUUCAAACCAUCAUAUUCUUAGAUAAAGAUGGCAAAAACCUCAAAUUCAGUGCCUCAGAACACUGCUCCUUCAACCUCCACCCCGGUCACAGAUAUCGAAGUGGCCCUUCCGGUAGUAGCCCUGGAACCUCCUCUUAAAGAUUUUAUCCCUGGAGGCUGCUCCAUAAAUAACGACUUUAAAGUCGAAAAAGCCUCUAAAUAAGGAGAUCGAGGUGAGAAGGUGAGGAGGCGUGGAGGUAUAUCUGCUCCAUCACCGAAGACAUGCUCCUAACGGUCCGGGAACAUUGCAAGUGGGAAGGCAAGGAAGUAGUCAUCCCCGAUCUUGAUGAGGAUAUCACAACGCACGUGUAGGGGUACUUACGCGUUUAUACGUACCCCUUCACGCUUGGCCCGAUGGACACGGUGGUCCUCGACUUUUGUAAGAGGUACGAGGUCUGCCUCGGGCAGAUCCAUCCGUCCUUUUGGAGGAUCGUGACCCUCCUACGCCAUUUUGCCAACAAUACGGAGGAGCCCCUGUUCACGAUCGACUAUCUGCUCUGUGUCUACAACCCCUGAAUCUUUCGAGAGGGGUUAAUCAAGCUUGCCUGACGGGAAAAGAAGGCUCCCUUCUCGAGCAUCGACGAGGAUAGGGACCGAGGCUGUCAGGGGAGAUUUGUUUGGAUAAAGACCGAAGAUCUCAUUCCCUCCGAGUUCCUGUCGUUCCCUAAGAAGUGGAACUCAACACGUAAGUUCAUCCCUUUUUAAGUUGUCAAAAUGAACCUUUGAACUUACUUCUCUUUCUCAUUACCCGUAUUCCCUGAUAUGCACCUGUCGCCCGAGUCCCCAAUGCAAUCUCCCAUUUCAGGGAGGGGGUCGAGGGUAUCUGCAAACAAUUGACAUACUUCGAGCGUGAGUGGUGCAAACUUUCUAAAGGCAAAUGGGAGGCUCAGGGAGGGGGUCGCGGAUAUCCCAUGGUGAGUGAUCUUCUUUUCCUAAUUGAAUUUCCUUUUUACUUUAUUGUCAUUUCGUCUAAGUCCCUUUUUCUUUUCAUAGGUUUGCACAAGACCACCGAUCUUCGGGCAAUUACCGAGGUCCUGGCCUCGUCCCCAUCUGCAAAACCCUCUUCUUUGGUACAACCUACUACCGAGGCUGUUACGAAGAAGGAGGAGAAAACAAGAAAGAAUAAAAGGUCCCCUAACCCCUCGGGCUCCUGUUGAGGCCAAGAAAAAAAUGAUUGUGGUCAGGGUCAGAAAGAGUACGAAGAAAAGUACUCGGGCAAGGGUCUCGGACCCUGAUUAUCUCUACUAGCUCAGUGACUACCCCAAAGAUGAUGAUAUGGAUUUUGUCGCCCACGAGCUGGCCGACGCUGCACUAGAGCUGGUCAAUGCUGCACCAGAGCUGGCAUCACUGGUGGGGGAUGAUCGUAAGGCUGCACCCUUUUCAGCUCGGGAGCCUGAGGAAGAGCAUGUAGCCACUGCCCCUCGAGAAGCUGCUCCGGUUUUAAGAGAAGCUAUCGACGUCAUUGAUGUAUCAGAGUCGUCAUCUCAUACGUAGCCUCUUUUCGAUAAGGCUGAGGCCGUUACAGAAAAGUCGACUGAGGCAUCACGGGUCGUGGAUGAAGCCCUUAAUCUGUUUUUUGAAGGUAUGGACGUCGAUGCACUGGAAGACUACUCCGGUUUUAGCCACUGGAGAUCCUGAAACGGGAUAUGCUCCUGGGGUCAGGAGGGCCGAGUUCGAGACCAAAGCUUGUGAAGCAGUUCCCUGCCCCAAGUGUAGAUCCUGACCAUAAGAAGACGGUAAUGUUUAUGGUACCGGCGGAUACUAGGAUGCUAUUCGGGCCGGUCGGUGUGGCCAACUACCUUCGUUCCUUGAUAACCGAAGAGGACCAAGUAAUUAUGAAGAAGGUGGAUGCACCGAGCCUCUUCUCAACGAAGCACAACAGGCAUUGAACAAGAUACAUCUUUUUUUCCUCAUAUCUUUAAAGAGUUCAUUGGCCUUAGUGGAUUUUAACAAUUUUGCCAUUUUUGUAUGCCUCAAACCUCGGUGCUUAAUUAUGAGAGCUUCCACCGAUCUCGGAUGGAGGUGAGUCACCUUGAGUUCAAGCUCAAGGAGUAGGUCCGGCAAAAGGACAUGCACAAAGCUCUAUGUGAGGAAAAAGAUGAGGCCCUCAGGGACCACUCCGUCCUCCAAGCUGAGCUGGAAAGAGCUCAAAAUAAGGCCUCGAAUGUGAAACAGGAACAUUCCCUUCUGGUUGAAAACGUAAGAUUGUUUGAGAUUAAUAACGAGAGGUUAAGAACAAAUGCUAACACUUCCACCUCGCAGGUCCAAGAGAAGAUAGACCUGAUAGACUAGCUUAAGGCCGUGAUGGACGAGGUAAAAGCGUUAACCGAGGAGUUGAGGAGCAAAACAGAUCUCCUGGCCUCAGAAUGGGAUGCCACCAAAGAGGAUUUGGCAUCGACCAAAGAUCAGCUCCGGGUAAUAAGUGAAAAAGCUGACAAAUGGUCUCGGCUGAAUAAUGAGCUUCUGGUGCAACAUAACUCGGCCGUUACAGAACGGGAUGCUCUUGGCCAAGAAUAUACCGCGUAGAAGUCCAAAUCGGAGGCGGCUUCGAACGAGGCCUCCGAAGUUCAGGACAUGUUGGCCUAGUAUAAGAACGAUAUGGAGGUAGCCGAGGCCUGUGUAAUAACGAAGGCCGAGUAUAUGAAGUGGCUGUCUCGGAGAGAGACCCUUGAGUAGGUCCAUGCCCGGGGGAUUGACCUAGCGGCAGAGAUAGAAGAGGCUUAAAUCCUAGGCCAAAGCGAGAUACCAAACCGAUUGUUCGGGCAACGAGUCGGGCUCUUAUGAAGACUAGGCGGGAAAUGCCUUAGUUUAUAUUUUGUUUUCCCUUGUAUUUUGUAUUUUGGGGCCGUUUCACAGUGCCUCUAUAAAUACCUUUUGGUACAUAUGUAUAUAUAAAUAAAUUCUUCGGUUAUACAUUGUGUAUUUUACUUUUCUGUAAUAGCUUGUAUCUAAGACUUAUAAUAUGUCGUCGAUGCCUUAGCGUAGAAUUUGACAUCGUUUAAAUUAUCCGUUACCCUAAAGCCCGGAUGAGGCCUGGAUUAAGUAAUAACUCCAAAUUGCUCUGGCUUCAGAGGACCCGAUAAAAAACUCUUGGUUAAAAAAUUUUGAACGUUUUAACCGGACACAAUCAUUCUUUGCCGAAGAUGGCUCUUUUCAUGGCUGUAAUUCAAGGCCGAGUAACUUGACAGGGUCUGAAGUAGUCUUUUUGUGUAUUAAAAAUAUGUAAGGACCUCACUUUUUCAAGUACGGACUCAUACGUCUCCGAGUCAUUUAAGUUGACUGUGGUCUUUCGUGUUUGGGCUCUACCUAGUAGGUUCGGUGCCUCCAGGAUUUAGUAACCUGAAUUUUCUGGUCUUAUCAUUGGGUAGCAGUCCCCGGUUCGGGGAGUUCCGUAGGCUUAAGGGUUUUGCACGAUAAUAUUGCUUAUGCAUAAUGUGAAUUAAUGAAACAUAGAAGGCAAAUUUCUUUUAUUACUUUAAAUGUCGUGUAAAUAAUCGAUGGUACAAAAGCUAUCUGCCAUGGCAAGAAUGAAAUAUGUGGGCACAGUUCAUUUGACCAUUAUAAUUAAUCCUAAUAUUCAAGCCUUGGCUUUCAGUAUUGAAUAAGAACGCCUUUUACAUUCUCGAACUCAGGAUUUCCGUCAUUUGGGUUCUUGGUAUGUAGUGUAACUCUCCUUAGUGCAAAGUCCCUGUGAUGACCUGAUAGGUCAUCUUUAAAUUAAUGAUUAUCUCUUUGUUCUAAAAUCUCAAAUAACACCUUUCAGUAAAUCUCGACUUGCGUGAGUAGUUCGUAAAUUUUUUCGGAAAGAUUUUAUGUGAAAAAUUGAUUAAAAGUGAAAUAGAGUAUUAAAACUCAAAUGAGUUGACUUUGGUCAACUUUUUGGGUAAACGGACCCGGAUCAGUAUUUUGAUAGUUUCGGUAGGUCCGUAUCAUAAUUUGAGACUUGGGCAUAUGCCCCAAAUCGAAUUCGGAGGUCCCUAACUUAAAUUAUCGCUAUUUAACGGAAACUAGAAAUCUAAAGGCUAAAGAUUUCCAAAGUUCGACCGUGAAUUUGACUUUAUCAAUAUCGAACUCAGAUUGAGAUUUCGAGAGUUUGAAUAGCUCUGUUAUGUUAUUUGGGACUUACCUGCAAAAUUUGAGAUUAUUCCGGAUUGAAUUGACAUGUUUCGACGUGAGUUAUAGAAUUUAAAAAUUUAUAAACUCAUAAGUCUGAAUGGAGGUGCGAAUUAUAGUUUCGACGUUGUUUGACAUGAUUUAAGACCUCUAGUAGGUCCGCGUUAUAUUACGGGACUGGUUGGUAUAUUUGAACGGGGUCCCGAGUGGCUUGGGUGAGUUUCGGGUUGAGUUUUGAAUGAGUUUGGGCAUUUCGGUACUCUGAUGAUGUUUUGGGACAGUUGAAGUAUGGAGGGCACAUUUUGGAGUGCGGAUGUGAGGCUGCGAACUCCCAAAGUGCGGAGACAGUGGUAAUUGUGCGGACCACAGUUGAAAUUGUGUUGUCCGCAGUUGAAAUUGUGAGGUCCGCAGAAAGGAGAUUUUCAGGUUCGAUGAUACGACUUCGGAAGCUUAUGUCGUUUAAUAUACAAGGAAUUUGGAGAUGAUUCAAAAAUAAAAGUUGUAGCUCUUUGAGUCUAAUUUCUAGAAAGGCACACCAUUAUUCAUUUGGACAUUUGUACAAAAAGUUAUGGUCAAUUUACUAAACACUGGAAGUAUAGUCACACUGAAGUGCGGCCGCACAAUUUGAACCGCGGCCGCGGAACUUGGAAAUGUGCGGACCGCAAUAAAAAUGUGCGGUCAGCACAAUGGAGAUCAGAUUUUGUACCAUAUAAAUGAGGGUUUCAUCUCAUUUUUUAUGUUUGGACCUAGAGAGCUCGGUUUGUAGCGAUAUUUCAUGGAUUUUUCAAGAAAUUCAUAGGUGUAAGUGAUUCUAACUCGAAUUUGGUUAAUAUACAUGAAUAUAUCAUUGUUUUCAUCAUUCAAUUAGCAUUUUAAGAUGGAAAUUUGGGGAAAAUUAUAGAAAUUUCACAAACUAUAAUUUUAGGAUUCGAAGGGCAAUCCUAUGUCGGAAUUCGAUAAUUUUUGUAUGGUUAAACACGUAUCGGAACGAGUGUUCGGAUUUCGUAAUAAUUCGUCGAGUUCAGAAAAAUGGGUCCCACAUUGACUUUUGGUUGAGUUUUCUGAAAAUAAUUUAAAUUAAGUCUCUUUCGAAUUGCGAAUAAUUUUUAAUACUCAAAUUGAAUUGUUGGUAAAUAAUUUGCUAGGUUUGAUUGGUUUGGAGAAUAAUUCGAAAGAAAAAGUUGUGGUCGAUUGGUCAUUUGAAAUUGCGGAACAAGUUAAGUGUCGUGGUUAACUUUGACUUGAGGGAAUAGAACCCUUGAAUUAUUGUUAAGUGAAUUUCAUGUCUAAUGACGUAUAGGCGAGGUGACGAGUGCCUAUACGUCGUCUACUUGAUUGUUUGCAUAUUUAUCUAAAAAUCAUAAAUUAUUUUAAAUCAUGAAUUAAUUAUUUUAUUAAUUAUUUCUCUUAUAUUCCUUGUCCAAUAUUAAGUCUUGAAUUCNNNNNNNNNNNNNNNNNNNNNNNNNNNNNNNNNNNNNNNNNNNNNNNNNNNNNNNNNNNNNNNNNNNNNNNNNNNNNNNNNNNNNNNNNNNNNNNNNNNNNNNNNNNNNNNNNNNNNNNNNNNNNNNNNNNNNNNNNNNNNNNNNNNNNNNNNNNNNNNNNNNNNNNNNNNNNNNNNNNNNNNNNNNNNNNNNNNNNNNNNNNNNNNNNNNNNNNNNNNNNNNNNNNNNNNNNNNNNNNNNNNNNNNNNNNNNNNNNNNNNNNNNNNNNNNNNNNNNNNNNNNNNNNNNNNNNNNNNNNNNNNNNNNNNNNNNNNNNNNNNNNNNNNNNNNNNNNNNNNNNNNNNNNNNNNNNNNNNNNNNNNNNNNNNNNNNNNNNNNNNNNNNNNNNNNNNNNNNNNNNNNNNNNNNNNNNNNNNNNNNNNNNNNNNNNNNNNNNNNNNNNNNNNNNNNNNNNNNNNNNNNNNNNNNNNNNNNNNNNNNNNNNNNNNNNNNNNNNNNNNNNNNNNNNNNNNNNNNNNNNNNNNNNNNNNNNNNNNNNNNNNNNNNNNNNNNNNNNNNNNNNNNNNNNNNNNNNNNNUCGGUUGUACUCAUGCUACACUCUGCACUUCUUGUGCAGAUUUCGGAGUUGGUCCGAUGGUGUAUUGUAGAUUUUGCUCGGAUUCAGCUAUCAGUGGAGACUUGAGGUAUAGCUGCACGACGUUCGCAGCUCUGAAGUCCCCUUCUACUUUAUUUUAGGUGUGUGCUUUCAUUCAGACAACUUUAUUUUAUUCAGACCCUUGUUUGUAUUAUUCUAGAAGCCCGUGCACUUGUGACUCCAGUUCUGGGUUGGUAUUUAGACAUCGUUAUUAUUUUAGAUUGUUCACUUUAAUUUAGACAUUUUUUUAGUUGUUUGGUUUCUUUAUUAAUUAAUUAAAAUGGAAUGUUAAAAAUAAUUUAAAUUAUUCUAACGUUGGCUUUCCUAGCAAGUAAAAUGUUAGGCGUCAUCACUGUCCCGGAGGUGGGAAUUUCGGGUCGUGACAAGUUGGUAUCAGAGCACUAGGUUACUUAGGUCUCACGAGUCACGAGCAAUCUUAGUAGAGUCUGAAGGAUCGGUACAGAGACGUGUAUACUUAUCUUCCAGAGCUAUGAAGUUUAGGAACAAUAUCACUUCUUUCUUAUUCUGUCGUGCGAUUUUAUUCUAUCAUCGAUGAUUGAACCAUUCUAUUCUUACUCUCUCGCGGAUGGUGAGAACACAUAAUACAUCUACCGACGGACAGGGACCAGAGCCUCCGGUGGAAACUAUGACCAGGGGUAGAGGCCGAGGCCGAGGUCGCGCUAGAGGUAGAAGUAGAGCUCAGUCUAGAGCUCGAGCAGCAACACCUGUUGUAGAACCUCAGGUGGAUUUGGGAGCGGAGAUUCCAUCUCAGACUGUUCCUGUUGGACCAGUUCAGGUCCCGGGAGGAUUCAUAGCUACUCUAGUGCUUCAGGAUGCUCUAGUCCAUUUGGUGAGCCUUAUGGAAGGCGUGGCCCAGAAUGAUACAUUUCCAAGGGUACCAGUCGUCUCACUGGCUGGGGGAAGAGCACAAACUCCCACUACUCCCGCUCCAGAGCAGAUGGCUCCCCAUAAUCAAGCUCCAGUAGUCCUGCCAGUUGGGGUAGUUCAGCCAGUUGUUGUGGCACAGGCCGGUGAUAGGCCCGCCAUGUCUUCUGAGGCCUUAUUGAGACUGGACAAGUUUACUAAGCCUUUUCCAUUUCACUUCAGUGGUACACCUUCUGAGCACCCACAUGAUUAUCUUGACUACUGCCAUGAGGUGUUGCGGAACAUGGGAAUAGUUGAAAGUAACGGGGUCGAUUUUGUUGUAUUUUAGAUGACGGGUUCCGCCAGGACAUGGUGGAGAGAUUAUAUGUUGACCAGACCAGCUGGAUCACCUGCACUUACUUGGGACCAGUUCUCACAACUAUUUCGGGAGAAGUUUAUUCCUAUUACAUUGAGAGAGGAAUAUCGCAGGCGGUUUGAGCAUCUCCAAAGGGUAGUAUGACUGUUACCUAGUAUGAGACCCGAUUUGUGGACUUAGCACGCCAUGCCAUCAUUUUGCUUCCUACUGAAAAAGAGAGAGUGAAGAUAUUCAUCGAUGGACUUACUUAUACUAUCAGGCUUCAGAUAGCCAAGGAGGCAGGGAGUGAUAUUUCCUUCCAGACAGUCGUGAACAUUGCUAGACGGAUCGAGUUAGUUCGUGCUUAGGAGAGAGGGCCAGUGUCAGAUAAGAGGCCCCGUCAUUCCGGUAAUUUUAGAAGCGCCUCAUCUAGAGGCAGGGGUACUUAUGGUAGGGUUUAUCCUCCCAGGCCAUUUUAUUCAGCACUUCAGGCAUCUCACAGUGCUUCAGGGAGUCACGGACCUACUAUGCCUUACUCUGGGCAGCCAACAGUUAAUGCCCAUUCAGCUCCUAUCUGUGCACCACCACUCCAGAGUCACUACAUCGGUUAUCCGGCCCGUUCGGGUUAGUUUUAGCUUCAUCUUAAGCAGCCACGGCAGCAGUAUGGGUGUUAUAAGUGUGGGAACAUUGGUCACAUCAGGAGGUAUUUCUCUAGGUUGUCGAGCAACAGAUCUCAGCAGGAUUCUCAUGCCAUCAUACCAGCACCGGUUGCUCCACUGCCCGCCCGACCAGCUAGGGACAGGGAUCAGACUGUUAGAGGUGGAGGUCAGACUGCUAGAGGUGGAGGUCAGACCGUUAGAGGUGGAGGCCAACCAAUUAUGGCAUGUCCUAGAGAUGUAGUUUAGACUGGCAAGGCCCAACCCCGAUUUUAUGCUUUUCCAGCUAGGCAUGAGGAUGAGUCAUCCGACGUGAUCACAGGUAUUGUCCCAGUNNNNNNNNNNNNNNNNNNNNNNUACUUUGCUUCAUAUUUGGUUGUGCCUCAUGAUUGUUUGAGUUCUUCUGUGUGUGUGUCCACACCUAUAGGAGAUUCUGUUAUGGUAGAUCAUGUCUAUCGUUCAUGUGUAGUUACUAUUGGGAGACUUAAGACUAGCAUGGAUCUUCUACUUCUUGAUAUAGUGGAUUUUGAUGUCAUAUUGGGUAUGGAUUGGCCGUCACCCUAUCAUGCUAUAUUGGAUUAUCACGCCAAAACGGUGACCUUAGCCAUGCCAGGGUUACCUCGAAUAGAGUGGAAAAGGACUCCUGACCAUUCCACAAGCAGGCUUAUCUCUUACGUGAAAGCUCGGCGUAUGGUCGAGAAGGGGUGUCUAGCUUAUGUGGCCUAUAUUUGCGAUCCCAACGCGUAAGUUCCUUCUAUGGAUUCAGUUCCAGUUAUCCGUGAGUUUCCAAAUGUAUUUCCUAUAUAUUUUGCCAAGGAUUCCACCCGUCAGAGAUAUUGGCUUCUGUAUCGAUUUGGCUUUGGGCACCCAACCCAUUUCUAUUCCACCAUACCGUAUGUCUCCGCCGGAGCUAAAGGAAUUGAAGGAGCAGUUACAAGAUAUUGGAAGAUAUGCUUCACACUUGUGUUAUAUACUUUGGAGGUUCUUGGGAUCAGUUCUUUCCACUUGUGGAGUUUGACUAUAAUAACAGCUACCAGUCGAGCAUUCAUAUGGCUCCAUAUAAAGCAUUAUACGGGAGGCGAUGUCGUUCUCCAGUUAGCUGGUUUGAACCAGGAGAGGCUCGGUUGUUGGGUACCGAUUUGGUACAGGAUGCCUUGGAUUAGGUCAAGAUUAUUCAAGAUCGAUUUCGCAUAGCUCAGUCUAGGCAAAAGAGUUAUGCCGACUGUAAAGUUCAUGAUAUUGCAUUCAUGGUUAGAGAAAUAGUAUUGCUCCGAAUUUCACCUAUGAAAGGUGUAAUGAAAUUCGGAAAGAAGGGCAAGUUGAGCCCUAGGUAUAUUGGACCCUUUGAAAUUUUUGAAAUGGUGGGUGAAGUAGCCUAUAGGCUUGAAUUGCCACCUAAUUUAUCAGCAGUUCAUCCGGUGUUCCAUGUGUCUAUGCUCCGAAAAUAUCAUGGUGAUCUAUCCCAUGUGUUAGAUUUCAGCUAACUCCAAUUGGACAAGGAUUUGACUUAUGAGGAGGAGCCGGUAGCUAUUCUAGCCCGACAGGUCCCACAAUUGAGGUCUAAGAGUUAUCCUUCAGUUAGGGUGCAAUGGAAAGGUCAGUCGAUUGAGGUAGCUACCUGGGAGUCGGAGUCGGACAUGUAGAGUAGAUAUCCACACCUUUUCACCAGCCCAGGUACUUAUCUAAUUCCGUUCGCGGACGAACAUUUGUUUUAGAGGUGGAGAAUGUGAUGACCCGAUAGGUCAUCUUUAAAUUUAAUGAUUAUCUCUUUGUUCUAAAACCUCAAAUAGCACAUUUCAGUAAAUCUCGACUUGCGUGAGUAGUCCGUAAAUAUUUUCGGAAAGAUUUUAUGUGAAAAAUUGAUUAAAAGUGAAAUAGAGUAUUAUAACUCAACUGAGUUGACUUUGGUCAACUUUUUAGGCAAAUAGACCCGGAUCGGUAUUUUGAUAGUUUUGGUAGAUCCGUAUCAUAAUUUGGGACUUGAGCGUAUGCCCGGAAUCAAAUUCGGAGAUCCCUACCUUAAAUUAUCGCCAUUUAACAGAAACUAGAAAUCUAAAGGCUAAAGAUUUCCAAAGUUCGACCGUGAAUUUGACUUUAUCGAUAUCAGACUCGGAUUGAAAUUUCGAGAGUUGGAAUAGCCCCAUUAUGUCCUUUGGGACUUACUUGCAAAAUUUGAGAUUAUUUCGGAUUGAAUUGACAUGUUUCGGCGUGAGUUAUAGAAUUAAAAAUUUCCUAAACUCAUAAGUCUGAAUCGAGGUGCGAAUUAUAGUUUCGACGUUGUUUGGCGUGAUUUGAAACCUCUAGUAGGUCCGCAUUAUAUUACGGGACUGGUUGGUAUAUUUGAAUGGGGUCCCGAGUGGCUUAGGUGAGUUUCGGGGUGAGUUUUGAACGAGUUUGGGCAUUUCGGCACUCUGAUGAUGUUUUGGGAUAGUUGAAGUGCGGAGGGCACAUUUUGGAGUGCAGAUGUGCAGCUGCGAACUCCCAAAGUGUGGAGGUAGUGGUAAUUGUGCGGACCGCAGUUGAAAUUGUGCUGUUCGCAGUUGAAAUUGUGCAGUCCGCAGAAUUUCUCUCGCGGCCGCGGAAAGGAGAUUUUCAGGUUCGAUGGUCCGACUUCGGAAGCUUAUAUCGUUUAAUCUACUUAGAAUUUGGAGAUGAUUCAAAAACAAAAAUUGUAGUCCUUUGAGUCUAGUUUCCAAAAAGGGUUACCAUUAAUCAUUCAGACAUUUAUAUAUAAAGAUAUGGUUAAUUUACUAAAGCCUGGCAGUGCAGUCACACUGAAGUGCGGCCGCACAAUUUGGACCGCGGCCGCAGAACUUGGAUAUGUGCGAACCGCAAUAAAAUAGUGCGGUCAACACAAUGUAGAUCAAAUUUUGUACCAUAUAAGCGAGGAUUUUAUCUCAUUUUUUAUUUUUGGACCUAGAGAGCUCGAUUUGUAGCGAUUGUUCGUGGGUUUUUCAAGAAAUUUAUUGGGGUAAGUGAUUCUAACUCGGAUUUAGUUAAUAUACAUGAAUAUAUCAUUGUUUUCAUCAUUCAAUUAGCAUUUUGAGAUGAAAAUUUGGGAAAAAUUAUAGAAACUUCAUAAACUAUAAUUUUAGGAUUCGAAGGGCAAUCCGAUGUCGGAAUUCGAUAAUUUUUGUAUGGUUUAACUCGUAUCGAAACGGGUAUUCGGAUUUCGUGAUUUUUUGUCGAGUUCCGAAAAGUGGGUCCCACAUUGACUUUUGGUAGUGUUUUCCGAAAAUGACUUAAAUUAUGUCUCUUUCGAAUUGUGAAUAAUUUCUAAAGCUCAAAUUGAAUUAUUGGUAAAUAAUUUGCUAGGUUUGAUUGGUUUGGAGAAUAAUUCGAAAGGAAACGUUGUGGUCGAUUGGUCAUUUGAAAUUGCGGAACAAGGUAAGUGUCGUGGUUAACCUUGACUUGAGGGAAUAGAACCCUUGAAUUAUCUGUUAAGUAAAUUUCAUGUGUAAUGACGUAUAGGCGAGGUGACGAGUGCCUAUACGUCGUCUAAUUGAUUGUUUGCAUAUUUAUCUAAAAAUCAUAAAUUAUUUUAAAUCAUGAAUUAAUUGUUAUAUUAAUUAUUUAUCUCAUAUUCCUUGUCCAAUAUUAAGUCUUGAAUUCAUGUUGUAAUUGCUACAUGCUUAUUUGACUUAUGUGACUUAAUUGUUACUUGACAUUUAGUAUAUUAGAUAUUAAAUUGCCUAUUUUCUCCCAGAUUUCCACAAUUAAUUGCUACUUAUCAUUACUUAUUUCCUAAAUAAUUUAUAAAUAUUGUAUGCUUUGUUUCCUAAUAAGUUUUUAUUGAAAGUGAUAUUAAUUGGAGUAUUGUUAUUACAUUUUAAGAGUUGUUUAAUUAUUUACUUGGAGCGGAUUGAAUGCCGCAACGAAGAUGAAAAUGAAUAUAUUGGGGGAUCGGGUUGCACGUCGCAACGGAUUAUAUUUUAAAUUUAUAUUAUUGGAGUGGGUUGCACGCUACAACGGAAUUUAAUUGAAGGANNNNNNNNNNNNNNNNNNNNNNNNNAUUAUUAUUAUUGCAUACAUAUUAAUGUAAGUGACAUGCCUUAGCCUCGUCACUACUUCGUCAAGGUUAGGCUCGGCACUUACAGAGUACAUGUGGUCGGUUGUACUCAUACUACACUCUGCACUUCUUGUGCAGAUUUCAAAGUUGGUCCCAACGGCGUAUUGUAGACUUUGCUCGGGUUCAGCUAUUAGUGAAGACUUGAGGUAUAGUUGUACGACGUUCGCAACUCUAAAGUCCCCUUCUACUUUAUUUUAGCUGUGUGCUUUCUUUCAGAUAAUUUUAUUUUAUUCAGACCAUUGUUUGUAUUAUUCUAGAAGCCCGUGCACUUGUGACUCCAGUUCUGGGUUGGUAUUUAGACAGCGUUAUUAUUUUGGAUUGUUCACUUUAAUUCAUACAUUUGUUUUUUUAGCUAUUUGGUUUGUUUAUUAAUUAAUUAAAAUGGAUUGUUAAAAAUGAUUUAAAUUAUUCUAACGUUGGCUUGCCUAGAAAGGGAAAUGUAAGGUGCUAUCACGGUGCUGAAGGUGGAAAUUUUGGGUCGUGACAAUCCCCGACUUGAAAGCGUCGAAGGUUCUCCCUUCGGUUGUAAUAUUUCCCUAUUCGUUGCUUUUGGGCCGCUAAUCGGACUAGGGGGCCUUCUCGCCUUUCGUCUGCUAAAUCUAAGCUCGUCGCCAUGGCCUCGUCAUUUGACGUCUUCGUAGCGUAUUGGAACCUUAGGCUUGGUUCUCCUACCUCUACAUGAAUUAGAGCUUUUGCACCGUAGACUAGAGAGAACGGUGUUUCACCAGUACUUGACUUUAAAGUCGAUCGAUAUGUCUAUAGGACCUAGAAUAAAAUUUCUUUUCAUUUUCUUUUUGAGUCGGUCAAUCUUUUCUUUAGGUUCUGUAGAAUAGUUUUGUUUGUUAAUUCCGCUUAGCCAUUCUCACUUAGGUGGUAGGGCAUCGAUAAAAUCUUUUUGAUUUUGUGAUCUUCAAAAAACUUAUUAAUCUUGACGCAAUGAGUUGCUUCCCGCACGUGAUCUCCGCCGGUAUCCCGAACUGACAUAUUAUAUGAUCCCAGAUGAAGUCAAUGACCUCUUUUUCCCACGGCAAGAGACCGACAAUAUCCAUUCCCCAUUUCAUGAACGACCAAGGGGAAAGGACCAGGUGAAGCAUAUCCCCCGGUUGGUAGAUCAUUCGGGUGUGCCUCUAACAUUCGUUACACUUUUGAACGAAGUCUUUCGCAUCCUUUUCCAUCUCAUUACGGUAAUAACCGGCUCUGAUCAAUUUUUGAACCAAGGAUUCUGCUCCUGAAUGGUUUCCACAAGUACCCUCAUGUACUUUCCUCAUCAAGUAGUCGGUCUCCCCCGGACCCAAGAACCUUACUAACGGUCUAAAAAUGAUCUUUGGUAUAAUUUUCUACCAACCGAGCUAAACCUGGCAAGCCUAAGUACAUAGGGCCUUCGAAUUUUUGGGAUCCGAUGGCAAUUUCCCUUUCUAAAAGUAGUCUAUAUAUUUGUUUCUCCAAUCCCAAGUUAGGCUUGUUGAGUUUACCUUGGCGUGACCGUCCUCUAUCACUGAGUUCAUCAAUUGCACCAGCACUCCGAAAUUGAAUUCAUCAGAGUCGACUGACGUCCCUAGAUUAGCCAACGCACCGGCCUCGUUAUUUUGAUCUUGCGGUACAUGCUAUAGUAUCCAUUCCUUGAACUGGUGUAAUGUCACUUGCAACUUAUCCAAGUAUCUUCGCAUCUGGUCCUCUUUUACUUCAAAGGCCCCAUAGACUUGGUUAACGAUGAGGAAGGAGUCUCACUUGGCUUCGAUCACCUCAGCCCCCAGGCUCUUAGCCAGUUCUAGACCUGCAAUCAUAGACUCAUAUUCAGCUUCGUUGUUAUUCAAUUUCACAGUUCUAAUAGAUUGCCUUAUUACGUUACCCGUUGGUGGUUUUAAUGCGAUUUCCAACCUGGGCCCUUUUGCAUUCGAAGCACCGUCCGUGAAUAGGGUCCAAACCCUUAAGCUAGUCCCCGAGGCGAGCAGUAAUUAUUUCUAGACAUCGGGAUCAAGGCCGGCGUAAAUCGGCGUACCCGUUAACCUCUACGACUAUUUGGCCAGUUGACCCGAGAGAUCGAGUUUAUGGCAUAACAUUCCUUAGCGGAUACGAGGUCAUGACACAUAUGGGGUGACAUUAAAAGUACAAUUUUAGUUUCCUAGAUGCGCUUAAUAAGGCGAGUGCUAAUUUCUCUAAGUACGAAUACCUUGUUUCGACAUCACCUAGGGUUCUACUAGCAUAAUAGAUAGGAAAAUUCGUACCUUCUUCUUCCCGGACCAGGACACCACUUACCGCUACAUCGGAGACUGCCAAGUAGAGGUAUAUCUAUUCGUUCGCCUUCGGGGUGUGCAACAAAUGAAGGUUUUAUAGGUGCCGUUUGAGUUCUUCUAAAGCCUGCUGACAUUCCGGGGUCCAAGAGAAGUCGUUCAUCUUCUUCAGUAAUGAGAAAAUCCGGUGGCUUUUGUUAGAUGACCUCGAAAUAAACUGGCCCAAUGCGGCUAUCCGCCCGGUCAGUCUUUCUACUGCCUUGACGUUGUCAACUAUGGUGAUAUCUUCUAUGGCUUCUAUCUUGUCCAGGUUGAUCUCUAUUCCCUGGUUAGACACCAUGAAACCGAGGAACUUGACCGAGCCGACUCCGAAGGCACACUUCUCUGGAUUCAGCUUCAUGUUGUAUUUCCUCAGUAUGUCGAAGGUUUCCUGCAAAUGCUUUAAAUGGUUCUCUGCUCGCAGGGACUUAACUAACAUAUUGUCAAUAUAAAUCUCCAUUGAUUUUCCUAUUUGUUCCUCGAAUAUUCGAUUAACUAGGCAUUGAUAUGUGGUACCAGCAUAUUUAAUCGAAACGGCGUUACAUUAUAACAAUAGGUGCCGAAUAUAAUUAUAAAAGAAGUCUUCUCUUGGACACCCAGGUCCAUCCGUAUUUGGUUGUACCUGAAAUAGGCAUCGAGAAAACUCAGCGUCUCGUGCCCCGUUGUAGCAUCGAUCAUUCGGUCGAUAUUAGGCAAAGAAAAUAAAUCCUUUGGGCAUGCGUUGUUCAGUUCUUUUUAAUCUACACACAUCCUAAGUUUGUUUCCCUUUUUAGGUACGACCAUUGUGCUAGCUAGCCAAUCCGGAUAUUUAACUUCUCGAAUGGAACCUAUUUUCAAGAGUUUAGAUACCUCGUCUUUGAUGAAUGCAUGUUUGAUUUUGGACUGCGGCCUCCUUUUUUGUUUGAUUGGGUGUAAUUUUGGGUCCAAGCUUAAUUUGCAAGUGGUCACCUCUAAUGGGAUCCUUGUCAUAUCUAAGUGGGAGCGGGCAAAAUAAUCGGCAUUAGCUUUAAUAAAAUCAAUAAGUUUUUUUUAAGCUCGGGGGUUAACCUCGAGUCCAGGUAUACCUUUAUGUCUAGUAGAUACUCGAUCAACAUGACCUGUUCCAAUUCUCCGAUCGUCGAUUUGGUGGUAUCGGUAUCAUCGGGGUGCUAUAAAGGAUCUCGGGACCCCGAAAUCAUCUUCCUUAUUCAUUGGGUGUUCCUCAUGUUUGCCCAGGCCGGUCAAGGUUGUGACUGGUGAUUUCUAUUUGGUGCCUUUCUCUUUGAUCGGUCUCUCACCUUUUUAUGUAGUGAUAGCGGGCACCAGGAUCACCUCCUCGACAACAAACAUCUCAUUUGCGCCCGGUUGUUCCCCGUAGACCGUUUUGGUUCCACCUGAGGUGGGAAACUUCAGCGCAUGAUGCAAGGUCGAAGGCACCGCUCUCAUGUUGUGGACCCAUGAUCUUUUGAACAAGGCAUUGUAUCUCAUGUUCCCCUCGAUUAUAUAAAAUUUUGUUUCCUGGGUGGUCCCGGUAGUGUUUACCGGUAGGGUUAUUUCUCCUUUUGUUGUCUCGCAUGCCAUGUUAAACACGUUCAAUACUCGUAUUACCGGUACGAUUCGGUCCAAUAAUCCCAAUUGUUCCACAACUCUCCACCGGAUGAUAUUGUCCGAGCUACCUGAAUCAAUUAACACACGCUUAACUUGGGAUUUAUUAGUAAGUAUGGAUAUUUCCAAUACAUCGUUGUGAGAUUGAAUUAUGCCCUCGGCGUCCUCGUCACUGAACGAGAUGGACCCCUUUAGGACGUAGUCCCGAGUACGUUUUUCCCUUGUGAUAAAAACUUUGGUGCGCUUAAUCAUCGGCCCUUGUGGGACAUCUACUCCCCCAAUGAUCAUGUUAAUCACGUGUUGAGGUUCUUCCUGCUCAUUUUGUUUAUUGGUGUCCCUGUUUCUGAAAUAAUUUUUUGCUCGCUCACUUAGGAAUUCCUGAAGAUGUCCAUUGUUGAAUAGACGAGCCACUUCUUCCCUUAUGUGAUCCCUCUGUGUGGGAUCAGACUGGAGUGGCCUUGGCUAUUUGGUCUCCUUGAUGCGGCCGAUGGCCGAUACUAUACUCGUUGCAUCAAUGUUGAAGUUAUAUUCCGAUAGUCUCAUGGAUUCUCUACCCCCAAGUGGUCUGUCGAAACCGUUCUUACUCAUCAGACCUCGGUUGCUAAGACCUUGGUCGCUUCUCCUAUCGUUCCUGGUUGGGUGGUGACCGGAUCCGUUUGCCCUUCUAUCCGAGCUGCAUGACUGAUACAUUUUCCUCAUGCUAGAUGGUAAUGUGAUAUUUAUAAUUUGACAGGUAUAUUUGACAUGUAAGUAUUGAGAUAUAUAUUCCUCAUUCUAGGCGGUCUAUGAUAAUUGAUGACUUGGCAUGCAUAUUGACAUAUAGGCAUAAAGAUGUACUUUUCUCAUGCUAAUUGAUAAAAGAAAAGUCUUAUAUGAUGUUGUAAAUUGAAAAACACGGUUAUCUUGAUAAACUCAUGUUUAAAUGAUUUCAUUGGUAAGAUUUGAACUUGGACUGUUAUACUUGAAAGUCAUGUCUACAAAUCCGUAUCUGUGAACGAGUUGAACAUUUCAUCUCUUGAGUUAUAUACUUUUACUGUCUUCACUAUACUAUCAUGAAUUGUUAUUGGCUAUUGCUAUUGGAGCUGACCUUCUUCGAUCUCGUCAUUACUUUCAACAUAAGGUUAGGUUUGUUACUUAUUAAGUACAUGGGGUCGGUUGUACUCAUACUACACCUUGCGUGCAGAUUUUGGAGCUGAUGAUGCUGUGUACGGCGGGAGCUGACAUUGAAGAUGUUCAUGCGUUCCGGUUAUAGCUGCCGCUUGUUCUUGGUAACUUUAGAUUUAUAAAUCUGUUUCUGUAUACUUCGAACAGAUGAUUAUUUAUUUCAUGCCAGCUUUGUAAAUUCUCAAUCUUAGAAGCUCAUGACUUGUACUACCAAUCCUUGGGAUUUGUAUAGAAAGCUCAGUUAUUCUAUUUAUUAAUUCCUAUUAUCCUAUUUGAGUUGUGUUGUUUAUCAUUUAGCUUACCUAGCAGGUUGGGUUAGGUGCCAUCAUAACUAGCUGGAUUUUGAGUCGUGACAGUUACACAUAUAUUAGUAUAAUUUAUAAAUACACCUCUCAUGUUGUGAACCAUCUGCAAACAUGUCAAAAAUGUAAAUGCUACCAAUGUCAAAUAUGUGACUGUUACCUGCAACAACAUUCCUCCAACAUAGAAAAUGAUAAAAAUUAGUUCAUAAAAUCACUUAAAUAACAAUUAGCACAUUUUGUAUAAAUUUUAAUUAAACUAUCUAGAGAACUCAUUAUUCUUUGGUACUAUAUUUCCUCUCCUAUGAUCUAUAUAUCAAUCAAAUUCAAUUUAAAUGAUGUAUUACUUAAAUAAUGAAAUAAUUAAGUAGUAGUAUAAUUUCUGUAUGUUACUCUCAUGCACUGAUAUAUUUGCAACUAUGGGGAUGUUGCUGAAGCUAGACGCUUAGGAUAUAUUUCCAGUCAGGAAAAUUUCAUAUGAGAAUUAGGUUAAAGCUAUUAAUUAUUUUUUGAAUUCAAUAUUAGCUUUUUGAGUGAAAUAGAUUGGAAUACUUAAUGAAAUCGUGGCCACGUGCUAUUCACGUACACCUUCAAAUUUUAUCUUUGAUUUUCAUAUAGAAAAGACUAAAAGGUGUAUAUAAAUAUAAUAUUUUAUAUAAUAAUAUUUUUAACUUGCUUCAUUUGACAGUCUUGGCAUAUCAAAAAUGUAAAUUCCACCAAUACCAAAUAUGUGACCACUACCGGCAAUAACAUUUCUGUAACAUAGAAAACGAUAAGAGUUAGUUCAUAAAAUAACUUAGAGAACAAUUAGCAAAUUUUUGUUCAUAGGAUAACUUAAAGGACAAUAAGAAAAUAGGUAAAAAAUAAUUUACUCAAAUUAUAUGGAGAAGUUAUUAUUCGUUUUUACUUUAUUUCUUUCCUACGAUCUCUAUGCCACUAAAAUUCAAAAUCAAUGAUGUAUUGAUUAAAUGAUAAAAUAAUUAAGUAGUAGUAUAAUUUAUAAAUUUAAAUCUCACGCUCUGAUAUAUUUGUAACCAUGUAGAUGUUGUUGAAGCUAGACAUGUCAGGAUAUUUUCUUGUAUAAAAAUAAUUCAUAUGAGAAUUAGUACAAAGCUCGUAAUUGUUCUCUGCAUUCAAAAUAUUAGUUUUUUGAGUGAAAUGGAUUGAAAUAUUUUAUGAAACUGUGGUCACGUGCUAUUAACGUGCAUGUUAAUUUAAUUUUUAAUUUCAUAUGGAAAGCUAACUCAUAGAAAAGACUUACAAGUGUAGAUAAAAUUAAUAUUUUAUAUAAUAAUAUUUUUAUCUUACUAUAUUGAAAUGUCAAAUAUACAAAUACCACCAAUAUAAAAUAUAUGAUCUCUAUCUGCAACAAUAUUCUUGUAAAAUAGAGGAUGAUAACAUGAUAACUUAGAGGAUAAUUAGCAUAUUGGUAAACUAAAUUUACUUAAACUAUAUGGAGAAGCCAUUAUUUGUUUUUACCUUUUUCAUAUCCUAUGAUCUUUAUGUCACUCAAAUUCAAAUUAAAUGAUAAAAUAAAUAAGUAGUAGUAUAAUUUAUAAAUUUAAAUCAUGCGCUGAUACAUUUGCAACCAUGCGGAUGAUGUUGAAGCUAGACGCUUCAGGAUGUUUUUCUAUAGAACAAAAAUUCAUAUGAGAAUUAGUACAAAACUUAUAUAAAAGGACUAACAAGUGUAGACAAAAAUAAUUUUUUAUAUAAUAAUAAUAUUCUCAACUUACUUUAUUACCGGUCUUGUCACGUCAAAAGUACAUAUGCUACCAAAGUCAAACAUGUGACCACUACUUGCAACAAUGUUUCGAUGACAUAUGAGAUGAUUAAAGUUAGUUCAUAAGAUAAUUUAGAGGACAAGUAGCACAUUUGUAAAAUUAAUUUUACUCAAACCAUAUGAAGAAGUCGUUAUUCUUUUGUACUUUUUUUUUUUGGCAAAGAAAGGGGCAUUCAAAGUAUUAGCUUAGGAAGAAAACAUUGAACGAGUGAAAAAUAACAAGCAAUUCUAAUGUCUAAAGAAGCUUUCCUACAAACUACCCCAUAUAUAGGGUAUCUAACAGAGAAAUGUACCGAAAUGCUCAUAGGUAUAUAAACCUCCUAAAACAUCCAGUGUCUGUUGUGAACACAAAUGUUCAAAACCCAACAUUCAGUUCAAAAAAAUACUAGCGACCACUUAGCAAUAAUACAUUACUUCACUUUGCUUUUAAUCUUUGGAAGACUCAUGAACCCCUCAUUGUCAACAUAAUAGCAUGCACGACCAAUAGCUAAGUGGGCAUAAUAAGAUGGUGACACGAUGGCAAGCGAUGAAUUCAAAUUUAAAUUAAAUGAUGUAUUGAUUAAAUAAUUAUAUAAUUAAAUAGUAGUAUAAUUUAUAAGUGUAAUUCUCUUGCUCUGAUACAUCUGCAACUAUGGAGAUAAUACUGAAGUUAGGUACUUCAGGAUGUAUUUUUUGCCAAAAAGAUUUCAUAUGAUAAUUAGUAUAAACCUCGUAAUUAUUGUGUGCAUUCAAUAUUAGCCUUUUAAACUGAAAUGGACUGGAAUAUUUUAGGAAUUUGUGAUGAUGUGCUAUUAUCGUGAAUCUUUUAAUUUAAUCUUUAAUUUUUCAUAUGAAAAUCUUGCCCAUAGGAAGGACUAACAAGUAUAGACAAAAAUAAUACUUCAUAUAAUAAUAUUGUUAACUUACUUUAUUGGUUGGCAUUGGCAUGUCAAAAAUACAAAAUGCCAUUAAUGUCAAGCAUGUGAUCACUAUCUGCAACAAUUCCUGUAAUAUAAAGGAUGAUAAUAAGAUAAACUUAGUAGACAAUUAGCACAUUUAUAAAAUACAUUUUUCUCAAACUAUAUCGAGAAGUCGUUAUUCGUUUUUUACUUAUUUCCAUUCCUAUAGUUUCUCGGCCACUCAAAUUCAAAUUAAAUGAUAUAUUGACUAAAUUAUGAAAAUUAAAUAAUAGUACAAUUUACAAAUGUAACUCCCAUGCUUUGAUUUAUCUUCAACCAUGGGGAUGCUCCUGAAGCGUCUAGUUCAGGAUAUAUUUUCUGUUAAAAACUUUUCAUAUGAGAAUUAGUACAAGGCUCGUAAUUACUCUUUGUAUUCAAAAUAUUAGUUUUUUGAGUGAAAUGGAUUGAAAUAUUUUUUGAAAUCGUGGUCACAUUGUAACGACUCGAUCGGUCAUUUUGAGUAUUGUAGCCUCGUUUUUCCAUUUAUUACUUAUUCUAUAUUUAUUUGUGGUUAUAUGACUUGUUGGGGUGGUUGAUUUGGUUAUGGGAAUGUUUCGACAUGAAUUGGGACACUUAGUCCCAAGGUUGGAGGCUUAAGUUGAAAGAGUUGGCCGAAUAUUGACUUUUGAAUAAACAACUCCGGAAUGAAGUUUUAAUGAUUUUUAUAGUUUGUAUGGUGAUUUUGAACUUAGAAAUAUAUCCGGAUAUUGAUUUGGAGGUCCGUAGGUCGUUUCGGCUGGAAUUGGCGAAAGUUGAAAAGUUGAGAAGUUUGACCGAGAGUUGACUUUGUUGAUAUCGGGCUCGGAUUGGUUCCAAAAGUUGGAAUAGAUAUGUUGUGUCAUUUAUGACUUGUGUGCAAAAUUUAAGACCAAUCAGAGUUGGUUUGGUGUGUUUCGACAUUUGGUUUUAGAAGUUGGAAGAUCAAUAGUUCAUUAGGCUUGAAUUGGGGUGCGAUUCGUGAUUUUGAUAUUGUUUGAUGUGAUUUGAGGCCUCGACUCAGUUCGUAUAAUAUUUUAGGAUGUGUUGGUAUAUUUGGAUGGGGUUUUGGGGGCCUCGGAUGAGAUUCAGAUUGAUUUCGGAUUGAGUUUGGUCUUAUGGAAUAACUAAUUUUUCUGGUAUCUAGUUUCCUCUUACGCGAUCGAGUGAAGGGGGUCGCGAUCGCGUAGGGUUAAUUCUGGCAGGAGGAUUUUUGUUCAACGCGUUCGCGAGUGUGUUUCCGCGAUCGAGGAGCUUUGGUUAGUUGUGCAUUGUGAACGCGGGUGAUGGGACACGUCCGCGAAGAAGGAAGGGGAGGUUUGGGAAGUUCACACGUUUGUUCUUCGUAAUCGCAUGUCCUUGUCCCCAAUCGCGUAGGUCUAAGUUGAUGAGCAUUGCAUUUGCGAUUGGUUGUUCGCGUUCGCGUAGACCAUUUCUUGAGGGCAGUAAGCGUUUUUCUUCAUGAUCGCGGGGGAAUUUUCGCGACCGCGAAGGGGAAAACCUAGGCAGAUUAUUUAAUUUAAAAAAUGAGGGUUAGAGUAUUAUUUCAUAUUUGGACUUGGGGAGCUCGACCAGGGACAAUUUUUGAGAGGGAUUUCAAUACAAAUCAAGAGUAAACUAUUUUUGAUAACUUUCGUCCAAUAGUAUUGAAUUGAUUUCUACACCUAGAUUAUAUGUUUUUAAGGUGAAAUUUGGGAAAUUUUGGACUAAGGAUUGGAGAGUAAGAUUUGGGGGUUUGAGGGUCGAUUUGUGGUCGGAAUUAGAUAAUUUUGGUAUGGUUGGACUCAUUAUUGAAUGGGAUGUUCAGAUUUUAUGAAUUUUGUAGGGUUCCGAGGCAUGGGCCCGGGGUUAACUUUUUGGGUUGACUUUUUAAAUUUGGUUAAAGAACUUAGCUUUAUCGUAUGGAAUCGAUUCCUAUAGCUUGUAUUGAUUAUAUUAAGUUGUUUGUGACUAGAUUCAAGUCAUUCGGAUGCCGAUUCACGAGGCAAGGGUUUGUUGGAGCAUUGAGUUGCGCACUUUGAGGUAAGUAACACUUCUAAACUUGGUACUGAGAGUAUGAAUCCCUGAAAUACGUGUUAUGUGGUUGGUGUUGAGGUGACGCACAUGCUAGGCGGCGGGCGUGUGGGCGUGCACCGUGGUAAUUAUAACUUGGUUGAUUCUGUGAAACUUUAGUUAUCUAGUCUUGUUCUAUCUAUGGAAUAUCUAUGUGUUAGAGUAACUGAGCUGUGGUUCAUGUUAGAAAUCAUGUUUAGGCUAUGUGCUUAUUAUGUUGGGACUCAUUGAGGUCAUUUCUGUUAUUGAGUUAUUUUCUUAAGUUGCAAUUAUGUACUCAGUCAUAUUCAUUUAUUUGCAUAUCAUAUCUUAGUCUUUGUUAUCAUUUACUAUUAUAUCAUGUUAUCAUUGUUCAGGCUGAGUGGUAUGAGAUUUGUGAGCCCGUGAGACUAGAGAGAUUGAUGAUUGAGUUGGGGCCUGAGAGCCGGAUAGUGAGUGACAUUUAUGGGAUCGGGCUGCAUGCCGCAACAGUCUUUAUUGACUUAUUAUGGGAUCGGACUGCACAUCGGAGCAGGCCAUGUUCAAAUGCGUAGUUAUUAUGUGAUUGUUGGCUUACCUAGUAAUGUGAUAGGCGCUAUCACGAUAAGUUGGGAUUUGAGUUGUGACAAGUUGGUAUCAGAGCACUAGGUUACUUAGGUUUGACGAGUCAUGAGCAGGUUUAGUAGAGUCUUUCGGAUCGGUACGGAGACGUUUGUACUUAUCUUCGAGAGGAUACCGAACCAUUAGGAAACUUCAUUUCUUGUACUCUUGUCGUGCGGAUUUGUUGAUUCUAGAAACUAAACUUCUAUUAUUCUAUUAUCUCACAGAUGGCGAGGACACGUGCGAUCGGAUCGGGCGGACGACCACCAGUACCACCAGCUAGGGCUGCGAGAGGCAGGGGCCGCUGUAGAGGCCGAGGUGCAGCUUGUACUACAGCUAGAGCAGCACCGGUGGAGCCACCAAUUACUCCAGCUCAGGAGUAGAUACCAGAUGUGGUUGAGCCGGUGGGACCAGCUCAGGCACCAGCUGUGCCCGUUGUGAUUCCAGGUCUUCAGGAGGCUUUGGCUCAGAUACUCGACUCUGAUCUUUGACUUGUACCUGUUAUGAACAUCAACCCAAGUGACCGUCGGGUACGUACUCUAACAAGUUUUGCUUAAAUUAUUAAGAAACAAUGGAACUUUGGGGGCUGAGUCCUUGGGUAAACACCUGAACGGCCCAAUCACCUGCAACCGGGGGUAGGUCCAUUCGUUCCAUCUGGAACCUCGACACGAACUCCCUAAGUAUCUCGUAGUCUCUUUGCUUGACUUUGAAGAAGUCCGAUUUCCUCGUUUCGACCUUGAUAGCGCCGGCAUGGGCUUUAACGAAUGCAUCUGCAAGCAUAGAAAAUGAAUUAAUAAAAUUUGGAGGUAAGUUAUGGUACCAUAUCAUUGCUAAUUUUGACAAGGUUUUCCCAAAUUUCUUCAGCAACACCGAUUCGAUCUCAUCGUCCUCUAGGUCAUUGCCUUUUAUUGUGCACGUAUAAGAGGUUACAUGCUCGUUUGGAUAUAUGGUCCCGUUAUACUUGGAAAUACCGGGCAUUCGGAACCUCUUCGGAAGUGGCUUCGGUGCCGUGCUCGGGAGGAAAGGUUUCUGAAUGAACUUUUUAGAAUCCGGUCCUUUCAAUAUUGAAGGCGCUCCUGGGAUCUGAUCUACCCUUGAAUUAUAAGUUUCCACCUUCUUGUCAUUUGCCUUUAUCUUCUUUUCCCCAGACUCCACCCAUUUCGUUAGUGCUUCGAGCAUUUUCAUCACCCCGGAAGUCUCUCCGGGCCCGAACUCAUCUGGUUCUGUAACAAUCUGUUCGUCUCUUCGAACGUUUUCCCUAACCCGCUCGGGUUCGGCCGUGUUCUGUUCGUGAUAUUGACUCUGCAAUUGUGCUAUUGCCAUUUUCUGAGCUUGGAUCAUUUCAAAAAUCAAUCGUAAGCUUACUCUGUCACCUUCCCCUUCGGGCGCUUCUCGAGCUGACGGCCGGGGUGCUCCACGAGCGCUAUUUUCGAGAUCAGUUAGCAGGUUGAUGUUGAUGGCAACUUGGGAGUUGACAUCGACUGAGUCAGUGAUUGGGACACCAUUAGGGUCAACAGGGGGUACGUCAUUGCUUAGUACCAUGUUAUUGUUUUUACCGUGGUGGCCUGACUCGACGCCAAUAUUCAAGUGAGUAGACUAAGAAUUUGACAUUCUAAACAGACCUGAAAUCAAACUGCAAAGAGCAAGUGUAAAAUAGGGUGUGUUAUGGAGAUUCGUAUUAAAUCACCACUAUUAUCCUUAGCCCCACGGGUGAGCGCUAAACUGUUUACCCUUAAAUGAGUAACAAUUAAAUUUAUACGUUGUUUAAAUGAUACGUGAUUUAAUUUAACACGAAUGAUCUAAGAACAACAAAUAAUUAAAUUGAAAGAAAACAAAAUGAUCAAACCAAACGCGAUGGAUAGUUAAGUCUGGCUUUACGAUGAACACCGCAAGUUGGCUCCGAUUAAGCCCUCGAAAAGGGCUCGGUUGCAACUAAAUAAAUAAGCAGUUGGAGAAUACUUUGAACAGUAAUUAGAGAACAAAAAUUGACUUUAUUGCAUUGAUACGCGUGUCAACAAUGGUCUUUUAAAAAAAAUUCUCCCCUUUAUAUAGUAGAGGAGUUUCAAUCCCAGUAAACCAUGAUAGGCCAUUGAUAUCGGGCGUAAUUUGUGCCGUAAUAUCCGGUUAAGGGAGGAUAUUUUGGCCCCUCGUUUGUCCUUUCCAACCGUCUUUCCUCUAGUCUCGGUCCUUUAUUUUGCUCGAACUCAAUUCUUCCCAUAUUUGACCAUGUGCGGUUCUUGGCGCAUCAUUCAUCCUCCCGGGACUCUGAUUUGUGGGAGCCCUAGGCUUAACCCGACGUCAUAUCAGAUCUCAUGUCCUCUCAUUUUUUUACCGGAAAAUCGGGAGUAUCUUUAUCCCCACUUUUAUCCGUACCCAAGAUUAACAAUGAAGACUCAUGUUUCCGCAUUGCCCAAAGGUUUCGUUUGGCCACUGAUAUCUUUAAAGCUAUCAAUCCAAACUUAGACUGCUUUGCUCUCUUUGUGGGUCAAUGGAUUUGCGUCGAUGGCACCUUGUCUUAAAAUCAUCAUACCUACAAAAACUGAGGCACAAUUGGAUGUCGAAUUAUGCUUUUAAAAAAUUUAAAUAUUGAAGUUACUAUUAUGUUUUGUUGAGUAAGUUAAAGAGCCCUUCUGCCGAAGGACGUGACUCCUCUGUUGAGACUUGAGUCUAUUGAGUGUAUUGUAUUCAAUAUGUUAUGAUCAAUUUCGCUUCUGUUCUUGGAACUUUUCAAGUGGCAUAAACUUAUUUACUCUUUGCUGGUAUUGGCGCUAUCCACGUGUUACAAGUCACUAUAUAUUUUUUUCUUUAGCCUAAGAUAUAUAAAGUGUGAAUGUGACAUCUCUGGACGGAGGGGAUUCAAGAAAUAGAAAAAGACAAUACGUAAAAAAAGUCAAGGAGAUUCAACACCUAGUAUACAUAUAAUAUAUAUAUAUAUAUAUAAAAAAUUAAUAUUAUAUAUACGCAGUUUAAUUUUCCGGCCAACCCCUUUCAUUCCUAGUGCCCCUGCAUACAGGUCAAAUGUCAAACUGCUAUGUGACCAUAAUGUGGGACACAAUAUUUCCUAUCAAACCGCUAUGAUGAUGAUUACAACAUGAAUGUGACAUCCCUACCUCGAGAGGGGGCUAAUUAAACCAAUGUGAACAGUCAAUCGAUCGUAAAGUACGGAUGCAAUAUCCCUAACUGGUAUAAGGAUGGUGUCAAAUUAUUUUGUGAAGGGUCACAGCGCGAUGUGAUAUCCUUAGCUGAGAAAGGUGGCGUUAGACGUUGUAAAUGGUCACAGUGAGGAUGCAUGCGAUUGCAACAACAAGAGAUAUGAGACACUUGCAAUAUGCUAAUAAGAAAAAUAAUUAAGGACAACGGUAAGAGAUAAAAAGAGAUUCGAGUUUUGAAUACAUGAGCAUGAAACAAGUUUAUAAAAUAAUCAGUACUCCUCUAUGAUAUAUUCUAUGAGUUAAGCCACAUGGUUGCUUUUCUAAUUAAGCAUGCAUGUUUUAAAGUUUAAUAUCCCAAUCAUGUCUAUAUAGGUUUAAACUAUUCGCUGUGCUAGUGAACCACUUCUAGAAUUUUUUUAUAUUUCGAUGAAAGAUCCGAUGGAAAUGUCAUCCGAAAUCGCCGAUUUUCGAUGGCAUUUCGACAACGAGAAGCUGUUGGAAUUCCUCUCGUUGAAUAUAGUUUUCGACAGGAAAAAGUUCACAUUGAAACAGACUUAUUGGCGAGACAAAAUGAGCGGCUAAACUUUGAGAUGAUUCUGAGUGAUCGGAUUAAAGCCACAAUACUUAUCAUGUUAAACUUGGGACAUGAUAACCUGGUGUUUCCUAAGUGCACCAAACAAAUCAAGUUUACCAUUUAGUGCAAGAAAAGUUGAUGCAAGGUCUCAUUUCUUGUAGUAACGUCCCUACAACCUCUACUUGGCUAAUAUCUUACCCAUAUCAAGUAUUUAUCCCAAGGCAAUAAAUAUAUACAUUAAGGGGUCGUUUGAUAUGAUGGAUAAGCAAAAAUAAUCCUGAGAUAAAAAUUUAGUAUCGCCUUAUUCCUCGUUUGGCUAAUAAUCCUGUGAUAAGUUAUCUCAGGAUUAAAAAUAGUAUCAGUAUAACUUCUACUUGCCAGAAGGUGAAAUACUAAUCCCACGAUAAGGUAUCCCAGGAUAAAAUAGUAAAAUUGACAAUUUCUUGAUUAAUACAACAUACCAA